CGGUACACAUGCUUUUAAAUAAGAUCUCAUCUCUGAGUUAGAGUAAACUGUCAAGACUUAAAACUUACUUACUUUACCUACACCAUGGGACUUGUAACUGUCACUUCUAUCUUGAGUGGUUAAAAGAUAGAACACUCUAGCCAAGUGCCAUGUCUCUUAUUCUUGAUCAGCUAUAGCUUUGGGGUUUUUGCAGAUUUUCAAAUAAACCUCAGAAAUUCCUUAUAUGAUUCUCUCAGGUCUCUCUUUUGUGGUAUUUUUGGAUCCUUGCCAAGGCAUUGAUGGUAUAUGCCUUCUCUCAAGAUAUGUAGUAUUUGUGGUAUAAGGCAUAGUGACAUUGCCUUCUCUCUCACCCUACUCUAAUAAGGCUUUAAUAUCUGGAGCUCAUAGGUGGGAGAUAAAAUAUACAUACUUACAAGACAUUUAUUGCAUAGUCAAACCAUGGAUCCAAAGUAACAAGCCAAUAAGAUUAAUCAAGAUGUGCAUGGGUGGCGAAUGAAUGGUGUAUGGUGGUGAUGGUGAUAACAAUGGUGAAAACAAUGGUGGUGGAAGUCUAAUUCUACUUUGCUCUUUGAGGGAAUACAUACCUUCCUUGCUAUUGAAACUUUAUGAGGUGAAUGAGAUGCUCUUCUUUUUUUUCAGGUGGGUAUCUUGCACCCCUAAUUCUACUGUCGGACACUUGUCCAUUUUUACCUUUCGUCUCACUUUUUCUUUUCUUUCGAGGUUCCGAGCACUUGCUCCUUUUUAUUUCCUCGUAUAUUUUUUUUUAUUUUUUUUAGAGCACUCAUCUCUUGAGAUAAUAUAGCAAGUGGUAGUAACAAGAUAACUUGAGCAUUUAUUUCACAAGGGGAAAAUAGAAAUAUUUUUGGUUAUUCUCUCCCGGAUUAGGAGUAGAAUAUUUUUGGGUGAUUCUGGAGAUGGAAUGGGUGGAUAUAUGUGGAUGGUACUUCCGGAGUAGAAGUAGCAUAUAUGAGUGAACGUGUAAGUGAAUCUUGAUUUAACCACAUGACAAGCUCCUAAGGUUCUACACAGCUUGACCACACUCAAUGCUCAUAAGCAGUAAAUAUUAAAUGUGUGGCUCAAAGUCUAGCAAGCAUGUAUAAAUGGCUGUGGUAGGAAUUUAAACUCUCAUCAUACAGGAACUCAUCAUGCAACAUUUUAAAGAUUUUCAAAGAUAAAAUUCUCCAGAAUUCUAGCAUCUCUAGGAACAGAUAAACAGCAGCUCAACCUUCCCAUAUCAUAUCCGUUAACAACUUAUACUUCAGAUCAAGUUUUCAUCCCACAAGUUUAGGUCUAGAGCAAGCUUUAAAUUAUAACAGUUAUAUCUAAACUUGAGAGAGAACUUAAAAUUUGCAAAUUAGGCAGAGCAACUAUUCAUCAUAUCCAUGCUUAAGUUUUAUUUAGAUACAGAUUAGCAUAGACACUUUAUUUAUUUAUUAAACACACUAAGUAAAAGACAUAUAUAAGCAUAAAAUUUUUAUUUGGUUUUCCCAUAGUUUAUGUGUAUUUUAAUAUUCUAAAAUAAUAUAAGUAUAAAGAUAGAUAGAUAGAAAUACUUAUCGUGAUAAAUGGGGGUGCUCUCCCCCAAGCUGAAUUUUGACGUAAUUUCUCUUGAUGUAGCUAGCAGGUGGCAGAGGUGUAGUUGAAAGUCAGCAGCAUUCUGACAGCGAUUAGAAUGUCCUCCGUCUGCCAGUCUUCUUGAUUUCUGUGGAGCUCAAAUAGACAACAAAGCUUGUGGAACUGAUUAAGUGUUAGCAUAAAUAUCUAGCCUUUAUUAUCUUGAGACUCCUUAAUAAAUGUUACUCCCUGUUUUUAUAUUUUUGUUUUAUAAAGCAGAAAAAUAUUUAUUUUAUUUUUAUGCCACCACAGUGAAUGUACUUAUGGGUUUUAUGCCACUCGUCUACUCACAUAGGGCUUACUGUUUUUUCAUAUUUUUAUUUUCUUUUUAAGAUAGUGUGAAUAUGAUUAACUAAGUAAACUAUUUGAAAUAACUGAAAGGGAAAGGAUAACUACCAAGUUUACCUCUUGGCAAGGCGUUCGGUGUUUUUAAGUCCUCCGAAUGGGACUCUCCAAUUUCUUAAUUGUCCUGAGGUUCGUUGGGUGGCGUAGUCGGUACUUCCGGCAGCGCCUCCUCUUCUUGUAUAGUUAUCUUCAUUUUCCAUACCUGACUCGGUGCUUCGAUCUCCUCUGGAUAAUUCUGUUUAAAUUCAACGUCUUCUGACCUUACAACUUCUCCUUCAUAGUCUGCCCAUCCGUCCUUGAUGAUCUGCCUCCUCUGGUUGCGGUUGCGUCUUUUUCUGACCUGCUUAGAUUCUUCAAUGAUAUAGUCAGGGUCAAUAAAAUAACGGCGUACCUUCUCUGAGGGGAAGUGCAUAUGGACUUCUCCGGUUCCAAUGUAGAUAAUUGCUUUAACGGUGCUGAGGAAGGGUCUUCCAAGGAUGAUGGGUGGAUCAUACUCAUCUUCUCCCAUGUCAACAACUUGAAAGUCUGUGUAGACAAAGUGAUCGUCUAUUUUGACUGGGACAUCAGAUACUAUUCCUUUAACUUCUCGAAAUGUCUGAUCUGCCAUCUGGAGCUGAAUGUAUGUUGGUCUUAGUGGCAUGGUCCCGAACAAGAGCCGAUAAGUGACUGCGGCCAUUAUGUUGACGCCCGAUCCGGUGUCGCAAAUCGUCUUGUAGAAGUUGUAUCCAUUUAUGGAGCAGUAGAUGCUUGGCAUUCCUGGGUCGUCCUUCUUGGUCAAAAAUGGUGACUUAAGUUGAUGAUCUUGGCCUCCAUGGACUACAGUGACCAUCUUAGCUGACUCGGUCCACACUUGCUUGUUCCUGUUCCUCCUGUUGGUCCUCUUCCUUGAUUCACGUCUGGAUUGAUCUUGAAUUUGUGUAGUCUUGUUCUUGAAGAAAAAUGUCUCCUUCUUCCCUUUGACGUAGAAACUGAUCUUGGCAGCACCAGCGUAGAUGAUAGCUCCCAUGGUGUUCAAGAAUGGCCUCCCUAGGAUGAUAGGUGCUCUCUCAUCAUUUCCGGUCUCUACCACUACGAAGUCUGCUGGGGCAUACAAGGUACCAACUCGGACACAAAGGUUCCUCACUAUUCCGUUUGGAAAAGUUAUCGUCUGAUCUGCAAACUGCAAACACAUGGUUGUCUCUAAUAAACGAUAUGUAAAGAAUUUCUCAUAGAGUACCCUGGGUAUAAUGUUGACACUGGAGCCAAAGUCGCAGAGUGCUUCUGGGACAUCCACCAUGCCGAUAGAGAUCGGGACGACGGGGCGUCCUGGAUCGCCUCUCUUGACCGGCAGACGGUCAGUAGAAAAUUCAGUGACGGGGUUACUCCAAUUACCUGCAUCAAACAUGUCUACAAGAUUUGCAGAUUCUAAUCCUUCCGGUUGUGAUGGUAUACCGGGGUUAGUAGCAGGAACAGCAGCAGCAAUUUGAUUUAACUGAGAUUCAAUCAUUUUAUUAAAGCUAAUUUGAUUCUUGAUGGCAGUAGAGAAAUUAUCCAUUCUAUUAUUUAUAUUUUCUAGCAUUUUAUCAUUAGAUGCCAAUUUCUUAGAUAGGUUAUCCAUUAGCUUUCCUUGAUUAGACACUAACUCUCUCAAAGGUGGAAAAUUAUUAUUAUUGUUGUAAGAAUUGUUACCUUGAUAAUUACCUGAGUAGUUAGGCCUCUGUUGAUUCCAACCUUGAUUUUGUUGAGGACGGUUGUAGUAGUUGUUGUUGUUGAUGUAGUUCACAUCCUCAAGCAUCUCAGGGCAGUGAUUGCCUGAGUGUCCAGUGUCUCCACACUCCUCACAAGUCAUGUGAGAGUCGUAGAUGUGCAUAACUUCUUUCUUGCCUCCAGCUCUAUCAUCGAGCUUCUUCAUGAGCAGGUCUAGCUUUGCAGACAGCAUGUCUACCUCCUUCAGCUGAUGCAUACCUCCACCUCUCUUGCGUGUCUGGCUCCUCUCUUCAUUCCAGCUUUGGUUGGACGCCAUCUUCUCCACAAGAGCUGUGGCUUGUGGUAUAGUAAGUGAUAAGAAUGCUCCUCCAGCUGCAGCAUCCAUGGUCUCUCGGGCACUGUUGCCGAGCCCAUGAUAAAACGUCUGCAUCAAUAGCCAACUCUCCAUUCCAUGAUGGGGACAUUCUAGGAUGUAGUCUUGAAAGCGCUCCCAUGCUUCUGGAACAGAUUCAUCAUUUUGUUGAUGAAAACUUGUAAUCUUCCCACGGAGAGCAUUGGUCUUGCCCAUGGGAAAGAACUUAGCCAGGAAGUUUGUUGAGCAGAGUGCCCACGUAGUAUUCUUCUCCUUUGUAGCGUAGAACCACUGCUUCGCUCUUCCUAACAGUGAGAAUGGGAAGAGGCGAAGUAGUAUAGCAUCUUUGGAAACUCCUGCUAUGGUGAAUGUGUUGCAAAUCUCCAGGAAGUGUUGUAAAUGAGCACUAGCAUCUUCGUGUGCCUUCCCACAGAACUGGUUGGAUUGCACCAUGUUAAUAAGUCCAGGCUUGAGCUCAAAGUUGUCGUCGAUCUCUGCAGCAGGUCCAGUGCGGAUGUUGUCCGUAGUGGGAGCUGAGAACUCGCGGAUCGAUUUGUUCGCCAUGGCUUCGAACUCUGAAGACAAGUUCCGGUGAUCUUCUUGAUUGGAUGAAGCUUCUUGCUGAAGUGUUGAUGAUUUCUUUAGCUUGGCUCUCGUCUUCUUGAAUAAUGCUUCGGGAUUGUCAACAAAAUUUCCUGGAAGAUGUCUUCUAUUCAUACAUUCCCCUACAUAAGAUAAAAUAGAAAAAUAUCGGGGUAAAACUGUAUGAGAGAAUAGAUAAGCUCAAUCAUAUUAGUGAUGCGAAUGAUAACUCAAAAUGUUUUAUUCCAUUCCUGAUUAGUAAUCAACCUUCCCCGGCAAUGGCGCCAAAAAAUGCUUGUUGGGUAUUCUUAACAUCAUUACUAAAAGUAGACUAAGUUCUCUAAAUCUAGUAACGGUGCCAAAAAUGCCAAACCUAUCCCUCACACCACUUAAGCCAAGUUGUCAUCCCCAGCAUGACAUGAGAGAUGCAGUAUUGAAAUAUGCAAUUGCUCUUCUAAAUAAAUAAUGAAUGGGAUCUGCAAGCGCAUAGAUUAAUACCGAUGCAGCAUUUUAACCGGGAAGUAUUCCAGGUAUCGUUAUUUAUAUUUUUACCACUGGGAAGGGAUUAGAAAUCAUCACUAAUGAUUACAGAAUAGAAUAUGAGAUUGAGCAUCUAUCAUUGCAUGUAUAAUUGAGAACAUUAUAUCUAACUCUUCAUACAGGGAUAAGUGUCACAUAAAAGAUAUAUGAAGUAAUGAUAGUGACAAGGAUAACUAAUCUGAUCUAGCCACAUAAUAAAUAUGAUAAGCACCUCAAUUAGAUACUCUAGAAAGUCAUUAGCAUGGUAUUAGAACAAACUACAAGAAUAUUCCCUAAGUUAUUCUUAACUAUAUAGUCUAGCAUUAUCAUAGUUAGUGCAAGCAUACUUAGCAAUCAUUGCGAGACAAGACUACGCCCAUGCAUAGUGAUAUUAGCAAGGAAUAUGAGAAACAUAGCAAUCACUCCCCUGUAAUAAUGUUGCUCUGCCAGCCCAAUACACGAGAGGGGAACUAUAUAAGAAUCAAUGAAGCUGUUACUAUCACGAACCACCCCACGAUCUGGCAUAUUGGGUACAAUCGCAGAUAAAUACGGUAUAAGCACCACGCCUACACAAUAUCUAUCAUUUACCCAUGGAUCCGAUGGAUAAACGCUAUACGAUCCUAAGCAUGUAUAUAGAUCGUAUCUAACUAAGCCAAGUACAUAACUAUGAUAAACUAAGAACAAUAUAUCUUGAAUAUAAGCAAGUAGAGCAAAGUCAUAAGCAAUAUAUUGAAGUAGAACAAAGUCAUAUUCAUAAUAUUGAAGAACAAAGAUAAUUAGAAAGCAAUUAGAAGCACAAUUAGAGAAUUACCAAGAAUCCUCCUGACAGAUCCGGAAACCAAUCGAAGAUUGACUCCUUCUAGUUCUAAUCCUAUGUAGCUAUGCUAAUCUAGAUGUCUAAUUGAUGUGGUGGCUCUAAUCUUGAUCAGAGGCUUCGUCUCCCUUGAUGGAACAAUGAAUUAGGGUUGAGAGGCUCUCUCCUUCAGGGGCCAGGGGGUCUGGUUUUAUAGUCCCUUCAAGUGAAUAUGGGCCCUUGGAUCAAACCGACAUAGAUUGUAUGGUUUAGAUUCAUCCUUUAGGUCGGUGGAGAUCUCCCGCAAAGCAGAGUCCUGAUUGGACUCAGGGGCAGGGCGGGCGCCCUGACCAACUGGGCGGCCGCCCAGGGUCUGGCCCCGUUUCGCCUCCGCUUCGGUCUCGUGGCUUCUGGAGUCUUCUAGAUGUAAGAUAAUUGCGCAGCACGUUAAUAUCUUUACGUAAUCCCGACAUGUGGGCCUUUCUUCCAUAUUUCCUGAUAACCCCCUACAGAAAUAGACAAACACCAAAACUCGUGGAAUUCUGUCAGAUAAAACCCUAAGUCUAGAUCUUGAUUUUAUUUGGAUCCUUUUCUUUAUUUAUUUGAUAAUUAAAUUUGAUACUUAAGGACCGUCAACAAGCACUUGUUUGAGCCCUUCUAGUCUUUGCCGAUUUGCCAGUUUGCUGUUACAACAACCAAGAUUUCAUGAGUAAAAGUAUGAAAGAAUGUUGAUGAAAUCUUGUUAAAAGAUAAAGGUUACCGAUGAGGUUCCCAUAGCAACCGAUGUAUCCUGAAAAGAUUAUGUGAGUAUGGGAUAGAAUCGGUAUAAACAAAGGAAAUCAAAAGUCUACCUUGAAAGCCUGCGCCAGGGUAGUAGCAGCAACUGAUGGGGACGUCUUUGACCGCUUGGUGGUUAUCUUCUUGAAGCGCACAUUCCGAUGAAUCAAAGCUGCCGGACUUGGUGCAUUGUGACCGAUCAGUUCGAUCGGUCUUCCACUUCUACAGACUGUCGGUGGUGGGUUGUCGAUUUGUUUGAAAAAGGGAGAAUAAGUUACCGAUAAGGUUAGAAGUAACAACAGAACUGAGAUGUCAGUCAAAAACUUACAGUGUUAUCGGGAACCUUAUAGUUGGAGCCGAUCAUGCCACGGUAUGUCAGAGCCGAUGCGCAGAACAGGUGUUCUUUCCAUUCUUCCCACCACUGUUUGUGCGCCUGAGUGAUCAAGAGGGCCGAGAUCCAAGCCGAUAGAUCGAUAUCUGACGUAUCGGCAUUUGGUUGAAGCUGAGCUAUCCUUAUCCACUCGAGCCCAUUAGUUAUAGUCUCCCUGGGUUUCACCACAUCGGCGUAACAGACUCUGAUCACCAGCUACCCAAAUGCCAGUUGAUGAGCUAAUGCCGAUGGAUUGUAAAACUCGUAAGUGGGGUUAGAGUUUUUCCCACUACCAAAGGUGUUUACUGGGAUAGCCCUCGAAGUGAUGAUUGCCAUCAUCAGAUCAUUAUCUUUAUUAGGAGCAUCAUCAAAGGGAUGGAAGAUGAGCGGAAAUCUGGUUUCUGGGUCUUCAUAAGGCAUCCAUACACGUUAAUCUUUGGGAAGACCCUAAUACAGAGUCUGGAAGAAUCAGCUGACCUGGUCUUCAUUACCACCAGUACCAGGUAGCUCUAUGGCGGCCUCACCGUAAUUCCAGGUGAGCGAGUUGCCGAUUCUUCGUCAGCCAGUUCAUGGUCUUCGGUGAUAUCUCUAUGGAAUUGUUGUGCAAAGAGGUCGAAGCAGAGACGUUUGUGCAUGUGGACGUUAAGCCACAUGUUGAUGAACCACCAAGGGCCUCCUAGGUUGCCGAUGGGUUGGCCUAAUAGGAGCUUCUCAGCCACUUGAUGGAGGAGGUGGUAGGCAGAACCAAGGAAGUAUCGACCGAGAGGAAAUCGGCUGCCAUCAGCCAGUCUUUCUGCUGCCAAUAAGUAGACAGAGGUUGGUCCUACCAAUCGGCCACAGAAGACGAACUUGUCUAACCACAUGUUUAGGAAAACUACAUGUUCUCUUUGACCGACUGGUCCCGUCCUCUGGUACUUCUGGAUGUACCCUGACCAACCGCCGAUGUUGAGGGUUUCUACUUUGCACUCGGGUUUGCUGUCGUAUAGAUGGCUAUCAUCAGCAGAUGAUAUGUCUAAGCCAGUGAGCAUGAGCACAUCGGCAAGAGUGGGGGAAGCAGGGCCAUGACCAAACAGAAAAGCAUUGAAAGUAUCUGACCAGAAGUAUGAAGCAACUAUCAAUAGCGAUUCAUUUCUUUCCAUAUCGGCAAUGGAUAACCUGAUACACUGGUCCAGUUUGUGCUCACCCCAUUGGACUUUGUUUGAGUUGCCAACUAUCAGGAACCAAUCUCUCCAUCCCUUAGUAGAACUGGGCCAAGAUCGGAAGGUAUCUUUCCAUAGAUCUGAGGAGAAAUUUUCAGCUCUAAAGGGGAUUCUAUUUAUCUCUGCGUUGAUCAGAUUGGUAGGAUCCGGGUUACCCAAUGGCCCGAGACAUUGAAAGUGGGGUUGAUCGGUGGGAAUCACAAUUUUAUCAGCGAAUUCCUAAAGGUUUGAAGGUUGGAAGAACAGAAAAAGGAAAAAGAAAGAAAGAACGUACUCAGUAAAUAGAUUUGCGGAAGUUAAAACUACAACAAGUAGACAGGGGAAAUUGACCUCAGGGACGGUGAAGUUCAUAGCCAUUUCUUCCAGGGAGGAAGAAGAUCAAUGAAGGACUGGCUGGGCUUGCUGACGUUCUCGGACUCCUCGAACAAUGCCGCCGUUAGGAAGAUGGGUUUUGAGGAUGCAGAAUGACAAGGUGGAGGAAGAGUGCCGAAGAAGGAAGUAUUUAUAGGAUAAAGAGAGCAGGGGUAUUUCUGACCUAUUCCUUUGCCGUAUCCAUGAAAAUCGAGGGUGUUCAGGUGGAUAUGGUAACUGUUCGCACGAUAAUCAAGGGAUUGUGUAGGUGAUUUGACAGUAAGCGGUCAUAAUUUUGGGAAGAUAUUUUACUGUGCAAGAUCUCCUGGUCGGUUCAUCGACAGUUCUCUCUAACGGAAACAUUGCCGAUGAACGAAUAUUUAGGAGAUUCGGUCUGAGGAGUUGAGAGAUUCGAGGUGCAUGCUGGAGAACCGGGCUAAGGUUGUUCGGAUUUGGUAAUUAAUUAUUGUCAGGUGGGAGUAAUCGCGGAAAGGCAUCAUUACUGAAGAGAAUUUUGGAGCAUUAAUGAUUUUAUACUCCGAAAUUGGGGGGCAUGUGUUGACACCGUUUUUAGACACGUAUCUUUGGACGCGUAUCUGAGAAUUAGUAAAAUAUAGAUCGGCAGGUGAAAGAGUGGUGAGUGUUUGUCAAGGAGGUUACCGAUGGGAAUUGAUGCCGAUAGAUAAAGAGCAGAAUGUGGCCAAGACUAGGGAUGGUGAUUGAUCUAUACCGAUGAUUGAUGCUUGCGAUUGCCGAUGUCGAUGGAAGGUGGUUUGCCGAUUGCCGAUGGCAACAGGGGGAGCGCAGGAGUUGCUGACAAGAUGGUGACGGUGUGUCGAUUGCUUGUAGUGGAUAGAUUAAUGUUUUGCAUAGCUGUUAGAGUUCGUUUUGUGUACGGAUUCCAUUCAAUUUUGAAUUAGAGUCCUAGUCGUGUUUGGUUGUAAUUCUUCUGGGCAGGGUAUAAAUGUAGACCCUGUAGCGGUGUAAUAGAUAUACACAAUCAAUCAAACACAAGUUUUUACAUCUAUCCCAGUAUCUACUUUUUUGAUGACUUCGUCAACUUGCAUAUUUUCUUUUUACUUACGAGUUCUUAGGAAUUCAUCGAGUCAAUCUCGGCGAGUUCUCAAGUUCUGCGUGAAUACCUCUUGGCCGUGACAUUCGGGCGCAUCGCUGUUGUCGGGACCAAAGUAUUCGUGUUAUCACCUUUAUCGAUUGUAAGGUCAAAUCGGCUGGCACGCCUUAACGUUGAAUCGGGUAUUAGCCCUUUGUGUUUGCAGAUCUACUUUUGCAUCAACAGGUCCCUUAUGAAAUGGUGCCUUAUGUCAAUGUGCUUGGUUCUUGAAUGUUGAAACAGAUUUUGUGUCAUCUUAAUUGCACUCUCAUUGUCACAUAGCAAAGGCACAUUCUUGAAUUUUAUUCCAAAGUCAUUCAAGGUAGCUUUCAUCCAAAGCAAUUGUGCACAACAACUACCGGCACUAAUGUAUUCGGCCUCAGCGGCUGAUAGUGCAACACUAUUUUGUUUCUUUGAUGACCAUGAAACUAGAGACAUUCCUAGCAAUUCACAAGUGCCACUUGUGCUCAUUCUAUCAAUCUUGCAUCCACCAUAAUCGGAGUCUAAAUAUCCAAUCAACUCAAAGUUAGACCCCUUGGGAUACUGUUGACACUUGCUAACACCACUUGAAGACUAGGUUGUCAUCCCCAGCAUGGCACCUUGUACUAUGGUAUUUAUACGCACACAGAUAAAUCCGCAAGUGCACGGAUACCGUUGUAGCUUUUACCCAGUUAAAGGUUUUAUCGUAUCCACAGGGAAACGGGAGAACUGAUCUACGCUCUAACUUAACCUAGAUAGAUAGGUAGGUGUAAAUAGGAAAGAUGAUAGGAUUGAAUAAGAACAAUAUUAAAGGUAAGAUAACAGUGAGUAAAUAUAGAGUAGAGCAAUCUAAUAUAUGGGCGAUGGUAGGAGAAUAGAGAGGAUAACUAUGGUUUCUCUACUUCAAAGGGGCAUGUCUUUGUCUGGGAUGUACCACGUGAUAAGAAUACACCACAAAGGAUGCUUAUCCAUAGGCCGAUAAACCCUACCCGUCCUGCUAACAGGAGGUGGACUACAGGGGACCAAUGUAACUAUCACCUACGCGGCCUACCACACGAUCCAGCUAGACAUGGGAUAUCCACAAGUAAUCUCAGGUCUAAGCACCAUGCUUACACCUAUACUACAACUCCACCUAUAGCGUCCUAUAGAUUAAAGUACUCAAAAGAGUUGUGAACCAGAACAUACAUGAAUAGUAAUUGCAUAAUGAAUUAGAAGUAGAUUACUAGAGUCAUCCCAUGAGCAAGCUUGAUUAGAGCUUGAUCAUGACGAAGUACAACUGGAGGAAGAACCGACAGGCCGGCCUCUCCUCCAAUCCUCGCUCGCUCUCCAUCUCGCUACUAUCUAGAUCUACUCUAGUUUAGAGAUGAGAGGAGAGCUCUCAUCUCCAAACCCUAGCUUUUGCUCUGUCUAUGAAUAAUGAAUAGGGAUCAAAGGGUGCCUCCUACAGGGGCCAGGGGGUCUGCUUAUAUAGUCCCCUCAAGUGAAUCUGGGCCGUCGGAUCAAACCAACAUUGAUUGAACGGUUAUCCUUGAUCCUUUCGGUCGGUGGAACGUAAUCCGCGAGAAGGGUACUAUUUGGACUCUGUUGCUGGGAGGGCGCCCAAGGGGGGAGGGCGAGCGCCCUGCCCCUGGGCUCGAUCGUCCUCCCUUUCAUUCCCGUGGCUUCUGGAGUCCUCUAGAUGAUUGAAAAUUGCACGGCACGUUUAUUUCUCUAUAUAAACCCGACAUGUGGGCCUUUCCUCCAUAUUUCCUGAUAACCCCCUGGAGAAAUAGACAAACACCAAAACUUAAGGAAUUCUGUCAGAUAAAACCCUAAGUCUAGUGCUGGUUGCAUUUGGAUCCUUUUCUUUAUUUAUUUGAUGAUUAUAUUUGGUACUUAAGGACCGUCAACAACUCCCCCAAGCUUACCUAUUGCUCGUCCCUGAGCAAGGAUGGACUCAAGAGUUUCUGCAGUGGUUUUAUGCCUUAAAAGGUACACAUGCAUUCAAACAAGAUCUCAUCUCUAGGUUAGGGUAAACUGUUAAGACUUAAAACUUACUCAUUUUACCUUUCACAAUGGGGCUAGCAACCGUCACUUAUGUCUUGAGUAGUUAAAAGAUAGAACGGUCAUGUCAAGCACCAUGUCUCUUGUUCUUUGAUCAACUAUAGCUCUAGAGUUUUUUGCAGAUUUUCAAAUAAAACUCAGAGAUUCCUAUAUGACUCUCUCAAUUCUCUCUUUUAUGGUAUUUCUGGAUCCUUACCAAGGCAGUGAUGAUAUAUGCCUUCUCUUAAAGUAUGUAGUAUUUGUGGCGUGAGGCAUAGUGAUAUUGCCUUCUCUCUCAUCCUACUCUAAUGAGGCUUUGAUAUCUGGAGCUCAUAGGUGGGAGACAGCUAAUACAUACUUACAAGACAUUUAUUGCAUAGUCAAACCAUGGAUCCAGAGAAACAAGUCAAUAAGUCAAAUCAAGAUGUGCAUGUGUGGCGAAUGAAUGGUGUAUGGUGAUGAUGGUGAUAACAAUGGUGAAAGUCUAAUUCUACUUUUGCUCUUUUGAGGGGAUACAUACCUUUCUUGCACUUUGAAGCUUUUUGAGGGGGGAAUGAGAUGCUCUAUAUUUUCUCUUUUUUUUUCUUUUCUCUCAGGUGGGUAUCUUGUACUCCUAAUUCUACUGUCGGACAAUGUCCAUUUUUACCUCUCGUCUCACUUUUUCUUUUCUUCGAGGUUUCGGGCACUUGCCCCUUUUUAUUUCCUCGUAUUCACUUUUUUUUUUCAGAGCACUCACCCUCUUGGAAUAAUGUAGCAAGUGGUAGUAACCAAAAUAUCUUGAGCAUUUAUUUCACGGGGAAUAACAGGGAUAGGAUAAUGUUUUUAGCUAUUCUCUCCUAGAUAGGAGUAAAAUAAUUUUGGGUGAAUCUGGAGAUGGAAAUGAGUGGAUGUAUGUGGAUGCGUACUUCCGGAGUAGAAGUAGCAUGUAUGAGUGAACGUGCAAGUGAAUCUUGAUUUUAACCGCAUGACAUGCUCCUAAUGGUCUACACAACUUGACCACACUCAAUUCUCAUAUGCAGUAAAAAGUAAAUGUAUGGUUCAUAGUCUAGCAAGGAUGUAUAAAUAGCUGUGGUAGGAUUUUAAACUCUCAUCAUACAGGAACUCAUCAUGCAACAUUUUAAAUAUUUUCAAAGAUAAAUUUCUCUAGAUUUCUAGCAUCUCUAGGAACAGAUAAAUAGCAGCUCAACCUUCCCAUAUCGUAUCCGUUAACGACUUAGACUUUAGAUCAAGUACUCUUCCCACAAGUUCAGGUUUAGAGCAAAUCUUAAUUCAUAACAGUCAUGCCUAAAAUUGGGAGAGAUUUCAAUUUUGAGAACUAGACAGAGCAACUAUUCAUCAUUUUCAUGUGAGAGCUUAUCAUGAGGGUUCAUAGCAAACUUUAUUUAUUUAUUUAUUUAGCAAAAUAAGCAAAGAUAUUUAUAUAAGCUCAAAAUCUUUAUUUAGAUUUUUAUGAUUAUGCAUCUUUUUAUUAUUUGAGUAAAGUAUAAAUAUGAGUAGAAACACUUAGCUGGAUAAAUGGGGGUGCUCUCCCCCAAGCUGGAUUUUGACGUAAUUUCUUCUGAUGUAGCUAGCAGGUGACGGAGAUGUAUUUGAAUGUCGGCAGCACCCUAACAGCGAUUAGGAUGUCCUCCGUCUGCUAGUCUUCUUUGAUCCUUGAAUUCUGUGGAGCUCAAAUAGACAACAAAGCUUUGUGGAACUGGUUAAGUGUUAGCAUAAAAUCUCUUUGCCUUUAUCAUGUUGAGCUUCCUCUAAUAAAUAUUACUCUCUUUAGUAGGAUCAUAAAUUUAUUUUUAUAUUUUCAUUUCUAUAGGACAGGAAUAUAUUUAUUUUAUUUUUAGGCCACCACAGUGAAUGUACUUAUGGGUUUUAUGCCACGAGCAUACUCACAUGGGGCUUACUAUUUUUAACAUUUUUAUUUUCUUUUCAAGAUAGUAUGAUUAACUAACAAGCUAUUUAAGGAAAGUCAAUAAUUUAAGGAAAAGGGAAUGCAGAAAGGAUAAAUAUGGAUAACUACCGAUUUUACCUUUCGGCGAGGGUUCAAUGUUUUAAGUCUUCUGAACAAGACUUCUCACCGUGUUCAUUCUUCAGUUGCGUCAUUUGAUUCAGGUGUGGACCUUAACAUCUGCACCUCUUGAUACGGUGUCACCCAUGUUCUUCGUUUGCCCAUUAGUUCGAAGUGCGGCGUUAUGGAUAAUAAUAUCAUGAUUGUAGCAUUUAAAACAUUUGUCAGAUCAGACCGCUCAACCUAAUGGAAAGAUAAUCUAUCUAUUUUUAUGUGUUUUUUAUAUAUCUGCCAAAGAUUGAGUGUGCAACAUUUUAGCUCAUAUGAUUAAGAGUGUGGGAUCACAAACGUAGAAGGACUAAACAUGUUGAAUCGAUUGGGUUGGUUAACCUAGGGUUGUAAAUCGUACAUGUUUGUCAGUUUUAUUCAUAGGAACGCCAGAACCAAGAAGAAGCUUAUAAAAGUGAUAAUCAAGUACCUUAAGAUGUUACCUUACUUGAAGAGUGAUGGUACAGUAUCACCUUGUGGAAGCUUUCCUUUCUUAGCGGUUGUGCAUCAUAUUUGUGGCACCCUCCGUGGAUCAUCUCUUAUGAGCUAUGUUUUCCUUGUGUAAAUUGUUAAACUUGAUGUGUCUCUCUCUUUGUCUCCGAUGUGAGUUUAUCUCAGGACUUCCCAAAUCGAUAUUGAAAGUAUUUCUAUAGGGGUUAGUUCGACAACAUAUACCAAUGUCUACACAAGCAGUUUUUAGUUCAAUAACCGAACUAGACUCCAUGUCUAAUCAGAUUAAGGAAGGCUGUUUAACCUAAGCACCAUGCUUAAUUGAAAAGCCAAUAGAAGUAUGCACAGUACUUCCAAACUAACACUUACGAGGAUAAACAAAGGUAGCAUGAUGGCAUUUAUAAAGAUCUACUCAAGUGGAGAUGAUGUAGUGUGAUUAGUAUUUAACAAAUUGAGCAUGUCUUAAAGGUAGGGACAACCAACAUAGCAACAUGGCAAAGGAUAUUUUUAUGUAAGGUACUCCCCCAAGCUUGAAUUUUGCAAAAUUCAAGUUUGGAUGAAUUUCAUUCAGUGUUGCAUGAUGAUUGGUUGGACAUACCUUGUGCUUGUCAUUCAUCCAAUCUUCUUGCUCCAAUCCUAGAAAGGUUAGUGACAAGAAUACCCGAAGGAAUAUUUUUACAAUUAUUCUUAUAUGCUCAAUACACAAGGUAAUAUUGUAAAUAAUUAAAAGGUCAUGUUACGAUCUGAUCAGUGCUUAUUUUAGGACACUAAGCUUGUCCUUGGGAAACCAUCAAUUUAUGUCGGUGAAGUGGUUUCCCUUCCAACGCUGACCUAUAUCAAGAUCAACUCAACGAGAUCUGCAAUAUUUAUUAUAGACAUAUGCAUCGACAAUUGUCCUUUUAAAGUUUUUGUAAAUAGAAAGAAAGAGUGGGUUGGAUAUCUCAAAUGUGGUGAUGUUGGCGAGACCAAUAGAUUGGAAAGAUGUUGCAUAUGGGCAUGGAGUAAACGAAGUGGCUAUGAAAUAAAUUCCAUGCUCAUUAAUGUUAUCUUCGUCUCCAAUCUGAAUGUUCGGAGUUUCUCCUGGAUUGGUCUCACCUAUGUCCUCUUCUGUAGUUGGAUGAAUCUCAUCUUCAAAGGGAGCCAAGAACUCACCAUUUGAAAUUGAGCCAAAGUCAGAAUCCAUUAAGGGUUCUUCCUUAUCCAUCCAUUCUACACAUUCUAGCCAUUUAGAACUUGUGAUCAGGAAGGGGGAGGUGUUAGAAUUUUCUAUAUGGUUUAGCUCUCCUUCACUUGAUAUGUCAUCCUCAACUUCUUCUUAACAGGAACUAGGACAUUCUCUAAGAGAACCAUUAUUGCAAGGAUUUGAAUUAUCCCUGGUUGAAGGUCUCUUAUGGAACCAGAAGUCUAAUCCAUAAGCAUCUGAAAGAUUUAAGGUCGGAAUUCCUUCCUCCCUUGGAGAAUUUUGGGGUAUUGAUGGUUUAGGAUCGCUAGCUAAAGUUUGGGAUUGCAGUGGUUGUGAUCUGGCUAUCAAAACUUCUUCUUCUUGUCUAGGAACUGGUUCUUUCUCUUUCUCAGGGUUAUAAAAGCUAGGAGACUUUCCGCUCAUUAAAUCAAUCAAAUUCCAAGCAUCACUAGCGGACAGGUGGUGCAAGGAUCCUCCAGAGGCCGCAUGAAGGGUUUGCUUAUUUUUCCUACUAAGGCCCUUAAAAAUUGAAAUAGAAGAACUUGUUCUAGAAUAGAAAGCUUUGGGCCAGUGAGAGUAAGGUCACUAAAGUGGUCCCUUGAUCCGCCAAUAGAUUCUUCUUCUAAUUGUCUAAAAGAAAGAAUCUCGAGCCGAAUAUCUGCCACUUUGGAGAUCAAAAAAUAUUUAAAGAGAAAACUAUUGUAUAGCUCCUUCCAAUCUCCAUGAGCACUUCCUAUGUUUAGUUUAUACCAAUGUCUAGCUUUUCCCGUUAAAGAGAACGGAAAGAGCUUCCAUUUAAGGGUCUCAUCAGACAUGCCUUCAAUGCGAAGGAGGUCACAGACUCGAUAAAACUCUCUUAGGUGUGUGUAUGGGUUUUCCUCACCUUCUCCUGAGAAAGGCUGUUUUUGAAGAAAUUCUAUGUAUUCCGGGCUUAUCUCGAAACUAGAUGUCAUGAUUGGCUUUGAAGAUUUUGGUGGUUCGAGAUGUGUGCCCGUAGGUCUAUUAAAUUCAUAGAUAGACAUGUUUGAAUUCAUGAUAGACCAGAGAUCAAGGAUUAGAUAAGAAGAAAGAAUAGCAGAGAUAAGGCAAAAGAUAAAAGGAAAAGUAUAUAUAUAUUUUUUUAAUUUUUUUAGAAAAUGAUUAAGCUAGUUCGUAGUCAACUCAGCAACCGUCUCCCCAGCAACUGCGCCAAAAAUGCUUGUUGACACUUGCUAACACCACUUGAAUACUAGGUUGUCAUCCCCAGCAUGGCACUAGAGUGUACUAUGGUAUUUAUACGCACACAGAUAAAUCCGCAACCGCACGGAUACUAUUGUAGCUUUUACCCGGUUAAAGGGUUUAUCGUAUCCAUAGGGAAACAGGAGAAUUGAUCUACGCUCUAACUUAACCUAGAUAGAUAGGUAGGUGUAAAUAGGAAAGAUGAUAGGAUUGAAUAAGAACAAUAUUAAAGGUAAGAUAACAGUGAGUAAAUAUAGAGUAGAGCAAUCUAAUAUAUGGGCGAUGGUAGGAGAAUAGAGAGGAUAACUAUGGUUUCUCCACUUCAAAGGGGUAUGUCUAUAUCUGGGACGAACCACGUGAUAAGAAUACACCACAAAGGAUGCUUAUCCAUAGGCCGAUAAACCCUACCCGUCCUGCUAACAGGAGGUGGACUACAGGGGACCAACGUAACUGUCACCUAUGCGGUCUACCACACGAUCCAGCUAGACAGGGGAUAUCCACAAGUAAUCUAGGUCUAAGCACCAUGCUUACACCUAUACUACAACUCUCACCUAUAGCGUCCUAUAGAUUAAAGUACUCAAAAGAGUUGUGAACCAGAACAUAGAUGAAUAGUAAUUGCAUAAUGAAUUAGAAGUAGAUUACCAGAGUCAUCCCAUGAGCAAGCUUGAUUAGAGCUUGAUCAUGACGAAGUACAACCGGAGGAAGAACCGACAGGCCGGCCUCUCCUCCAAUCCUCCCUCGCUCUCCAUCUCGCUACUAUCUAGAUCUACUCUAGUUUAGAGAUGAGAGGAGAGCUCUCAUCUCCAAACCCUAGCUUUUGCUCUGUCUAUGAAUAAUGAAUAGGGAUCAAAGGGUGCCUCCUCCAGGGGCCAGGGGGUCUGCUUAUAUAGUCCCCACAAGUGAAUCUGGGUCGUCGGAUCAAACCGACAUUGAUUGAGCGGUUAUCCUUGAUCCUUUAGGUCGGUGGAACGUAAUCCGCGAGACGGGUCCUAUUUGGACUCUAUAGCUGGGCGGGCGCCCUACCCCUGGGCCCGAUCGUCCUCCCGUUCGUUCCCGUGGCUUCUGGAGUCUUCUAGAUGAUAGAAAAUUGCGCGGCACGUUAAUAUCUCUAUGUAAUCCCGACAUGUAGGCCUUUCCUCCAUAUUUCCUGAUAAUCCCCUGCAGAAAUAGACAAACACCAACACUCGUGGAAUUUUGUCAGAUAAAACACUAAGUCUGGGUGUUGGUUGCAUUUGGAUCCUUUUAUUUAUUUAUUUGAUGAUUAUAUUUGGUACUUAAGGACCGUCAACAGAUACCAUAAUCCAACAUCAUGAGUUCCCUUAAGAUACCUCAAUAUCCUCUUGGUUGCCUUCAAGUGACUCUCCCUUGGUGAAGCUUGAUAUCUUGCACACUUGCAUAGACUAAACAUCACAUCUGGUCUUGAUGCGGUGACAUAGAGCAAACUUCCAAUCAUGGACCAAUAUAGCUUUUGAUCUACCAUGUUGCCACUUGCAUCACUACCUAAUUGAUCAUUUGUGCCCACAGCUGUGUUCAUUGGUUUAGCUUCUUGCAACCCAAAUUUCUUGAUCAUGGCCUUGAUGUACUUUCCUUGACUUAGAGAAGUGUCAUUCUUCAUUUGCUUGAUUUGAAGACUGUCGGUGUCUUCCCCAUGGGGGGUCACACCAACGAGUAAAUUUGUGUGCGUGCUCCCUUUCCCAGAUGGUGAUGCAAGAAGACACAGAGAUUUAUCCUGGUUCGGGCAAGAGAAGGCCCUACGUCCAGCGGGGGGGAGAGGCUUGUAUUAUCUUGCACCUAAGUGCUUGUAUAGGGGUGAAUACAAGCGUGGUAUGAAGUGUGUGAGCCCUACUGCGUAUGUGUGUAGUAUUGCGCGGUGUUCUAUUCCUGAGUCUCUCCUUUUAUAGUUCCAAGGAGUGACUUAGGGUACAUGCGUAGAUGUCAGAGUAGGGGUCGGUAGCAGCAUGGAGCGCUGACCUACUCGAGGCUUCUGUACCGGCAUGACUUCGAGCUGUCCCAUCUUAAUAGCCUGGUGAUGAUUACGCGUGCCCCUGCAUUCUGCUCUGUGCACCGUCUUGUGCUGGCUCAACGGUCGCAUGCUCGUACGGUAGAGCGGCAGAUCCGGCGGGGUAGUUAUGGUGUUAUCAGUCGACGCUCCACACGUCCCUAGGAAGGAACCUUGUUCGGUCGAGGGUCGGACGCCGUGUACCGUGACAAUAUCCGGAGCACUGACCUUGAAUGUCUCGAGGGGGUCCCGAUUAGACGUCCCAUCCUUGUUUCCCGCGCCCUAACAUGCCCUGGGCCGUUCGGCGGGAAGGCUGCAAAAAGAUCGUUGGGACGGAUGCCUGUUCCCUAUCACGCCUCCCAUGACCUGUGUGUUAGGUGGGGAAGCAUCAGGCGCAUUUAAUGCCCCGGUUCGCGUGCGCGCGUCAGGCGGCGGGGGGCGUCUUUGCGCUCGACGCCUCCUGGUUCGCGUGAGCCUGUUCCGUAUUCGACGGUAACCAGCGCUCGACGCCUGAUCGAUUCGCUCGACGCUAUUUCCGUCUUCGAGGUUGCGGCAGUCGAUGGCAGCGCACACGUAAGACUAGAGCGUCGAAUUGAGGGCCGCGACCUGCGUACGGGCAAUCUCGUAAUGCACAUCGGUGAGGGUACCCCUUACUGAUACCCUCGACAGUAGCCCCCGAGUCUCCAUUUGAGCGCUAGCGCUCGAGUGGAGGCUUUUGUUUUGCGGUCGAAUUUCCGUGGGGGCGCGCGAGCGACCCUGCGGGGGUAGCCCCCGAGCCUUCGGGGGAGUUUUUGACUCCUUCGAGGGUUAUAUUGUUUAAUUCGCAGAAGCGCUUUCGACACCGGUGGUGGAAGGUUCUGACUGGCUCGUUUUGCCCGGGGGUUUCGACGUACUCUCGAUAGAGCGAGCGUCUUCCACCCCAGAUUGAGUUCCUAGCGGGUAGUCCAAGUUAGAACCUGUGCCCCUUUCGAGGGGGUCAGCUGUAGCCCGGAGGCGUUCUCAUAAAGCGGGAUCGACGUGGUCGGGGAUACCAGUCUCAUUCGAUAGAGUCCGGCGGCUCGAUGCCUCCCGUCGGGGGGAUUCCUCUCGACUGUCUCGACCCUACCUUGGAUAUCGCCAGCGAGUCCUUGAGGCGGGCCUCGAUAUUCGACCGCUCGGUGGAGAUCCCUGACUCUGGCGCUCGAGAUCGACUGCCGAACCCUUUCGGCGGGCCAGCCAUCGACCUCUCGAGACUCUCGCGGGUACGCCCCUUGGCUUACAAGGGAAGGAAGUAGCCGUGACGGUUCGCCUUUCUGCCCGUUGGGCGCGCCUUUUCGGGUGGAUGACGUUACGACACUGCGUCGGCGUGGAAUUCGGAACGCCACGCCUGUAAAGGGGGGAGACUGUUAGGUGGCGCAUUUAUGGGGGGACGUUACCUCAUUUCUCGGAUCUGUCCGUUGGCAGAUCGUGGCUUAUAAAUACGCCGCGGCACCGCCGCCGUUGUUUCUUCCGCCUCCCAUCUUCACUCUUGCCUUAGCCUCUUUGCCGUCUUAGCUCUCUCGCCGUCUCACGCGCACACGCCUCCUCGAGCAGUAGCGGAUCCACCGUCCCUCCAGCCGAGAUGCCUGUAAGACUCGUCACCGCCGCCGACUGGCGCCCGUCGUUGAUGAUGGAGCGCCGGUUGUUAGAGCUUGAGAAAGAGGGACUGCUGUGCCGCCGUACCACGCUAUCGUCGCCAGAGUGGAUCGCGCCGCCGGCGAGUCACAGGGAGCCCCAGCCGCCCGAGGGCUACGUGGUGUCGUUCGCCAAGUUCCACCGCCACGGCCUGGGCGCGCCCUCGAGCCGCUUCACGCGGGCCCUCUGCUUCCACUAUGGGGUGGAGCUCCAGCACUUCUCCCCGAACGCCAUCACCGUCGCGGCGAUCUUCACCGCGGUACGUGAGGGCUAUCUGGGGAUGAUGCCCCACUGGGAUCUGUGGCUCCACCUCUACAGGGGCGAGCUUUUCAAUGCCCCCACCGGAACCACCGGCGUGAGGAAGCAUGUGCGGGCCGGGUGCCUCAACCUGGUAUUGAAGAUGAAGAAGACAGAAAGGCUGCGCGAGUACAUCCCGGUGGGUCUGUCAUCGAACCACGCUGGGUGGGACUCCCAGUGGUUCUACCAGUGGAACGACGACGGUCUCUUCCCCGCCUACACGGGCCGUCUGAUCACGGAGCGCCCGGACAACUGGACGUACGACGUCGUCCAGGAGCACCAGUCGCGGCUCGACCCCCUCCUCAUGCCAUGAAGAAGCUGUGCCUGGACGGCCUGUCCGCCGCUCUCGUCCUCUCGGCCGUCCAUCGUCGAAGGGUCCUUCCCUUGAUGUCUCGGCCGUUGAGGAUGGACGAGAUAGGGCCGGGCGUCUCGUCCCGGGAUCUCGAGGCUUGCCGGAUGUCCAACGUGGCUCUGGCGGACGACGAGGUCGCCGCCCGGGUCAGGGCGGCCAUUGCCGGCGACUUUAAGCCGGAGCAUGUCAACGGCUUCCCUAUGAGGCCCGACGAAGGCUCGGUCGAUCUGGUAUGUUUUCUUCUUCGCGCGUAGCCUUGACUCUGGGUUCCUUUUCCUCCCUUUUUUCUAAGUUCACUUUUAUUCUGGCAGGGGCGGAUCGACGUCCGGUCCUCGACGCCCCCGGUAAGGGAGGACGAAGUUGAUCGCGACGCGCGGCGCCGGUCCGCCGAGAAGAUGAAGUCCGCCAAGGACUCUAAGAAGAAGGGGGAGAAAAAGAAAAACCUUGACCGCCAAGCCUUAGAGGCGCGUCGGUCCAAAUCCAGGCAGAGGGGAGAGCCUGAGGAGGAGUCCCCCAGUGACGAAGACGACGAUGAUGACGAGGACAGUGACGACUCUGAGGGGAUGGCAUCACGCCUCGACCGAAUCCUCGAGGGUCCGCCUCGAGGCGACGCUGACGCCCCCCGGACAGAGACUCCAAAGGAAGGUCCAAGCGGAUCUCACCGCCCUCGGGCCGACACCCCCCCACGCUCAAGGCUGGUCAGGUCGCACCGCUUCCUCCCCCGGCGCCCAAAGAGGGCGGUCAUGCUAUGCCCCAGGUGACGGGGCCACUUACUCGCGGCCGCGCCGCGGCCUCCGAGAAAGGAGAGGCCGGCCGUAGGAGUGCCAGUCCCGGCACCCGCCAGGCGGGAACUGACGCGCCUAGGCCCGCGCCCGCCCUCGAAGGGCCUGGAGCCCUGACGCGAGGUGGCUCGAGGCCCACCAGUCGGGGCGGCGGGAGGCGAGCUGUUCUCCCUGUGGGGUAAGCCUUUUCGUUGUUGUGGCCUUUGUCUUCCUGCUCCUCCGCAUUUCCUCAUAUGCCGAUCUUUUCUCAGGCUAAAGCGGACCCUCGAGCAGGCCCAGCCGUCCAUGGCAAAGAGGCUCAAAACGGGAGCCGCCUUCAAGGAACCAGGUUCGUAGUUUAUUUCUGGGCCUUGCGAUGUUCUUAUGUCGGUUACUAUAGCGUCUGGCCUUUACCCUUUGCUUUGUAGGCUUCUCCGACUCCCAACCUCCAGCCGGCAUCGAGAGGGCUCCGCCUCGUCCCGUGCCUACCCCGUCGCCGCCGACUUGUGGUGAGGCGCCCCAGACGCAAGCGUCAGAGGGAGCCCCCGAGCCUCCUAAAUUGGGGGUCGAGGGGGAACCCAUCACCAUCAGCGAUACGUCUGAGGGUAACGAAGCGUCUGGGGGUGCCCGCCCUAUGGAGGAGUAAACGUCGACCUCCCACGUCGCGGGACGGACUCCCUGGCCUGCUGGCCUUCGAGCUCUCGAAGAGCAAAGGAAGAUGGAGGAGGAGGAGGAGCGGGAGCGCGAGGCGACACGGCCGUCACUGGAGCAGCAGCAACAACAACAACCCCAGUCGGUGGAGCAGCAACAGCAGCUGCAGCGUCAGCAGGAGGAGCAGCAGCAGCGGCAGGAGCAGCAACAGCAACAGCAGCAGAGGGGCCAAGAGGACGAGCCACUCGAGCCCCCGCCUCAAGGUCUGGCCCAAACGGCGCCACUAGCGCCGCAAGAGCCCGGCGAUCAGGAGGAAAAUUUGCCGGUGUACGGCCCUCCCACCCCAGCGUGGCUUCUCCCGGGGGCGCCUGCCGCGAUCCGGGCAGAGUCGGGGCGAGCGGACGGAGUGGUGGCGCUCGCCUGUAUGAUGCGCACCCCCACCGACCCCGAGUCCGAGAUCAAGAGGAUGAUCUACGGCAUGGACGGGAUCGCCCCAGGGUUCCUCCGGGAGCGUCGAGCGUGGGAGGACCGCUUUCCCUCUGAGGAGGAUGAGAUUGGGUCGUCAGGGAGCAAGGACGGUACCUGGAAGACGGUGGACGACGACGGGCGGUUCCCUUGCCUCAUCGACCUGUUCUUGCGCCACAGGGGUUCCCUCGAGACCGUCGAGAACCUUAUCCGCGGCGUCAAGGCGCGGGCUGAUCGGGAGAUGGAGAACUGGUGUCCCGAUCAGAUUCGUCUCCGAGCUUCCACCGACCCGUUCGAGCCCAAUAUCUUCCUCGGCGACAAGAAGGAGGCCGAGAAGUGGGAGCAUGUCGAGGAGCUCCGCCUUUGGAUGAAGCACGUGGUGGGGCUCCUGUCGGACAUCAUCAACAACGGGCUUGGGCCUGCUUAUUUUGUAAGUGUUUUUCGAUCUUUGGUCUUCGUGGAGCCUUUUGGUUUUGUGCUCUAACUGUUUGUCCACCGGCUCGUAGGAUAUGAAAGAGACCUCCCGCAUCAAGUCGAGCUUUAUCCACGCCACACGAGGCGGCUGGGAGCAGCUCCCCGUCCUCAAGGAUCAACUCCUCGAGUCGCAGGAGAAACUUCUUAAGGCCUAUAAAGAUCUCAUAGCGCUCGAGGAGGAGAAGAAGGCGAGGGAGGCUGCCUUGGCGGAGGCUUGAGAGGCUUCGAAGAAGGCGGAGGAGGAGACGACGCUGCUGCGGGAGCGGGCUCUGACGGUCGAGGAGGCUGCAUCCAGAGCCCGGGAGGAGGCCCUGUCCUACAAGAACGUUAUUGCGGAUCUGGACAAGGAGAAGGCCCUUCUCAAGACCGACCUAGACUCCCUUCGCAAUUCCUUCCAGAAGAUGAAGGUGGCGUAUGUGGAUAGUGAGGUCGCCAGGAGUGCCGCCGAGGACAUAAAUAAGAAGGCCCUCGAAGACCUCGAGGCGGAGCGAGCUCGAUCCCGCAGUCUCUCUGACGACGUUGAGCGUCUGAGGGCAGAAUUGCUGGUGAAGAGUGUGGCCAUUGCUCAGGCUGGCAAGGUGAUCGAAGAUCUCCGCGUUGCCAAUACUGAGCUGGCGCGUUCCAAUAGAGAGAUCGAGAGGGCCAACACCAGAUUGGUCGUUGAGAACACGGCCCUGGAGGAGAGCGUUCGAGGUAUGUUUCCUUUGUCGGGUUAUUUUUUCGAGGUGUGCUUGGUUUUUUCCUAAAGCUUCUUGUAUUGGCGUUUACAGGGCUUAAGGACGAACUCCUAGCCGCCCAAGUCGAGGCCCGUAAUGCUAAGGCCCUGCUCGAGGCGGAGGUCGCUUUGAACCGUCGCGUGCGGACGGCGAUAAGCGACCUCUCGACCUCUUGGGAGGUCGAGCCAAUGGACGAGUCGAGGGAGGGAGCUCGAGGCAACGCACUGGUCGACCAGCUGUGCUACUUAGGCGCGGUGCUGAAAGACCGAGUGCGGGACGCCCUCCACAUCGGGGUGAAGCGGGCAAUGGCAGUUGUCUGCUCGGGCUUCUCCUAUGACAUGGAGGUGGUGUCCCACGGCUUUGUCACCGACAUCUCCAAGACCGACGUGGAGAACGAAGAGAGGCUCCACGCCUUGAUCGACGACGCGGAGGCUCCUGGGGAAAGGCUGGCUAAGCUUUUUGAGCCUGAGGUGCUUCCUCCUGAGACUGGCUCGGGCACAGGCGAGGGUGGUGAGGACCAUACCAUGGACUGAGGCCUGCGAGCGUGCUCAGGGUGCCCAGGGCCCCUUGUAUAAUACUUUGUUAACUCCGUUUUUAAGCGACAUAGUAUCUUUUUGUAAUUGUUGAAUGUUUAUUUGUCUUUCCGCUCGAGGUUCUUUUAUUCCUUCUUAUUCCUACGUUUGUAUUUCUUGUUCGAUCUUUCGUCAAAAACAACCUCGAUCACCUCAAGGGUAAGGAAGUGAGUAGAGUUUCCGUAGCCCGGGGGCGUAGGGGUUCUCAGGCUUGUUGUCCCUCGGCUUUUGAGGGGCUCGAGGUGCCUUGGCUACUCAAAUCGUGCAAGGUUUACUAAGUAAGAAAAGAAAAUUUCUUGGCUUUUUCGACGUUUGGGGUGGGGUCGUCCCCCUGGUAGCCCCCGAGGGGGGUGUUGACUAUGAUGGGUCAUAGUCGGCGCCCCCUUCUAUCGUCGAGAUCAUGACUUGUAAAGCCUUAGUACAAAAAGAAGUUGGAUGCUCGAGGGAAGGACUUCAUCUAUUCAUACAUUCGUUUACAGGGUCUUGGUACAAAAUAUACGUAAGAACAUAAGUUUUGAACUUCUAGGGGUAGAAUCGACGUAGCUGUUCGAUAUUCCAUGCGUUGGUGAAGACCGCCCCCUUCUCGUCCGCUAACUUGUACGUUCCUGGCUUCAAGACCUCGGCCACCACGUACGGGCCUUCCCAUGGCGGGGUCAGCUUGUGACGUCCUUGGUUGCUUUGCCGUCGUCGUAGGACAAGGUCGCCUACGUUUAAGUCCCUCUUGCAUACGUGUUUGUCGUGGUAGUGUCGAAGCUUCUGCUGGUAUCUGGCAGAGUUGAGGAGGGCCAUGUCUCGAGCCUCCUCAAGCUAAUCGACCGCGUUCUCUUGAGCUUCCUUAUUCGACUGCUCGUUGUAUGCCUUGAGUCGAGGAGAUCCAUACUCGAGGUCCGUUGGGAGCACGGCCUCAGAACCGUAGACCAUGAAGAACGGGGUGUAUUUGGUGGCCCGGCUUGGCGUCGUCCUCAAACUCCAUAAGAUCGAGGAAAGCUCCUCGACCCAUUUCUUGCCGAAUUUCUUCAAGCGAUUGUAGAUUCUUGGUUUGAGCCCCUGCAAGAUCAUGCCGUUCGCACGCUCGACCUGGCCGUUAGUUCGAGGGUGAGCCACCGCGGACCAGUUCACACGGAUGUGAUGCUGAUCGUAGAAGUCCAUGAACUUUUUGCCGGUGAACUGGGUGCCAUUGUCGGUGAUGAUUACGUUAGGGAUUCCGAAUCGGUGUAUGAUGUCGGUGAAGAAAAGGACGGCUUGCUCGGAGCGGAUGUUGGUGAUGGGUCGAGCCUCGAUCCAUUUGGAGAAUUUGUCGAUGGCCACCAGCAAGUGGGUGUACCCUCCUUUCGCUUUUUGCAGGGGCCCCACUAAGUCGAGUCCCCACACCGCAAAUGGCCACGUGAUGGGGAUCAUCUGAAGAGCGUGGGCGGGAAGAUGCGUCUGUUUGGCGUAAAAAUGGCAUCCAUGACAUGAGCGUACGAGCUCGAUGGCAUCCGCUACGGCCGUCGGCCAGAAGAAACCUUGUCGGAAAGCGUUCCCUACGAGGGUCCGUGGAGCAGCAUGGUGGCCACAAGCCCCCGAGUGUAGGUCCUCGAGUAGUUUCCGGCCUUCUUCCACAGUGAUGCAACGCUGCAGGACCCCCGUCGGGCUUCGUCGGUAUAGCUCAUUGCCUUCACCGUAAAUCACGUAUGACUUGGCUCGUCGAGCGAUAUGGCGGGCCUCAGAUGGAUCUUCUGGCAGUUCGCAGUGGAUUAGGCAGUCGAGGAACGGUGUGCGCCAGUCGAACGGUCGACCGGGUCGCUGUUCUGCCUCCAUCACCUCUGCUGCCACCAGCAGCGUGUCGACGGUGUCGGUUGGCUGGGCAGAAGCGGCAUCGACGCCAACCCCCGAGCCCAAGUCGACGGAUGGCUCGUGGAGAUCUCUCGAGAGCGCGUCAGGCGGUACCGUGCCUCGGGUUGACGGGAUUUUGGCGAGUUCGUCAGCUGCUUCGUUGUAGCGUCGGGCGAUGUGGACGAGCUCGAGGCCAUGGAACUUGUCUUCGAGCCGACGGACUUCUUUGCAGUACGCAUCCAUUUUCGGGUCGUGGCAGCUCGAAGUCUUCAUCACCUGGUCGAUGAUGAGUUGGGAGUCACCUCGGACGUCGAGGCGUCAGACUCCUAGCUCGAUGGCAAUCUUGACACCGUUGACGAGGGCCUCAUAUUCUGCGACGUUGUUGGAUGCGGCAAAGUGAAUCCUGAUGACAUACCUCAUAUGGACGCCCAAGGGUGAGAUGAACAACAGGCCAGCCCCGGCCCCCGUUUUCAUGAGUGACCCGUCGAAAUACAUCGUCCACAGUUCCGCCUGGACCUGGGUCGGGGGGAGCUGGGAGUCUGUCCAUUCCGCGAUGAAAUCCACCAGGGCUUGCGAUUUGAUGGCCUUGCGGGGCGCGUACGUGAGAGUCUCACUCAUGAGUUCGAUCGACCAUUUAGCUAUCCUUCUUGUGGCCUCCUUGCUCUGGAUUAUCUCGCCCAAAGGGAAAGACGAGACCACUGUGAUGGGGUGGCCGAGAAAGUAGUGCUGCAGCUUGCGGCGGGUGAGGAUUAUGGCGUAGAUCAGCUUCUGGAUUUGGGGGUAACUUACCUUGGUCUCUGAAAGCACUUCGCUAACGAAAUAGACUGGCCUUUGGACUGGCAGCGCUUGCCCCUCUUCCUACCUCUCGACCACCACCGCUGCACUAACGACCUGGGUCGUCGACGCAACGUAAAGGAGCAGUGGUUCUGCAGGUUGAGGCAGGACCAAGACCGGUGCUGAGGUCAGCGUUUUCUUCAGUCUUUCGAGAGCUCCCUCGGCCUCAGGGGUCCAAGAAAAGCGCUCGACCUUCUUCAGGAGUCAGUACAGCGGUAACGCCUUUUCCCCUAGUCUCGAGAUGAAAUGACUCAGAGCCGCCAAGCAUCCCGUGACUCUUUGGACACCCUUGACGUCCCGGAUCGGCCCCAUUCUCGUGAUGGCCUAGACUUUCUCGGGAUUGGCCUCGAUACCGCGCUGGGAUACAAUGUAACCCAAGAGCAUGCCUCGAGGUACGCCGAAGACGCAUUUCUCGGGAUUGAGCUUGAUCUGGUUGGUGCGUAAGCAGCUAAAAGCGAUCUCGAGGUCUUGGAUCAGGUCCCCUCGCUGCUUUGAUUUGACGACAAUGUCGUCGACGUAGGCCUCGACCGUCGACCCUAUGUGUUCGCCAAAUACGUGGAGCAUGCAACGUUGGUACGUGGCUCCCACGUUUCGAAGCCCAAACGGCAUGGUUACAUAGCAAUACAUCCCAAAAGGCGUGAUGAAAGAGGUCGCGAGCUAGUCGGACUCUUUCAUUUUGAUUUGAUGGUAGCCAGAAUAUGCAUCGAGGAAACAAAGGGUUUCACAUCCCGCAGUAGAAUCGACAAUCUGGUCAAUACGUGGUAAUGGAAAAGGAACUUUCGGACAUGCUUUAUUUAGACUUGUAUAAUCGACACACAUCCUCAUUUUCCCAUUCUUUUUCUUAACUAAUACAGGGUUUGCUAACCAGUAGGGAUGAUGAACCUCCUUGAUGAAUCCGGCCGUCAAAAGCUUGUGGAAGUCCUCGCCAAUGAUCUUGCGCUUCUCCUCGUCGAAUCGGCGCAACCGUUGCUUCACUGGCUUGGAACCGGCUCGAAUCUCCAAGGAGUGCUCGGCGACUUCCCUCGGUAUGCCUGGCAUGUCCGAGGGACUCCAUGCAAACAUGUCGGCGUUCGCACGGAGAAAGUCGACGAGCAUAGCUUCCUAUUUGGGGUCGAGGUCGGCGCUGAUCGUCAGCACCUUGCCAUCGGAGUUGUUGGGGUCGAGCGGGAUCUUCUUGGUUCCUUCCGCUGGCUCGAAGUUGCCCGCGUGGUGCUUGGGCUCUGCAGCCUCAGCGGCCAGGGCCUCGAGCUUUGCGACGAGCUCAGUGGAGUUCUCGACCGCCUCCCCGUGCUCGACGCACUCGACGUCACACUCGUAAGCGUGCUCGAAGGAGGAGCUGACGGUGAUGACGCCUUUGGGUCCAGGCAUCUUGAGCUUCAAGUAGGUGUAGUUGGGAAUGGCCAUGAACUUGGCGUAGCCCGGGCGCCCGAUGAUGGCGUGGUACGUGCCCCGAAACCCGACCACCUCAAUGGUGAGGGUCUCCUUCCUGAAGUUAGCCGCCGUGCCAAAGCAGACCGGUAGGUCGAUUCGACCUACUGGCAGCGCCUUUUUCCCUGGCACGACGCCAUGGAAACCGCCGGCGCUUGGCUGGAGGCGUCCCCUAUCGAUGCCGAGGAGGUCGAGGGUCUCGAGAUAGAUGAUGUUGAGGCUGCUGCCUCCGUCCAUUAGCAGCUUAAAGAGCCGGGUGUUGAUGAUGAUUGGGUCGACGACGAGCGGGUAGACACCUGGGGCGACUACCUUGUCGGGGUGGUCCUCUCGAUCGAAGGUAAUGGGGGUGCUCGACCAGUUGAGGUACUGGGGCACCGCCAUUCUUGCCGCAAAGACCUCACGGCGUUACCUUUUGCGCUGCCUCGUGGUUAACUGCGUAGAAGGCCCACCAUAGAUCAUGUAGCAGUCGUGGACGGCGGGGAAACCGUUGUCGUUCUUGCUGCCCUCUUUGUCACCGCCUUUCUGCUUCUUCGAGUCGUCACGCUCAUCCCUUUUGAACCCCAGACCGUCGAAAUGCCUUUUCAGCAUUCGACAGUCCUUGAGCUUGUGGUUGGCGCCUCCCUUAUGGUAAGGGCAUGGCUCUUCGAGCAUCUUGUCGAAAAUACCUCCGUCUGGGGGGCCUCUAGGCUUCUUCCGCUCCACAGCAGCGACGAGAUCGUCGUCGAAGUUCUCCUGCUUGUACUGUCGCACUUUCUGCUUGUUCUUGUUCUUCUUGAGCCCUCUACUGGGGGUUCCAUCUUCAUCGGCAGGCCGCUUGCCUUUCCCCCCUUCACAGCUGAAGAAGGUGCCGACUGCCUCUUCCCCUGCCGCGUAGUUUGCCACUACGUCCAUCAGCUCAUCGACGGUCUGAGGGCGAUUUCGGCCCAGUUCCCGCACUAAGUCUCGACUGGUGGUACCAGAGACGAAAGCCAGGAUGACGUCAUAGUCGGGGAUGUGCGGCAGCUCAGUGCGCUGCUUCGAGAAGCGUCGAGCAUACUCUCGUAGAGUUUCUUCUGACUUCUGCUUGCACUUGCUGAGGUCCCACAAAUUUCCGGGCCGUAUGUAGGUCCCUUUGAAAUUUCCCUCGAAGACUUUAACCAAAUCGACCCAGUCGUGGAUUUGAUUUGCUGGAAGUUCCUCAAGCCAUCGACGGGCGGUGUCGAAGAGGAAGAGUGGUAGCUGUCUCAUGAUGGCUCGAUCAUCCCCUCGAGCGCCACCUAGCUGGCAGGCCAGCCUAAAAUCAGCCAGCCAUAAUUCUGGUUUGGUCUCUCCAUUGUAUUUCGCGAUGCUGGUCGGGGGUCGGAAUGGACUGGGCAGGGGCGUGCUGCGGAUCGCCCUGCUGAACACCCGUGGGCCUGGUGGCUCGGGGGCCACCCGGUCCUCGUCGCUGUCGUACCUUCCGCCGCGAUGUGCGCUGUAACCUCGCUCUUCCGCGUCUCCGUGGCGGCGGCGUCGAUUCUCUUCGAUGUCAUGCCGCGCAUCGUGUCGACGCUGAUUGUCGACGGGGAGAACGAGAGCGGUCUUUCUGCCUCGAGGAGACACCUCCUUUUCAUUUUGAGGCUGCUCGUCGCGCUUUUUAGUGGCAGCUCCUCAUCGUCGAGAAGCUGAGCUUUCGGCUUGUUGAACUGCCGCCACCUGGAGCAGGGUCUGUACCUCGUCUCGAAUGCGUCGAGCCUGGGAGUUCGACGGCUCUAGCAUGUUGCACAGCAGCAUCGUCGCCGCCACUACAUUUUGGCCUGCUCGAGGGAAGCGGCUGACGGGCUGCUCUGGCUCUGCGUCUCCGACGAUUUGUCGAUGUACCUCUCGAGCACGUCUGCGAACACUUCCGCCUGGCGGGUAUGGCAAGUCUUGCUCAAGGAUUUGCUCAAGCAGGACGAGGCGCUCUCGGUCUUCAUCGAGCUUCAUCUUGAGCUCUCGCAGCUGCGCUAGCUGUGCAGCCUUGUCUUCUUGUGGAGGGGGGUCGACCUGUCCGUCGUUCCCAGGCGUCCUGGGGUCUUCUCGCGCCGUGGGGGCUCGACCGCCUGCAGCAGCAUCCCGCGUCUCGUCAGUAGUUUCUACUGCCCCGUCGACGUGAUAGCAUUCCCUCGUAGGGUCGUAGCUAUCAGUCUCGGAGUCGAAGUCCGACUCGGUGGUGUAGAAGCAUCCACAUCCGUCCUCCAGCAGCCGCUGCCUAAGUGAGGUGAUUGUGUAUCGCCCAGGGCCUUGGCGGCGGAGGCCUCGCUCCUGGGAGAAAUCUGGCAGUUCGGACGUCGGCCGUAAUGUCUCGGAGUCACGUGGGAGGACCAUUGGUCUCUCCACGUUCGUCUGAGCAUUUGGGCAUAUUGCUCUGGCGAGCGACGUCGCGGCGUUGUCCAAUCCGAAUGGCAGUGCCCUUCUUGGAGUGGACAACCCGCGUGGAAGUAGUUUAGUAGCGGUGGGGGAGGGCGCGCGAGACGCGUCCCCUCCCAUCGUCGUGCGAUGUUGAGCCGUCGUGCCUGCGGUUCCGGCGCAUGGUGUUGCCGGCUCGCGGUCCACCUCCUGCCUCGCACGAGUUGCCGGUCGUGAUGAGGCAGAGGGGCGACGGUAGUGCUGUCCGCGCUUCUUCUUGGGCGGGGAGGCGUGGUGGCGAGGGCGUCUUGGGGCCCUCAACCGAGCUGGUGCAACGCGGGCUCCUCCCAGUUCUUUGACUGAGAGCAAGAUCAUGUCGUAGCCGGAGCCCGUAGACAUGAACUCGAGACUCCCAAACCAAAUCACCGUGGAGCGCGGAAUCGGCGAGGCAAGAGCUGCCAUCUGGAAAGGAGUGGGAAACCGAUGAAAAACACGCAGGACCCCUACCUGGCGCGCCAACUGUCGGUGUCUUUCCCACGGGGGGUCACACCAACGAGUAAAUUUGUGUGCGUGCUCCCUUUCCCAGAUGGUGAUGCAAGAAUACACAGAGAUUUAUCCUGGUUCGGGCAAGAGAAGGCCCUACGUCCAGCGGGGGGGAGAGGCUUGUAUUAUCUUGCAACUAAGUGCUUGUACAGGGGUGAAUACAAGCGUGGUAUGAAGUGUGUGAGCCCUACUGCGUAUGUGUGUAGUAUUGCGUGGUGUUCUAUUCCUGAGUCUCUCCUUUUAUAGUUCCAAGGAGUGACUUAGGGUACAUGCGUAGACGUCAGAGUAGGGGUCGGUAGCAGCAUGGUGUGCAGACCUACUCGAGGCUUCCGUACCGGCAUGACUUCGAGCUGUCCCGUCUUAAUAGUCUGGUGAUGAUUACACGUGCCCCUGCAUUCUGCUCUGUGCGCCGUCUUGUGCUGGCUCAACGGUCGCAUGCUCGUACGGUAGAGCGGCAGAUCUGGCGGGGUAGUUAUGGUGUUAUCAGUCGACGCUCCUCACGUCCCUAGGAAGGAACCUUGUUCGGUCGAGGGUCGGACGCCGUGUACCGUGACGAUAUCCGGAGCGCUGACCUUGAAUGUCUCGAGGGGGUCCCGAUUAGACGUCCCAUCCUUGUUUCCCGCGCCCUGACAUGCCCUGGGCCGUUCGGCGGGAAGGCUGCAAAAAGAUCGAUGGGACGAAUGCCUGUUCCAUAUCACGCCUCCCGUGACCUGUGUGUUAGGUGGGGAAGCGUCAGGCGCAUUUAAUGCCCCGGCUUGCGUGCGCGCGUCAGGCGGCGGGCAGCGUCUUUGCGCUCGACGCCUCCUGGUUCGCGUGAUCCUGUUCCGUAUUCGACGAUAACCAGCGCUCGACGCCUGAUCGAUUCGCUCGACGCUAUUUCCGUCUUCGAGGUUGCGGCCGUCGAUGGCAGCGCACACGUAAGACCAGAGCGUCGAAUUGAGGGCCGCGACCUGCGUACGGGCAAUCUCGUAAUGCACAUCGGUGAGGGUACCCCUUACUGAUACCCUCGACAAAGACCAAGGAAGUAACUAAGCUCUCCUAUCAUGGACAUCUCAAACUCAUGAGCCAUCAUUCUUCCAAACUCUUCACAAAAGUCUUGACUGGUUGAUCCAAAAAUGAUAUCAUCAACAUAGAUUUGCAACACAAACAAGUCAUUUCCUAGUUUCUUGGUGAAGAGGGUAGUGUCAACCUUUCCCAUCUUGAACCCUUUAGAGAGAAGAAAGUCUCUCAAGCUCACAUACCAUGCUCUAGGUGCUUGCUUCAAACCAUACAAUGCCUUCUUGAGCUUGUUGUUGACACUUGCUAACACCACUUGAAUACUAGGUUGUCAUCCCCAGCAUGGCACUAGAGUGUACUAUGGUAUUUAUACGCACACAGAUAAUCCGCAAGCGCAUGGAUACCGUUGAAGCUUUCACCCGGUUAAAGGUUUUAUCGUAUCCACAGGGAAACGGGAGAACCAACUAGGCUCUAACUUAACCAAGAUAGAUAGAUAGGUAUAAAUAGGAAAGAUAGUAGAAUUGAAUAAGAACAAUAUUAAAGGUAAGAUAACAAUGGGUAAUAAUAUGGGAAUAGAGUGUAGAGCAAUUCUAGUAUAUGGGCGAUGGUAGCAGAAUAGAGAGGAUAACUAUGGUUUCUCUACUUCAAAGGGGUAUGUCUAUGUCUAGGACGAACCACGUGAUAAGAGUACACCACAAAGGAUGCUUAUCCAAAGGCCGAUAAACCCUACCCGUCCUGCUAACGAGAGGUGGACUACAGGGGACCAACGUAACUGUCACCUACGCGGCCUACCACACGAUCCACCUAGUCAGGGGAUAUCCACAAGUAAUCUAGGUCUAAGCACCACGCUUACACCUAUACUACAACUCUAACCUAUAGGGUCCUAUAGAUUAGAAGUACUCAAAAGAGUUGUGAACCAGAACAUACAUGAUUAGUAAUUGCAUAAUGAAUUAGAAGUAGAUUACCAGAGUCAUCCCAUGAGCAAGCUUGAUUAGAGCUUGAUCAUGGCGAAGUACAACCGGAGGAAGAACCGACAGGCCGGCCUCUCCUCUAAUCCUCCUUCGCUCUCCAUCUCGCUACUAUCUAGAUCUACUCUAGUUUAGAGAAGAGAGGAGAGUUCUCAUCUCUAAACCCUAGCUUUUGCUCUGUCUAUGAAUAAUGAAUAAUGAUCAAGGGGUGCCUCCUCCAGGGGCCAGGGGGUUUGGUUUUAUAGUCCCCUCAAGUGAACCUGGGCCGUCGGAUCAAACCGACAUUGAUUGAACAGUUAUUCUUGAUCCUUUAGGUCGGUGGAGAUCUCCCGAGAGAAAGAGUCCUGAUUGGGCUCCAGAGGUGGGCGGGCACCCAGUAGGACAGGGCGGGCGCCCUGCCUCUGGCCCCGUCUCGUGGCUUCUGGAGUCUUCUAGAUGUAAGAUAAUUGCGCAGCACGUUAAUAUCUUUACGUAAUCCCGACGUGUGGGGCUUUCUUCCUUAUUUCCUGAUAACCCCCUGCAGAAAUAGACAAACACCAAAACUCGUGGAAUUCUGUCAGAUAAAACCCUAAGUCUCGAUGUUGAUUUCAUUUGGAUCCUUUUCUUUGUUUAUUUGAUAGUUAAAUUUGAUACUUAAGGACCGUCAACAAACUCCCCCAAGCUUACCUCUUGCUCGUCCCUGAGCAAGGAUAAACUCAGCUAUGGAUCAUGAGUUGUUGCAAUAUCUUUAAAAAUUGAUGGUACACAUGCUUUUAAAUGAGGUCCCAUCUCUGAGUUAGAGUAAACUGUCAAGACUUAAAACUUACUUACUUUACCUUUCACCAUGGGACUUGUAACCGUCACUUCUGUCUUGAGUGGUUAAAAGAUAGAACAGUCCAGUCAAGUGCCAUGUCGCUUAUUCUUGAUCAGCUAUAGCUCUGGAGUUUUUGCAGAUUUUCAAAUAAAACUCAGAGAUUCCUUUGUAUGACUCUCUCAUAUCUCUCUUUUGUGGUAUUUCUGGAUCCUUACCAAGGCAGUGAUGGUAUAUGCCUUCUCUCAAAAUAUGUGGUAUUUGUGGUAUAAGGCAUAGUGACAUUGCCUUCUCUCUCACCCUACUCUAAUAAGGCUUUAAUAUCUGGAGCUCAUAGGUGGGAGAUAAAAUAUACAUACUUACAAGACAUUUAUUGUGUAGUCAAACUAUGGAUCCAAAGAAACAAAUCAAUAAGCCAAAUCAAGAUGUGCAUGUGUGGCGAAUGAAUGGUGUAUGGUGAUGAUGGUGAUAACAAUGGUGAAAGUCUAAUUCUACUUUUGCUCUUUUGAGGGGAUACAUACCUUCCUUGCUUUUUGAAACUUUAUGAGGAGAAUGAGAUGCUCUUCUUUUUUUUCUUUUCUCUCAGAUGGAUAUCUUAUACCCCUAAUUCUACUGUCGGACACUUGUCCAUUUUUACCUCUUGUCUCACUCUUUUUCUUUUCUUUCGAGGUUCCGGGCACUUGCCCCUUUUUAUUUCCUCAUUUAUUUAUUUAAUUUUUUUUCUUCUUUUUUUUUCUUCUCUUUUUUUAGAGCACUCAUCUCUUGAGAUAAUAUAGCAAGUGGUAGUAGCAAGAUAACUUGAGCAUUUAUUUCACAAGGGAAAAACACAUAUGUUUUUGGCUAUUCUCUCCCGAAUUAGGAGUAGAAUAUUUUUAGGUGAUUCUAGAGAUGGAAAUGGAUGGAUAUAUGUGGAUGGUACUUCCGGAGUAGAAGUAGCAUAUAUAUGAGUGAACGUGCAUGUGAAUCUUGAUUUAACCACAUGACAAGCUCCUAAGGGUCUACACAGCUUGACCACACUCAAUGCUUAUAAGCAGUAAAUAGUAAAUGUGUGGCUCAAAGUCUAGCAAGCAUGUAUAUAUGGCUGUGGUAGGAAUUUAAACUCUCAUCAUACAGGAACUCAUCAUGCAAUAUUUUAAAGAUUUUUCAAAGAUAAAAUUCUCCAGAAUUCUAGCAUCUCUAGGAACAGAUAAACAACAGCUCAACCUUCCCAUAUCAUAUUCGUUAACAACUUAGAUUUCAGAUCAAGUUUUCAUCCCACAAGUUUAGAUCUAGAGCAAGCUUUAAAUUAUAACAGUUAUGUCUAAACUUGAGAGAGAACUUCAAAUUUGCAAAUUAGGCAGAGCAACUAUUAUCAUAUCCAUGCUAGAGUUUUAUUAUUAAGAUUCAGAUUAGCAUAGCCACUUUAUUUGUUUAUUAAACACACUAAGCAAAAGAUAUAUAUAUAAGCACAAAAUCUUUAUUUGGUUUUUCAUAGUUUAUGUAUUUUAAUAUUCUAAUAUAAUAUAAGUAUAAAGAUAGGUAGAAAUACUUAGCGAGAUAAAUGGGGGUGCUCUCCCCCAAGCUGAAUUUUGACGUAAUUUCUCUUGAUGUAGCUAGCAGGUAGCAGAGGUGUAUUUAAAAGUCAGCAGCAUUCUAACAGCGAUUAGAAUGUCCUCCGUCUGCUAGUCUUCUUGAUUCUUAAAUUCUGUGGAGCUCAAAUAGACAACAAAGCUUGUGGAACUAAUUAAGUGUUAGCAUAAAUAUCUAGCCUUCAUCACGUUGAGCUUCCUCAAUAAAUAUUACUCCCUGUUUUUAUAUUUUUAUUUUAUAUAGUAGAAAAGAAAUAUUUAUUUUAUUUUUAUGCCACCACAGUGAAGGUAUUUAUGGGUUUUAUGCCACUCGUAAACUCACAUGGGGCUUAGUAUUUUAUUUUUUUUAACAUUUUUAUUUUCUUUUCAAGAUAGCAUGAUUAACUAAAAAUCUAUUUAAGAAAAGUAAAUAAUUAAAGGGAAAAAGGGAAUGCAGAAAGGAUAAAUAUGGAUAACUACCAAUCUUACCUUUCGGCGAGGGUUCAAUGUUUUAAGUCUUCUUGUCAAGACUUCUCAUCGUGUUCAUUCUUCAGGUGUGUCAUUUGAUUCAGGUGCGGACCUUGACGUCUGCACCUUUUAAUACGGUGUCACCUAUGUUCAUCGUUUGCCCAGCAGUUCGAAGUGCGGUGUUAGCAGUAUCUUGCUCAGUGUGUUUGUGCUCGUAGUGUACCUGCUCAUAGAGACAAGGCAGAGAUCAAGUGCAAGGGCCCUGUUGGUGGAAAACGACAACAGAACCAAAAGUGUAUUUGUUCUUCUCUAACCUUAAGCAUAGUGAGCAAGACAAAGUUGAUGGAUGAUAAGUUCAUGAGUGUAGAGCUUAGAACAUUUGUCAGACCGCUCAACCUUAUGGAAAGAUAAUCUAUCUAUGUAUAUGUCUUUUUCUUUAUAUCUCUCAAAGAUUGAAUGUGUAACAUUUUAGCUCAUCAUGGAGGUAGUACUAGGAACAAAGAUUAAAGGACUACACAUGCUGAAUCAGUUGGGUUGGUUAAUUUGGAGUUAUAAAUCAUACAUAUUUGUCUCUUUAUUUAUAUGAACGCCAGAACCAAGGAGAAGCUUAUAAAAGUGAUAGUCAAGUACCUUAAGAUGUUACCUUGCUCGAAGAGUGAUGGUACAGUAUCAUCUUGUGGAAGCUUUCCUUUCUUAGCGGUUGUGCGUCGUGUUUGUGGCACCCUCCAUGGAUCAUCUCUCUAUGAUGAAUGAGCUAUGUCCUUCUUGUGCAAAUUGUUAAACUUCAUGUGUCACUCUCUUCGUCUCUGAUGUGAGUUUAUCUCAGGACUUCCCAAAUCGAUAUUGAAAGUUUUUCUGCAGGGGUUAGUCCGACAAAAUAUACCAAUAUCUACUCAAGCAGUUUUUUUUAGUUCAAUAACCAAACUAGACUCCAUGUCUAAUCAGAUUAAGGAAGGCUUAUUCAACCUAAGCACCAUGCUUAAUUUAAAUGCCAAUGGAAGUAUGGCGAGUACUUCCAAACCAACACUUGCUAGUAAAUAGACAAAGGUAGCAUGACAGCAUUUAUAGAGAUUUACUCAAGUGGAGAUGAAGUAGUGUGAUUAGUAUUUAACAAAUUGAGCAUGUCUCAAAGGUAGGGACAACCAGCAUAGCAACAUGGCAAAGGAUGUUUUUAUGUAAAGUACUCCCCCAAGCUUGAAUUUUGUAAAAUUCAAGUUUGGAUGAAUUUAAUUCAAUAUUGUAUGAUGAUUGGUUGGACAUACCUUGUGCUUGUCAUUCAUCCGAUCUUCUUGCUCCAAUCCUAGAAAGGUUAGUGACAAGAAUACCCGAAGGAAUAUUUUUUUACAAUUAUCCUUAUAUGCUCAAUACACAAGGUAAUGUUGCAAAUAAUUAAAGGCUCAUGUUACGAUCUGAUCAAUGCUUAUUUUAAGACACUAAGCUUGUCCUUGGGAAACCAUCAGUUUAUGUUGGCGAAGUGGUUUCCCCUCCGACGCCAACCUAUAUCUAGAUCAACUCAACGAGAUCUGCAUUAUUUAUUAUAGACAUAUGCAUCAACAACCGCCCUUUUAAAGUUUUUAUAAAUAGAAAGGAAGAGGGGGUUGGAGAUCUCAAGUGUGGUGAUGUCGGAGAGACCAAUAGAUUGGGAAGAUGUUGCAUAUGAGCAUGGAGUAAACGAAGUGACUAUGAAAUAAAUUCCAUGCUCAUUAAUGUUAUCUUCGUCUCUAAUCUGAAUGUUCGGAGUUUCUCCUGGAUUGGUCUCACCUAUGUCCUCUUCUGUAGUUGGAUGAAUCUCAUCUUCAAAGUGAGUCAAGAACUCACCAUUUGAAAUUGAGCCAAAGUCAGAACCCGUUAAGGCUUCUUCCUUAUCCAUCCAUUCUAGACAUUCUAGCCAUUUAGAACUUGUGAUCAAAAUAGGGGAGGUGUUAGAAUUUUCUAUAUGGCUUAGCUCUCCUUCUAUGGCAUUACUUGACAUGCCAUCCUUAUGGUCUUCAUGACUCCUAUGGUUUGGUCGUCUUGGUGAAUUGCUAGGAUCAUCAUGAGACUGAAAAGAAGAGGGAUAAGAGGGAUCUCUGAGGUCAAGGAUGGAUUUAGAACUUGUGAACAUGGAAGGGGAGUAGAUAGAAUUGUCUAUAUGGCUUAGCUCUCCUUCACUUGAUAUGUCAUCCUCGACUUCUUCAUGAUAGGAACCAGGACAUUCUCUAAGAGAAACAUUAUUGCAAGGAUUUGAAUUAUCCCUGCUUGAAGGUCUCUUAUAGAACCAGAAGUCUAAACCAUUAGCAUCUAAAAGAUUUAAGGUCGGAAUUCCUUCCUCCCUUGGAGAAUUUUGGGGUAUUGAUGGUUUAGGAUCGAUAGCUAAAGUUUGGGAUUGAAGUGGUUGUGAUCUGGCUAUCGAAACUUCUUCUUCUUGUCUAGGAACUGGUUCUUUCUCUUUCUCAGGGAUAUAAAAGUUAGGAGACUUUCCGCUCAUUAAAUCAAUCAAAUUCCAAGCUUCACUAGCGGAUAGGUGGUGGAAAGAUCCUCCAGAGGCCGCAUGAAGGGUUUGCUUAUCUUCCUUACUAAGGCCCUCAAAAAAGUGAAUUAGAAGAACUUCUUCUGGAAUAGAAAGCUUUGGGCCAGUGAGAGUAAGGUUAAUAAAGCGGUCCCAUGAUUUGCCAAGAGAUUCUUCUUCCAGUUGUCUAAAAGAAAGAAUCUCACGCCGAAGUUCCACCACUUUGGAGAUUGGAAAAUAUUUAGAAAGAAAACUACUAUAUAACUCCUUCCAAUCUCCAUGAACACUCCCUACUUUGAGUUUAUACCAAUGUCUAGCUUUUCCCGUUAAAGAGAACGGAAAGAGCUUCCAUUUAAGGGUCUCAUCGGACAUGCCUUCUAUGCGAAGGAGGUCACAGACUCGAUAAAACUCUCUUAGGUGUGUGUAUGGGUUUUCCUCACCUUCUCCUGAGAAAGGUUGUUUUUGAAUAAAUUCUAUGUAUUCGGGGUCUAUCUCAAAACUAGAUGCUAUGAUAGGCUUUGAAGAUUUUGGUGGUUCGAGAUGUGUGCCCAUAGGUCUAUGAAAUUCAUAGACAGACAUGUUUGAAUUCAUAAUAGACCAGAGAUCAAGGAUUAGAUAAGAAGAAAGAAUAGCAAAGAUGAGGCAAAGGAUAAAAGGAAAAUAUUUUUUUUGUUAUAUAUGUAUAUUUUUUUAUAAAAUGAUUAAACUAGUUCGUAGUCAACUCAGCAACCGUUUCCCUGGCAACGGCGCCAAAAAUGCUGUUGACACUUGCUAACACCACUUGAAUACUAGGUUGUCAUCCCCAGCAUGGCACUAGAGUGUACUAUGGUAUUUAUACGCACACAGAUAAUCCGCAAGCGCACGGAUACCGUUGAAGCUUUCACCCGGUUAAAGGUUUUAUCGUAUCCAUAGGGAAACGGGAGAACCAACUACGCUCUAACUUAACCAAGAUAGAUAGAUAGGUAUAAAUAGGAAAGAUAGUAGAAUUGAAUAAGAACAAUAUUAAAGGUAAGAUAACAAUGGGUAAUAAUAUGGGAAUAGAGAGUAGAGCAAUUCUAGUAUAUGGGCGAUGGUAGCAGAAUAGAGAGGAUAACUAUGGUUUCUCUACUUCAAAGGGGUAUGUCUAUGUCUGGGACGAACCACGUGAUAAGAGUACACCACAAAGGAUGCUUAUCCAUAGGCCGAUAAACCCUACCCGUCCUGCUAACGAGAGGUGGACUACAGGGGACCAACGUAACUGUCACCUACGCGGCCUACCACACGAUCCAGCUAGUCAGGGGAUAUCCACAAGUAAUCUAGGUCUAAGCACCACGCUUACACCUAUACUACAACUCUAACCUAUAGGGUCCUAUAGAUUAGAAGUACUCAAAAGAGUUGUGAACCAGAACAUACAUGAUUAGUAAUUGCAUAAUGAAUUAGAAGUAGAUUACCAGAGUCAUCCCAUGAGCAAGCUUGAUUAGAGUUUGAUCAUGGCGAAGUACAACCGGAGGAAGAACUGACAGGCCGGCCUCUCCUCUAGUCCUCCUUCGCUCUCCAUCUCGCUACUAUCUAGAUCUACUCUAGUUUAGAGAAGAGAGGAGAGCUCUCAUCUCUAAACCCUAGCUUUUGCUCUAUCUAUGAAUAAUGAAUAAUGAUCAAGGGGUGCCUCCUCCAGGGGCCAGGGGGUUUGGUUUUAUAGUCCCCUCAAGUGAACCUGGGCCGUCGGAUCAAACCGACAUUGAUUGAACGGUUAUUCUUGAUCCUUUAGGUCGGUGGAGAUCUCCCGAGAGAAAGAGUCCCAAUUGGGCUCCAGAGGUGGGCGGGCGCCCAGUAGGACAGGGCGGGCGCCCUGCCUCUGGCCCCGUUUCGUCUCCGCUUCGGUCUCGUGGCUUCUGGAGUCUUCUAGAUGUAAGAUAAUUGCGCAGCACGUUAAUAUCUUUACGUAAUCCCGACGUGUGGGCCUUUCUUCCUUAUUUCCUGAUAACCCCCUGCAGAAAUAGACAAACACCAAAACUCGUGGAAUUCUGUCAGAUAAAACCCUAAGUCUCGAUGUUGAUUUCAUUUGGAUCCUUUUCUUUGUUUAUUUGAUAGUUAAAUUUGAUACUUAAGGACCGUCAACACUUGUACACAUGGUUGGGUUUCUUGUCAUCUUCAAAACUGGGAGGUUGUUCAACAUAAACCAACUCAUUUAUGUAUCCAUUGAGAAAUGCACUCUCCACAUCCAUUUGAUAGAGCUUGAUGUUAUGGGCACAAGCAUAGGCUAAUAAUAUUCUAAUUGCUUCCAAUCUUGCAACCGGUGCAUAAGUUUCUCCAAAGUCAAGACCUUCAACUUGAGUGUAACCUUGUGCUACUAAUUUUGCUUUGUUUCUCACAACUACACCAUCUUGAUCUUGCUUGUUUCUAAAGACCCACUUGGUACCAAUCAAAUUGUAGUUCUUUGGCCUCUCAAUAAGCUCUCACACUUGAUUUCUUGUGAAGUUGUUCAAUUCUUCAUGCAUGGCAUUUACCCUAACAGAAUCCUUCAAUGCAUCUUCUAUUUUCUUUGGUUCUUCAAAUGAGACAAAUGAUUAGUGCUCACAAAAAGAUGCUAGUCUUGAUCUUGUUUGUACACCACUUUUAAUACCACCAAUGACUUGAUCUAACGGAUGAUCCCUUGCUAUGCUUGUAGGUUGGAGUAUUGGGAGUUGAUUGCUUCCACUUGCUUGAUUUUGAUUUUGAUCAUCAUCAUGAGAUCCACUAUUAUUAGCUUGAUUUGAAUCAAUUUGCACUUCUUUAUUGAUCAUGUGAAUGUCACCAUUAUCAUCAUCUACUUGCCUCGGCCUUAUGUCACCUACAUCCAUGUUCUUCAUUGCAUUUGCCAAUUGAUCUCUCACAUCAUCAAGAUUUUGAGCUUCACUUUGAGAUCCCUCUUUUUCAUCAAACUCAACAUCAUGGACUUCUUCCAAUGUGCCACUUGCCAAGUUCCAAACUCUAUAUGCCUUGCUUAUGGUACAAUAGCCAAGAACCCUUCAUCACAUUUCUUUUCAGUCUUGCUUAAUCUAGUGCCUAUCUUGAGAAUUUAGCAUUUGCAACCAAACACUCUAAAAUAUGCAAUGUUGGGCAUUCUUCCAUUUAAUAUCUCAUAUGGUGUCUUCCCAAGCUUCCCAUGGCAAUAGAGAUGGUUGCUACAAUAGCAAGCCGUGUUGAUAGCUUCACUCCAAAAUGAAUGGCUAACAUUGUAUUCACUAAGCAUUGAUCUAGCCAUAUCAAUCAAGGUCCUAUUCUUCCUUUCAACUGCACCAAUGGAUUGAGGAGUGUAUGUUGGAGAGAACUGAUGUUCAAUGCCAAGAUCAUCACAUAAUUCCUCAAUUCGUGUGUUCUUGAAUUCACUACCUUUGUCAUUUCUAUUCUUCUUGAUAGUGGUUUCAAACUCAUUUUGCACCCUCUUGACAAAAGACUUGAAUAGAUCACAAACAUCACUUUUGUCAUAGAGGAAGAACACCCAAGUGUAUCUAGUGUAGUCAUCUACUACCACAAAUCCACACUUGUUGCCACCAAUGCUAGUAUAUGUUGUUGUUGGCCCAAAUAAAUCCAUGUGCAAUAGCUCAAAUGCCUUUGAUGUGCUCAUUUCAAUUUUCUUAGGAUGUGCAUUUCCAACUUGCUUUCCAGCUUGACAAGCACUACAUGGUUUAUCCUUCUCAAAGGUGACAUCCUUCAAGCCUCUAACUAAGUCAUGCCUCAAUAGUUUGUUCAAUUGUUUCAUUCCAACACGACCAAGCCUUCUAUGCCACAACCAACCCAAACUUGAUUUGCUAAUUAGGCAAGAUGUCAAUUGUGUGUCACUAUCAUUGAAGUCAACCAAGUAUAAGCUACCAUGCCUAAAUCCUUUGAAUAUCAAGUUUGAUCCAUCAACACUAACCACCUCAACAUCAUCACUACCAAAGAUGCACUUGAAACCAAGGUCACAAAGUUGUGCAAUUGACAAGAGAUUGAAAUCAAGGCUCUCAACUAGCAACACAUUUGAUAUGCUCAUGUCAUUUGAGAUAGCAAUUUUAACAAGCCCCUUGACCUUGCCUUUCUUGUUGUUGCCGAAGGUGAUUGAAUCAAAGCCACCAUUUUGACUAGUAUCAAUUGAUUUGAACAUACAAGACUCUCCGGUCAUAUGUUGAGUGCACCCACUAUCAAGCACCCAAUGCCUUCCUCCAACUUUGUAAAUGACCUACAAGACAAGAUCAAUUCCUUUUAGGUACCCAAACUUGAUUGGGUCCUCCAAGGUUAGCAACUAAGCUCUUUGGUGCCCAAAUGGCUUUCUUCUUUGAGCCCAUCCAUGGUGCACCAAUGAACUUAGCAUGAACACCUUUUGUAUCAUUGGUAAGCAUGUAGAAAGAAUUAUGCUUAAUUGAGGAUACAAUAGCUUUGGAUUUCUUGUUCAUGCAUUGUUGCUCUAAGUGACCAACUUGCGUGCAAGCUUUGCAAUACCGGCCAUUGUUCUUCACAAAAUGUGUCUUGUGAGGAGCAAAGGCAGCCUUGCCUUUCUUGGGGUUAUAGCCUAAUCCCUCUUUGUAGAGAGAAGCUCUUUGGCUACCCAAGCACAUAAGCAAGCUGUCCUCACCACCAUAAGCCUUGGCUAAGGUGUGAUUGAGCUCUUUCACCUCCUUCUUGUGAAUUUUCAUUCUCAACUUUUAGUAUGGUGUCACAUGUGAAACUAUCACCACUAGAUGAGGAUGAUGUAGAUGUGCUACAUGAAGGGUUAGUAGAAGCAAUAACAAUAUGCUUACUUAAGAUAUCACAUGUUAGACCUAUGUUGCAAGUUUUAGCUUUCUCCAUUUUAGUAGGCUUAUUUUCACAUUUGUUAACUAAAGAGGAAUGAGCUUCUUCAAGGUUAGUGUGAGCCUUUUGAAGCUUCUUAUGGUCUUUCUUUAGACUCUCAUAAGAUGCUCUAAGCUCAUCAAGUAGUUGCUCAAGGGUUUUCUUAUCCUUAAGCAAGGCCUUGCACUCCUUUCUGGUUUCUUUAUAGUGAUGAGUGCAAUCUUCUAGCAUAGUGAUUAGUUCAUCUUUAGUUGGUUCGUCAUCAUCACUAUCACUAUCACUAUCACUAGCAUGAUCACUCUCAUCAUCAGAUGAUACCUUAGUGGCCUUAGCCAUGAAGCAUGAUGGAGUGUCGAAGAUGGAGCUCUUUCCUUGAAUUGCAAUGCUAGCAUGCCCCUUCUUCUUGGUGCUCUCAUCAUCACUUGAGGAGUCAUCACUAUCCCAAGUUGCAACAUGGGCAUCACCCUUCUUCUUGUUUGAGCCUUCCUUCUUUUCUUGUUUCUUCUUUUGCUUCUUUCUUUCCUUCUUGAUAGCAUCUUCAUCAUCACUGUCAUAAGGACACUUGGCGAUGAGAUGAUCUUUGCUAUGGCAUCUAAAGCACCUCAUGGAAUGGUCAUUCUUCUUGGAGGAGCUCUUCUUCCUUCUUUCCCGAUAGCCCUUCUUCUUCAUAAACUUGCCAAAUCUCUUGAAAAGAAGAGCCAUCUCCUCAUCUUUAUCACUAUCACAAGAGCUUGUUUCUUCUUCACUAGAUGAUUCUUACUUGGCAUUGCCCUUGGAUGUAGAGGCUUUGAAUGCCACACUCUUCUUCUUCUCAUCAUCCUUCCUGUCACCAUCCUUCUUCUUCUUCUUGAUCAACUCAUCCUUUUCAUCAUCUUCUCUAUAGGCAUCAUCGGUCAUCAACUCUUGAAAGACUUGUUGGAGAGUUGAUUCACUAAAAGUUGUCUUGACUAGCACGGUGAUCAAUGUGUCAAAUCUCAUGGGCAAGCUUCUCAACAACUUCAUAGAGAAUUCACUAUCCUUCACUUCUUCCCCAAGUGCCUUGAGCUUAUUCACAAUGACUUGCAACCGGUGAAACAUCUCCAGCACACUUUAAUUUUCUUGCAUCUUGAAGCUUGAGAACUUUUCUUGGAGGAUGUAUGCCUUGGAGGUCUUGGUUCCCUUGGUGCCCUCAAAUGUUUCUUCUAGUUUUACCCAUGCAUCAUGAGCAAUCUCAAUGUUCUUGAUUUGCUCAAAGGUCUUGUCAUCAAGAGCUUCAUGAGAGCACUAAUGGCAAUAUCAUUGCAUUGUAGCUUCUUCUCUUCGACCGAUGUUGGUGCAAUCUCAUUUGCAACCUCAAACUUUGUUUCGGUCACCUUCUAAACCUCUCUAUUGAUUGACUUAAGAUGAGCAGUCAUCUUGAUCUUCCAAUAAGCAUAAUUGGUGCCAUCAAAGAAAGGUGGCUUCUUGGAGUUGUUGAUAUGCAAACUAAGAGCCAUUUAUUCAUCGUAGGUUGCUAAGCCUCAAAUAAACGGUGCCUCUGCUCCGAUACCACUUGAAAGGUCCAAAUGGCUAGAGGGGGGUGAAUAGCCUAUUUAAAUUUUCUACAAACUUCAACUAGACAAGUUGAUUAGUAAAACAAAAGGUGAAGCUAUUCCAGCACUAGCACAACUAAGCUAUGCAAGCCACCUACACAAGUCUAGCAACAAAGCUAAACACUAAUUACAACAAGAAAGCACAACUAGAAGCUUGCUACACUCCUAAACAAGAUAGCUAAGCUAAACAAGCUACACAACUUGUAAGGUUUGCACAUAAGUAAAGGAGAGGGGAGUGAUUGUUAUACCAAUGUUGUAGAGUAGAAAUAUAGCCAAUCAAUCAAUCACAAUUAUAAGAGAAUCCUCAGCAAGAGAUGACACAAGAUUUUUACCGAGGUUCACUUGCUUCCAGGGAAGCUAGUCCUCGUUGUAGCGAUACACCCACUUGAUGGAUCAUGAGCUAAUUGGCAAUUCAAAGCCAAACCCUCAGUUGGUGCCGCACAUCCACUCACAAGAUGGGGAUCCUUUAAGCCACGAGCAAUCCACUAGAGUAGCCAAUUGCGAUCUCCCGCGCGGAAGGCUCAAGAACCCCUCACAAAUCACUUGGUGAGGCUCGAAACAAUCUCCGAUCACGAGCUCAACACCACCACUUCUCCAAGCCACCUAGGGCGUCGGGAAACACCCAAGAGUAACAAGAAAUCUGUAGCAAACUCAAGAAUCAAGUGCCACUAAAUGUAACUCUCAAAGCAAUGCACUUAAAUCUCACUCAAUCUCAAUAGGAUUAGCAAUCAAGCAAGGAGAUGAGUGGAGGGAGUGUUCUCUAGCUCAAUGUAUGUCUCAAGUAUUCAAAUGUGCAAGAGUGAACCCCCAAAGCUGGCCACCAACUAUUUAAAAGCCCCGUCAAAGAAACUAGCCAUUGGUUGUUUUCAAUGGGCUGCAGUCGGGCACACCGGACGCAUCUUAGUUCACACCGGACGCGUCCGGUAUGAACCUAGACAGCGUCCAGUGCCCUUGAUCGUACGAAAACUAGCCAUUUCUGCUAAACGAGACACGACACCAGACUUUCUCUUUGGAACACACCAGACGGUCUCAAGUGGUACCGGACAAAAACUCAGAGAGGAUCGCAAAACGUCAUAGCACCGGACACACAACUCGAACGCGUCUGGUAUCACAACGGACGCGUCCGGUAUGCACCGGACUUAAACACGGAGAGCUCUACAGGGUGAGCUCACAUCGGACGCUAUCUCAGACACGUUCGGUGUCACACUGGACGCGUCCGGUGUAGCACCGGACUCAAACUCAGAGACUACUCCGAGAGAGCGUUUACACCAGACUCUCUACACCGGACUCAAAGAGGUUACUGUUCCUAAGUCCGGUGCCUUGUAGAAAACUACCAAAGGUAGAUUUAGCAGUUAAACUUCAUCCUAUCCUUUUCCAACUUAAACCCUUGCUUCCAAGUGCCAACACAAAGGUGUCACAACACUUGUGCUUGUGUGUUAGCUUUUCGCAAAUAUUUUAUCAAGGAUUCAAGUUGGCACUUUACUAGAUCCUAAUGCAUAUGCUCAGGAUAUGGACCUAGUAGCACUUGAUUCAAGAGAUGAUCGUGAUUUUCCCUCUUGAUAGUCGGCUAUCUAUCCUAAACCCGGUCAAUCACUUCUCUACUCAUCUUAGACCGGCAAAAGUAAAACCUAUGUUUAUACCUUUGCCUUGACAACUUUGCUCCCCGUCUAUCACCAUGAUCUUCACUUCAUGCUUCAUCCCUUUGUGAUCAUGUGGCCACUUUUCCAUGCCACCAUGCACCUUCAUCACAUGUGUUGCUAUGCCUAACUCAAAUCACUUAAACACAAGGCAUUAGCAACUUGGUGUCAUUAAUUACCAAAACCAAACUUGGGCUUUCAACCGAUAGGCCAGGCUUCCUCCACUUCUAUCUCCAUCCUAUACUCUCUCAAUCUCUCUUGUUGAUAUAACCCUAAUGAGACAUAUCCAUUUGAGGGACUGUCACACCCUAGCUUUCAAAAUAAGACCAGAGUCGUCAUAUGUGUGCCUAGAAAGUCCACACAUACAACAAAAGAAUAGAAAUAUUAGAAACAAUGUUAUAUAUAGCGGAAAACAUAUUUAUAAUAACACUUACAACAAUCAGAGUAUGCGGAAACCAUAGCUAAAACUUCUUAGGCUCCAUUCUUCUCACGGACGGUUGACUAGGGGCUCCGUACGCCAAGCACUUCUGAUAAGCUUCUAGAAAACUCCAUAGCGUCUCUGUCCUUCUUCUGAGCAACACUUUACUACAAACUAGGGUGUGGGGGAAAUAGCAAGGGUGAGUUCAUGUCGAACUCAACAAGUACAGGUAGAAAGUAUAAUGACAUGCAAGGCUUAAUCAAAGGAAAAGUUGUUUAACUACAGGUGAGCUUUUAAGUUGGUAAACUUUUGUUACAAUUCUUUUCUCUAGACAACCUAUUACUAAAUAUGAGUGAAGCAUCCCAACCCUUAAUUAGAUGAAAGUAAAUUAACAAUAUUAUUAGUCACCAUUAUUGUAACAGAACCGUCCAAUUUAUAAGAAUUCAAGUGAAUUAGCGACCACGGAGGCAGUCAAGCCAAUGGACUUGAACUCAUAUAAACCCGGUAGUCCGACGAAAUCUCAAAAGACCUCGAUUCAACCAACAUACAACCAAAAUCGUACAUGAUCAAGCAUCGCCAUCACAGAUUACAUACAUACAUCGCAUAACAUAGUUUUACAUCACAUCAGAGUUUAAGCAGGGUUAUUACAAACCAGUUUGGUAGCGGAAACAAAGUAGUUUUAAAGCAUCACACACUCAGUUUAAAUUACAUGCCAGUUCCAGGGUUAAAUCCAACAAAAGCACAACCGAAGAUAAAGAAGGUGAUGACGCCCAUGAUCUAUUCAUCGUCCGCAGCCGGAUGAUGGCAGUUAGCACAGUAGCCAUGAUAAACGACAUCAUCUGCAACAUGGGUAAAUAAAGCCCUGAGUACGAGAAGGUACACAGCUAGACUUACCCGUCACAAACCAAAAAUAAAGUGACACCAAAGAGUAUGCAAGGCUGAUCUUGUGGACUGGUUGACUCACCUUUUUGCAUAAAAAGCCUUUGUGGUAAGUAACCCAUUUAUAAAUUUUCAGCAGCAGGUUCAUUACUUAACAACUAUCCACUAGAUUAGCACCUGUUCUAAGCAUACACUUGAAUAUUUAAGCAUCACAAUAAUAACCAUAUCCGGAUUAUCACCUUGCUAUCAACAUUAUCAUCAUAACCAUUAAGUUUACUUAAUGAAUUCUACGUUGCCGCUGCCCAAGUCAAGUUCUCACUAUCUGGGAGAGACGGCGAUUCGAAUCGAUUCCUAUCCAGCUGGAGGGGUAUUCCUAACACUCACCCAAGCAUACUUCAUGAGGGCAGCUCGGAUCACCUUUAGCACAACUCCGGACCAAUUCGCGGGUCCGUACGGCGCCGCACCCCCAGGGACCGCCAAUCUGCCAGGGUCAGGACUCUAACCUGACACCUCGGUCUUACGCCAUUGACUCCCCGCACAUCCUUACUACCAACCGGGGUGUGCACUUUAACCAGAUCGGGGUAUCCGGCCGGAGAUGCACUAGUAGGCUUCGCGGUCGGAACGACUUAUCCGGCCAACUAAGUGAUAGGCAUGCGUUCAACAUGACACGGGGACGUACAGCGAUUCGGUCCUUAAUCGACACAGAUGGGGAUAGAUUCACACCCAAGACCUCCAUGCCUUGUUGCUACACUAUCGUCUUCCCGCCCGGUCUCAAGUUCAUUAUUAGCGCAUGGUUAUUUCCACGAUAGCAAAUAUAGCCAACCGUGAUCAGCAUCCACCUAUCUCUCGCAGGUGACAGGAAAUCACCCGACUUCUACCGAGCUAAGCAUGGCUAAGCAUUAUUUCGAUCCUGGACCUACUUAGGUAAGGUAUAAGGUGGACAAGGUAGUUAAUCAUGCAGCAAGGGUGUCAUAUCAAUGCCUAACACUUAGUGCAACAAUACAUAGACAUAGUCAAAUGAUAGCUGGAUAUGAUAUCAAAAAUAGUAGGAGGUUUAUAAUGCUCCGGGGCUUGCCUUCAACGUAGGUGGACGGGCGAUGGUCGGGACACUCCGGCAAGUCCUCCUCCUCAGCUCCUUGAGGUGGCUCCCCUUGCUGACCUUCCGACUCCGGCAACUCGAACUCCAGAACGGUCACGCCCUUGGGUACACCUAUGUAUGCAUGACAAGGAGAUAAAUAUAGAGAUUGCACAUAUGAUGCAUGAUGUCAUGAUGAAGAGCCAAAGGACAUAAAACAAGGUAUAACAUGGGCAUAAACUCCUAAAACUAAGUGAAUCAUAAGAUAACAAGUAAGUGCAUACUUCUUCUCUGGUAGAGAGGCUAACUAGACAAGUUAAUCAACCUUAGCCAUUCCUACUCAGUUACUGGUUUUGUAGACAGACCAACUUGUCACAAGUUUCAGCUAUAACUUAAGCAUCAGUUGGCCAAACUAAACAAUUAGAUACUUUCUGGAAAGCUUAGCAAAUUGUCUACAAUUCACUUUUAUACAUCCCAGAAUGAUUCCUAACCGAAAUAAGCUAAAACAUACAAAGUUGGCUGGCUGUCCUGGAAAAUCCAGAGAGCAAGCACUUUGCAGCAGCUACUUGUAACAUUCAUAACUUUUAAACUACUCCACCGAAUGACAUGAAACUUGGACACGAAGUAUAUAACCAAGUUAGCUACAAGUUUGUUGUAGACAAGUGUUCCAGAAAACAUCUUUUUCAAAUAGUUCUUAAGCAAUUGCUAUCAGCUACACAGAAUUUCUCUAGGAAAGCUAUAAAUAGUAAAAAUAAUAUUUUUACCCAUAUUAAGAAUGUAACAUUAGUUCAAACCAAAUGCACCAGUGGAUGGAACAUGUCUAAAAACACUAGAAAACAUCAUGGCAAGGUCUAAACUCAUUUCUAUCAUCACUUUUUUCAUUUAUUUAAUUAUUAAGGUGAUUUAAUGAACAUGCAUCCCAAGUGCUCCAAAAAUUCUAAGAAAAUUACAGCAAGCUACUUAUGCUAGCACAAGAUUACUGUAAAAGUUUCAGGGCACUUGUACAUAUAUCUUGUGAGAUACAAAAAUAACAAGCUAGCAAAGGCAUGCAAGGCAUAAAUGUGAAACCCUAUCAAAAACUGUCAAACAACAGAUUUCAGAUUUUUCCUAGCUUUGUUUACACAUGAGUACAACACUCAGCAAGGUUCACCACAAAAGGAGUUAUAACUUAUUUAUUAAAAAUACCACAAGAAACUCCUAUUUAAGCAAGAAAUAUUUAUAACUUCACAAUCAGGCCUCCAAAAAUUAUAAUAAAUUUAUCAAAGCCUGAUCAUGUCAUGAGUAACAACACCCUAAAUUUGCAAGGCCACCAGAUCAACAGAUCUCAAAAUAUAAUUGCCUCCUAUAUAAUCAAGAUUAAAUUAUAUAUAUUUAUUUCUGCAAAAACAUGGCAUGUUUCAUAUUUUUAAUAAAAACUAGACUUAUUCAGGAACCUAGCAAAAUUGGAAUCACACCAUUUGGAUCUGUAAAACACAAGAUAUGAAUUUUACAAAAACAGCAAAGGAUCUGCUACACAGUGACCAGAGAUGUGAGAGGGAGAGACUGACAGGUGGGAUCCGGUGACACACGAGACCCGCGUGACAGAGAGACAGAGACAGGGGAGACGCUCGUCACCGGCGAAACUCGACGACGGCGAGGUCUCGGUCGGAUCCAAGGGCACCUACGUGUUCCUCUCCUCAAGGCGACUCUGUUGACCUACUUCACUUGCGCUCUACUGGACCCUAGGGUGCUCGCCGUCGGGAAUGGCGGCUCGACGGCGCUGCGGGCGAUACGCCGGCGUGCACGGCCGAUGCCGUCCCGGCGGAGGUUCACGCCGAGCAUCAGUGAGCUAAGGGAAAGCGAUAGGGACAAGAAUGGAGGGAAAUGGUGGAGCAGAGAGGCCUGGCCACGUCGCCGGUGAGCUCGGGCGGAACUCCGGCGAGGGAGAACGGCUUGGAGCUCGGCAAAGCCGCCUCACCCGUGCUCGACAGUGGCUAGGGAGGUGACGCCAAGGUAGAGGAAGCUCUGGCGAUGCUUUUGGCGGGCUGGCUUGGCCGGAGGCGCGGUGGAGCAGCCGGGAAAACUCGCCGAAGCGCGGCGGAGCUCGCCGAGGACGAAAGCGAACGCAAUGGGAGGCUCUGGUGGAGUGGAUGUCACGUCUGAGGCUCCGGGUGGCUCCGUGGCGGCUUGAGGGCGUCGUCCAAGCUGACAGGCAGGACCGUCGACGGCGUACGGUCGCCACCUGGCCGGACACGCGGCGGCGGACGGCGUCUGUCCAAAACUGAAUCGAUGAUUCAGUCACCGGCGUCAGUGACUGAAACCCGAAGUUCAACGACGUUUUACUCUCAGCUCAAACGAUGGUUUUGGCUUGAAUUUGAUCCUUUCGACAGAGCUACACGAGUUCUACAAGUUUGCUUACAAGAUCAAAGCCUAACUUGUUCUGGAUUUCAAUCUACAAGGCUCCCACAACCCUACCUCGAAACUGUGUGAUUCAAGACUUAGCCAAAUUCGGCUAAGUGUGAAAUCUGCCCUGAUUUUUGGCUUGUGGGCAGAAUUUAAAUUGAUUCCAAGCAUUUUCAUGAAAAGUCAUCAAUAUAACUUUUGUAGCUUAUGAAAUUUACGACAACUUUGUUUCAGGUGUCAUUUACAUGCAAGGUUUCUAGCAUCAGUUUCAUAAAACAUCUUUGAAAAGAGGUCUAGGGGGUCAAAUGGGUCAAUCUAGGGUUAACCAUGACUUAGGGGCAUUUUUGGCCAAAACCUCCAAUAUGAACUUUGUUCAAAAUAUUGUUCUAAACAUGAUUAAAGUAUUUUGGAAGACAAUGUACACUUGUAAGCAUUGGUCCUCUACUAGAAUCACUCAAUUCAAGCCACAUAGGAUGACAUGUGAUCAUGAUGUAUGCCUAUGAACGAGCAUGAUGAUGCUUAUGUUGAUGCAAUGCUCAUGGUUAACAUGCAAGCUAACACUAGGAGUGUUACAAUUAUAAUAAUAAUUAUUAUUAAGAUCUCCGAGGUAGCAACCUCAGAUAGUAACUCAGGUAGCAACCCUAGGUCAUGGGAUAGCAAUCCCAGUUAAGAGCACAGGAUAGCAAUCCUGCCAACACGGAAUAGCCAUUCCACCAAAGCACGAGGUAGCAACCUCAACCAAGUUCCGCCUCCAAGUUCCAUGUGAUUCCAAUUUGCUCAUCAUGUGAGAGUCUAGGCCGCUCGUGACCGUGCGCACGGCUGAUAUAUCAGUUUUACACUCUGCAGAGGUGCGCACUUUCACUCCAAGUCGUGAUUCCCAUUUACCCGGGGUCACGACACCACAAAACACUAGCAAGGUGAGCAGGCAGGGUUUCACUACGAGACCUUUCAGAGGGUCCGACUAAUAGGAUACCACUCAUAAGUUUUGGCCGGGGCGCUCGGCCGUCGAUACCCAUAGCCAUGGCAUACUGAUCAACCGACAACUUAAUAUUCAUUACCCAAGUUACUUCCUCACGCCUACCCGAAAAGUAACACCCUACUAGUGGAGGUCCUGCUAAUUAGUCAAGCCAGAGCCAUAUGUCCUAGGGGGCCGCUCCAUGACUAAGUCCUUACAGAGAGUAGAGACGGGUAUGCCUGGCAACCGAGCCAACCAAUAGUACUCGCUCCCCCUUUCCUCAACAAACUAAGAUGCUCGCAAGCACCGCAACAUCUCCAUCACAGAAGUGACCAUUGUUCAUCAUUUAACAUUAAUCAUCAUUGAAGAAUUCAGUAGGCAAGAUUAUUUACUUUCCUUUAUUAUAUGGAAUAGAUGAACAGAGUAGAUAAGCAUAUCUACUGUUCACUAUACUACCCAUGUAUAAACCCAGGUAUACAAGGAAUAUAGUAGAGGGCUAGUCAUGUCCUUACGGUUUGCAGUAUUAAGACAUAUGCGGUGGAAAGUAAAUGUAUUUAAAGUUCAUAGGUACAAUAUGAUCAAAGGGUGCCUACACUUGCCUUUAUUCCCAGUGUACAACUGCUCAAAAUUCUUUGACUUCUUUCUUGUGAUCUUUAUCUUCUACUGCAACUGUCGGUCCUCAGCUCCUAGUCUUCACUGUUGACGAAUCACGCCUCUUCUACUCAUAGCAACCAAGCAACACAAACAGACAAACAAACAAUCACGACUAAGAACGAAUGACAAUCAAAAGAAAAGAUUAGAUAAAGCAUACUAAACAACACGACUCGUUGCUAUGGUUGUGACAACACAAACGAUUGGGAAUAGAGCUAUCGUUAAACGAACAUGACUUUCGAGGUUUGAAGUGUAGCGGAGAAGACGACUAUACGCCGAUCGUAUUUUAUGAAAAGAGGUGAUGGACUUUUUAGAAAAAUAUUUGAAAGUUGAAUUGACCAAAUUAUAAAGAAUUAUAAAGGUUAGGGUUAAAUGUUAGUCAUAUUCUAUUCAUAAAUAAUAAUAAUAAAUUAUUUAAGUCACUUUAUCAUUUAUAGUUAAACAAGUCAUUUAUGGAGUGAGAUUAGAUUAAAUAGAUCACACUUAAAAACGUAUUUAUGUUGGUACUAAUAACAUUAAUAUUUAGUUAUGAAAAACCAAAGUUAUAAACAUAAAUUGUUUUAAUAGAUUAAAAGGGCAUUUAGCUGGACAUUAAUCAUUUUGUAUUUAUGGUGAAAAUCUAAAUGGUCAAAUGAGGUAACUAUCACUACAAAAGUGUAGCUUACGACGAUACAAAACUAACGUGACAAAAAGGGGCUCGAUCGGAGUUAAUACGCGGAUUUUAUGGCCAAAACUAGGUUAGUGGCAAAACCGUGAAUAAACCAAACUAUUUUUCAUAUUUUAAAUAAUCAAAACUGAAUUUUAAAUGCAUUUUGGACUUAAUCUAUAAAUACCAAUGGCUUUAGGGUCUAAGCUGAAAGAAACAGGACCUAGAUCUAAUUAGUUUUGAACUGCAGCGGACUGCGGGUUGAAUUCACAAAAGCUGAGGAUAUUUUCUGCAAAAGUGCAAGGGCUGACCGGGACUUGACUGGUUGACCCAGUCUUCGCUUGCGUGGCACUGACAUGGCAGCCACGUUGGCCACGUUGACCGUCUCGGUUGACUCGGGUCGCACAAAUUUGAGCCAUUGGCUCCGGAUCGGGUGGCCAGUGGUUCUCCGGCGGGGAUGGGUCACUGGGGCGACAGUGACCACGGCAGCGGCUCACCGGAGCUAGGUGGUGCUGCUGCUACGUCGCAUGGCUGGCCGAAACAAAGACAUGGGCGGCUGCGGCUCGGCGUCCCGAAUCCGGUGCGAGGCACGAGAGCGGUUGCGGCUGGCCGGGAUGGCGCUGCGCGUGUGCGGAGCAGAGCAGCGGCGAUGUUGCUAAAACGGCGAGGGCGUGCGCGCAUGAGUGAGCAAGGGAGAAGGCGGGGGAGGAUCUGGUGGGUGGCUCACCUCCGUGCGAAGCUCGGGGGUCGGUCCUCGUCGUCUAGGAGGCGGCGGCCGACGAGAUCGACGGCAGCGGGGACCUUGGCCCCGCGGCUAUAGCGGCGGCACGGCGUGGCUGGGCUUCUGGGCGGCGGCGGCGCUGCCCUAGGGCUCGAAGGGGGGGUCGUGGGGCACUGAGCAAGGCCUGUAUAGGCUCGUCCAACAUUAGGGUGCGCGCUAGGGCUGGAUCGGGCGGUGGCGGCGCUCUUCCGCCUGAUGCGGGAGGUUGGGGAUGACCCCUCCCCGCUGACGUGUGGGUCCGGAGCGUGAGCGGCUCGGGCGAAGGUGGGCUGGCGCGCUGCCGCUGGGCCGUAGCGCAGCCAAGUGGGUGGCAGGGGAUGGCCAUGGCUAGGAGCUGGGUCGGAAUCCCGGAGAGAGAAGAAAACCGCCUUUUUCUUUCUUUUUUUAUAAAAAAUGAUUUACAAACUAUUUUACAGAGUAUAUUUCAAACCAUAUUUUAAAUUCAAACUUUAUUCAAUACUUUGAGAUUAUUGUUUUCUUUCCGGCUUUUGAAGACCAAACAUAUUUUAUUUUGUUUUUAGUUCAAAUUUGAAUUAGUUUUCAAAUAGGACUUUUGGAGAUUUAUUUUUUUUUAAAACCGAAAGGACCUAAACGUGGCUCUCUAUAAACUUUGAAAUUCAUUUUCUUAGACAAAUCAAACAAAACAAGGGCACAAAGCACACAAUAACAAAAGAAAACACCCUUCGCUUUUAUUUAUAAAAGUUUUAAAAUUUCACAUUUUUCCCAUUUUAUAAUAACAAAAAUUAAUAAAAUCUUGUAAUAUUUUAGAAAAAUUUUAUAUCCUUAUUUCAUUUAGUGUUUUCCAAUAACAAUCCAAAAUUAAAAAUUUUGGAGUAUUGUAGAUCUACCCUACUUAACAUAAAUCUCGUCCCGAGAUUUGAAGAAACUAGAGAGAACGAUAAAGUGGAUCAUCAAAGUUGUUUCGAGACCUUCGAUCAAAGGAUUUAAUAUAAACAUAAAUGGUAAAGAGUAUGGUAAAGAUUGAUGACAAGGAACGGUAAAUGAAUGAGAUAUGAAUUGAUCUUUGUAUCCUGUAUUAUGAUAAGGUGCAAGGGUAAGAAGCCGAUAUUAACAAGAGAUGAUACAUAGGAGAUAAAGAUAGAUAUUAUAGUGCUCACAAUUUCCUUGGUUCUCGAUAUGUAUCAGAUAGUAGGCGAAAGGAUAAAGAAAUGGCAAAAGUUGACAAAGACUUAGAUUUUUGUUAGUCUUCCGUCUUAAUCAUUUGUGGUCCUAUGAGAUGUAAGAUCCAAAAUCACACGCUGACAAAAAUGAUAAGGGCUCAUCGCAAGAAUGAUUAAGAUCAAUUUAUAGUUCUCCAUGUCUUUUGUUUUGAGAUCCUCAAGAGUGAUGAUCGUAAAUGCCGCUACCCCACUUAAACCAAGUGUUAACUCACCUUCAAUGCUCUGAUUUACGAACUUCAUCUUGCAAGAUUGGAACAAUCUUAAGAGAUUUCCUUCAGAGAUUACCAGUCUAACAACACACUGCACUUCUUGAGAUUCUGAGAAACAGGGAGAGAAACAACAUAAUGAUGGGAUAGGAUAGAUUAAGAUGAUUUUAAUUUUUCUUAGUACUGGUGUGAGACGUAAGUCAGAUGACGAGAAGUUUAUCUAGGAGAAAGUUCUCGAACACCACCUAGAAAAGCAACCCAAGGGGUCUGGUGACAUUGACGAUAUAAUAGUAUGGUUUUGUAUCUAACCAUCGGGUUCUUCAUGAUAAUCCAACCAAGAUUCUAGGAUGAAAAUAAAUCUUAUCUUAAGACCUCGUUUUCUUAUUUCCUUGCUUUGACAGGGUUAACCGGCAUCACACUUCCUAGGAUACUUAGUGCUUCUCUUUUUCUUUGUCUUCAUAGAUGAAUUCUAAGCAGAUUUCUCCUACUGCUUGAAGUGUCGGGAAAGGAUGUGUUGGUGCAAAAGUUGAUCUGCAAACACAAAGGGCUAAUACCCGAUUUAAACGUUAAGGCGUGCCAGCCGAUUUGACCUUACUAUCGGCAAAGGUGGUAACUCGAAUACUUUAGUCCUGACAACAGCGAUGCGCCCGGAUGUCACGGCUAAGAGGUACUCACGCGGAACUUGAGAACACGCCGAGCUUAAGUCGACGAAUUCCUAAUAACUCGUAAUGAAAAGGAAAAAUUAUGACGAAGUCGUCGAAAAAGUAGAUGCUGGAAUAUGAGUAAAAACGUGUGUUUGAUUGAUUGAUAGAUAGAUCAUUACAAGGCCCUAGGGUCUAUAUUUAUACCCUGCUCAAAGAGCUACAAUCAGAUACGACUAGAACUCGAAUUCCAAAUUACACAGAAUCCGUAUACAAAACGACUUAAGCAACUAAGGAAAACAUAAAACUAUCCUUCCGUGACGAACUCGAACAACUCCACAAACCGAUCGGCAGCCUCCAGGCUCUCCCUCCAAAUCAUCGGCAUACUCCCUUGUCAUCGGCAGAUCUCCUUGUCGUAGCCAUCGGCACAGACAUGUCACCACUUAUGGACUUGAUCACGUUCGUUCAUCCUUCCAUCGGCGACCAUCUCCAUCGGCAACUCUCCCUGCAGACCAAACACCACUGCCUUAUCCUGCCGAUCUAUACUUUCACCGAUUAUGGACACGUGCCCAAAAACGAUGUCAACACAUGCCCCCCAAUUUCGGAGUAUGGAAUCAUUAAUGCUCCGAAAUUCUCUGCAGUAAUGAUGCCUUUUUUCCACAAUUAGUGCUCCUAACCUGGCAACUGACAGCCUUAAUCCGAACAACUCUGAUCCUAUCCUUCCGCAGAUCCCUCGAAAUUCUCAACUUCCUUAAACGGACACUUCCAUCUGAGCCGUGUAUCGGCAAUAUUAAGGUUACAGGGGACUUACCGAUAUACUGACCAGGACACCUGUAUCUUAUCUUUCCAAACGGCUAUCUCCAUAUUUCCCCCAAAUCGGCAAUAUGACCGUUACCAGGCACUGGUGAUGGAUCGACCAGGAGAUCCCGCACAGUAAAAUAUCUCUGGAUAACGACCGCUUCCUGUCAAAUCACCUGCACAAUCCCUUGAUUACCGUGCGAACAGUUACCAUAUCUACCUGAGUACCCUUGGAUUUCGCGGAUGCGGCAAAGAGAUAAGUUAGAUUUGCCCUUGCCCGUUUUGUCCUAUAAAUAGUUCCUUCUCGGGUACUCCUUCCCCAUCACAUCAUUCCAUAGCUCCAACUUCACUCCCUCGGCGGCGGCGUUAUCCAAAAGCUCCAAGAUCUCUGACGAAGCCCCUUCUUCACCAACUCCGAAGUCUUCACUCAUUCUCUUUGCGACAAAAUGGCUGUCAACUUCAUCAUCCCUGAGGUCAGUUCUUCACGCCAUCCCUCGUACCCUUUUUUUCGCACUCUUGUUCAUCCGCAGUCUUACUGAGCAUUUUCUCUUCCCCCCUUUUUUUUCUUUUCUACCUCCAAAACCACUAGGAAUCAGCUAACAAAAUUGUCAUCCCCACCGAUCAACCACACCUCCAAUGCCUUGGCCCACUAGGGGAUCCAGAUCCAACCGAUCUCAUAAAUGCAGAAACCAACAGAAUCCCUUUUAGGGCAGAGAAUUUCUCUUUGGAUCUGUGGGAGGAUGCUUUUCGUUCCUGGCCCAGCCCUACUGUGGGAUGGAUGGAUUGGUUCCUGAGGGUCAGCAACUCUAAUGAAGUUCAGUGGGGUGAGAGAAAUCUAGCCCAAUGCAUUAGGUUGUCCAUUGCCGAUAUGUACAGGAACGAGUCACUGCUAAUAGCUGCAUCAUACUUCUGGUUAGACACGCUCAACGCCUUUGUCUUUGGCCAUGGCCCUGCUUCCCCCACUCUUGCCGAUGUGGCCAUGCUCACCGGGUUAGAUAUUUCUUCUACCAAUAGCACCCACUUUUUUGAUACCAAACCCAGUGCUAAGGUAGAAACCCGCUCCAUCGGCGGCUGGUCAGGGUAUAUCCAAAAAUACCGCAAAACAUGCCCUGUUGACAUAAAGGAGCAGACCUGCUUUCUGAACAUGUGGCUAGACAAAUUCGUGUUGUGUGGUCGAUCGGCAGGACCAACUUCUGUUCAUCUAGCAGCAGCGGAAAAUCUGGCCAAUGGUGGCCGAUUUCCCCUCGGCCAAUACCUGCUUGGAGCGGCCUAUCACCUCCUCCACCAAGUAACUUAGAAGCUCUUGCUUGGCCAGUCUAUCGGCAACUUGGGAGGCCCUUGGUGGUUUAUCAAUAUGUGGCUCAAUCUGCAUCUGCACAAGCGCCUUGAAUUUAACCUAUUCACACAGCGUUUCCCAAGAGACAUAACUGAAAAUCAUGUGUUGGGUGAAGACGAAUCAGCAACACGUGCUCCCUUAAACUUCGGCGAAUCUGUCAUAGUUUUGCCUGGUUCAGGGGGUAAUCCAGAUCAGGUCAGCCGAUUCUUCCAAACUCUGUAUGAGGGCUUGGCCAGAGAUGAGCGAGCAUGGUUAGCCUAUGAUGACCCAGACAGUAUGCUUCCCCUGGUUUUCAACCCAUUUGAUGAAGCUCUUGACCGGGAUAAUGAAGUGAUGAUGGCAAUGGUGACUCCCAGAGCCAUACCAGUGAAUUUCUUUGAUAGUGGGAAGACCUCUCCCCAGACUUAUGAAUUUUACAACACAUCGGCACUAGCCCGUCAGUUAGCUUUCGGCCAGCUGCCGAUCGCACUCUGCUACGCCGAUGUGAUAAAGCCCAGGGAAACCAUCACCAGUCUUCUUGAAUGGAUUCGAGUAGCCCAGCUGCCAUCAAGUGCCGAUACUGAUGUAGACCUAUCAGAGUGGGUCCCAGCCGCCUUUAUCACUCAGGCAUACAAGCAGUGGUGGGCAGAAUGGAAGGAGCAUCUAUUCUGCAAAUCGGCCCUCACAUACCGCGGCAUGAUCGACCCCGAAUACGAAGUUCCCAGUGAUGCCGUAAGUACUUUCAAACCGAUGUUUCAAUUCUUUCAAUCUUAUUUCCAUCGGUAACUGACCCUUUGUGUGACUUUUCAGAUCGAUGACACUCCUCCAUCGGUCAGCAGGAGUGGCAAGCCGAUUGACUUGUUUGCAUCAGGCCCAGUUCCCUCAAUCGGCCACAAAGCCCCUACCCUAGCUGCUAUCGUGCAUCGGGGUAUACGCCUCAAGAAGGUCACCACCAGGAGAACUCAGACAUCACCAUCGGUAGCCGCUUCCGCCCUAGCGCAGGCUUUUAAGGUAACUGCUAAACCUUCUCACCUAUACCGAUCUUACUUUGUCAUCGGCUGUAUUGGUACUGACAAAUUCCUUUUUCUGUAACAGCAAACCAGUGCAUCGGCAAGAAUCAAAGGCAAAGACGCCGAUGCCCCCCAGUCCAGCCAGCAGAAGAGAAAAGGCACCAAAGGUACCAGAGCGCAAUCGAAGCGCCGGAAAGUGGCAACUCCUUCUCUUCCUCCGGCAUCUCCUAUUCCGGUGGAAUCUUCUAUAUUCAUCAAAGCCCUCAACCGAUGCCCUGCCAGAUCAUCCAAUUCGUCUAUCAUCAAAGUAGCAUAGUCAUCGGCAGCCAAUUGAUCUUGAAAAGAUAGUUGCCUAGAUCCAACCUUAACUUCCCAAGGCAAUACCGCAUCAUGUCCAUACACCAACUGAUAAGGUGAAACCUUGGUCGAUCCAUGACAAGCCAUUCGAUAGGACCAUAAAGCUUCAUUUAACAACGUGUGCCACCUUCUAGGAUUUUCUUCAAUCUUCCGUUUAAUAAGCUUAAUAAUUCCUUUGUUGGACGCCUCGGCCUGCCCAUUGGCUUGAGCACAGUAAGGAGAAGAAUUCAAUACUUUAAUCCCCAUACCGAUUGCGAAUUCAUCAAACUCCCCUGAUGUAAACAUAGUACCUUGAUCGGUAGUAAUUGUCUGAGGAAUCCCAAAUCGGUAAAUAAUGUGCUCCUUAACAAAAUCAAUCAUAUUAGCCGAGGUGACUUUCUUCAAGGGAAUAGCUUCAACCCAUUUAGUGAAAUAGUCGGUGGCAACUAGAAUAAACUUAUGCCCUUUGCUAGAUGGUGGAUAAAUCUGGCCGAUCAAAUCAAUAGCCCAUCCCUGGAAUGGCCAAGGUUUGAUAAUAGGAUUCAUAGCCGAUGCAGGUGCCCUUUGAAUAUUGCCAAACUUUUGACAUCCUUGACAUCCUUUGAAAUAUUUGAAGCAAUCUUCAAGUAUGGUCGGCCAGUAAUAUCCAUUCCUUCUAAUCAUCCACUUCAUUUUGAAAGCCGACUGAUGCGCUCCACAUACCCCCUCAUGGAUUUCCCCCAUCAAACUUCUAGCUUCAUCAUCACCCAAGCAUCGGAGGAGAAUCCCAUCAAUAGUUUGGUAGUACAAUUCAUCUACGAGGAGCACAUACUUGGUGGCUUGAAACCAAACUCGCCUUUCAACUUUCUUGGAUGGAUCUUUCAAAUAAUCAACAAUUUCUUUUCUCCAAUCAUCGGCACCAAUUGCCGAUAUUGCAUCAAUCAUAGGCUGAUAUCCCGAGGCAUGUUGAGCCAACCGAUUGGCUUCUUCAUUAUGCAAUCGAGGAACAUACUCUAAUCGGAAAUCUUUGAAUUCCUUCAAUAAUUGCAUGCUUCGCUCGUAAUAGAUUAUGAGAACUUCACUUCGGCAUUCAUAGCUUCCGGCUAAUUGAUUUAUAACCAGCAUAGAAUCACCGAAGACUUCGACAGCAUCAGCAUGAACCUCCCUCAAUAACUCCAAUCCCUUUAUCAAAGCUUGAUACUCAGCCUGAUUAUUUAUUGACGUGGCCACAAUUGGCAGAGAAAACUCAUAUUUCCUACCCCGAGGGGAAAUUAAUACUAUGCCGAUUCCUGCCCCCCGAUCACACGUAGAUCCAUCAAAGAACAGCGUCCAAGGUACAAUUUCCAGGGUUUCCACCGUGCCACGAUGUUGAGUUACCAAAUCGGCCAUAAUCUGCCCCUUAACAGCCUUAGCCGAUUCAUAACGCAGAUCGAACUCCGACAGUGCCAGAAUCUACUUACCGAUCCUGCCACUCAUAAUCGGCAUGGACAGCAUAUAUCGGACCACAUCAUCCUUGCAAAUAACAGUGCAUUCGGCCGACAACAAGUAGUGCCUCAACUUGAUACAAGAGAAAUAUAAGCACAAGCACAGUUUCUCGAUAGCCGAAUACCUGGUCUCAGCAUCAAUCAACCUCCUGCUUAAAUAAUAAAUUACACGCUCUUUCCCUUCAAACUCCUGAAUUAAAGCCGAACCGAUGACCAUUCCAUCGGUAGACAAAUACAAUCUGAAAGGCUUCCCUUGCUGAGGUGGAAUCAAAACCAGAGGAUUCAUUAAAUACUUCUUGAUUUCAUCCAGAGCCAACUGUUGUUCCUCCCCCCAAACAAACUCUUGAUUGGCCUUUAACUUAAGAAGAGGGCUGAAAGCACGAAUUUUACCAGACAAGUUAGAAAUGAACCUUCUGAUAAAAUUUACCUUGCCGAUCAAGGAUUGAAGCUCGGUUUUGUUGGUAGGGGCUACUAUCUUAUUGAUGGCAUCAAUAGAUCUUCGACUGAUUUCAAUUCCCCUCUGGUGCACCAUGAAACCAAUAAAUUGCCCUGCCGAUACACCAAAUGCACACUUAUUGGGAUUCAUCUUCAAUCCAUGCUUCCUUGUGCACUCCAACACCUUUCGUAGAUCGGCAAGAUGUUUUGCGAAGUCCCCAGACUUGACUACCACAUCAUCAAUAUAAAUCUCUACCAGUUUGUCGAUGAACUCAUGAAAUAUAAAAUUCAUGGCCUUUUGAUAAGUAGCACCAGCAUUCUUAAGGCCAAAAGUCAUGACUAUGCACUCAAACAAUCCAACAUGACCAGGGCACCUGAACGCAGUCUUCGGAAUAUCUUCUUCAGCCAUGAAUAUUUGAUUGUAUCCUGCAUUGCCAUCCAUAAAGCUAAUAAUUCGAUGCCCAGCUGCGGCGUCAACCAACAGAUCGGCAACUGGCAUUGGGUAUCCAUCCAUCGGCGUAGCUUUAUUGAGAUUCCUGAAAUCAAUGCAGACCCGAAGCUUCCCGUUCUUCUUGUAGACCGGAACAACAUUGGAGAUCCAUUCGGCAUACCGACACUGCCGAAUAAACUUAGCUUCAAUAAGUUUGGUGAUUUCGGCCUUAAUAUCAGGGAGGAUGUUAGGAUUACAUCGGCGAGCUGGCUGUUGAUGUGGCCGAAAUCCAGACUUGAUAGGCAACCGAUGUUCAACAAUUGAUCGGUCCAAACCAGGCAUCUCAGUAUAAUCCCAAGCAAAGCAAUCUUUAUAUUUCUUUAACAAAUCAGUUAACUGUUGCUUACACUCAGAAUCUAACUUAGCACUAAUAAAAGUGGGUCUAGGUUUAUCACCACUACCUAUGUCUACCUCUACUAGAUCAUCGGCCGAUGUGAAUCCCUGGCCUAAUUUUCCAUCAUCGGCGAAUCUAUCCAUUAAAAACUUUCGUCAGAACCGACUGCUUGGAUCGGUGGAAUCUCGUAAUCGGCAACCUUGAGAAAAUCCUUCUCCCAAACUUCUCCUAAAAUACACCUAGUCCUCUCAUAGGUGUCCGCCUCUGCCGACGCAAUAACAUAAGAAGAAUCUCCCGGGACAAUCUCAAUUUUGUCUCCUACCCACUGAACCAAGCAUUGGUGCAUUGUAGACGGGAUGCAACAAUUAGCGUGAAUCCAAUCUCUUCCCAAUAGCAAGUUGUAAGCACCCUUUCCACUGAUCACAAAGAAGGUUGUCGGCAAGGUUUUGCUGCCGAUGGUCAACUCUACGCAUAUUGCCCCUUGACUGGAGAUACGUUCCCUUCAAAGUCUUUAAGCAUCAUGUCGGUCUUGGUCAAAUCCCGAUCCCCUCUCCCAAGCUUCCGAUAUACUGCAUAUGGCAUGAUGUUGAUAGCAGCCCCACCAUCAACUAGAAUCUUGGUCAUCGGCUGCCCAUCAACCCUCCCUUUGACGAACAGAGCCUUGAGAUGUUGUCUUUCGUCAUCGGCAGGUUUCUCGAAGAUAGCUGUCAUCGGAUCCAGAGCCAAUUGAGCUAUUUGGUCGGAAAAUUCCAAUUCAUCAUCACUGGAUGGCGCAAGAAACUCCAUCGGCAACAUAAAGACCAUGUUGACAUCUGCCGAUGGACCUUCCCGCUUGGGAUCUGAUUGCUGCUGAUCUCCAGACUGACCAGAGUUCUCACCCUUGUUUAGCCCUUCUCGCCUUUCGCGCUGCAACCUCCUUUUCUGUGUCUUGGUCAACCCCUCUGGACACCAUGGAGGAAGCAGCCUCUGCCUUGCUGCUGGGCGAUGAUUUUCCCUUGACUCCAUCCAAUGCGUAUUGGCAUCCCGGCAAAAUAUGAAUUCGUCGGGAACUCGUGCAUUAGCCAUCUCCUCAAGUUCUUCCUGGUUCCUGGGAAAAUACCGGACACGAUCACCAAGCCUGUCGUGUACACUGAGUCUGCCCCCUAGCCGAUCAUGGAUGGAUGCUCUCCCUCUAAUCGGCCCAUCGAAGCGCCGAUCAUUAUCACGAUAGUUCCGAUCGGACCUGUCGUACCGAUCGUAAUCGUUGCACUCAGGGCAAUCUCUGACAGUAGGAAGCUUGAUAUUCUCCUCCCAGCAAUGGAUGAAGAACCGGCAAUUCCAGUGAUCCCUAUGCCGAUUCCACUCCUGUCGGCAUCUUUCUUCUUCCCGAUGAUAAUCUUCUUGCUGGCGCCGGUACCGAUUUUCUCGUUGCUACCAAUUUUCCCGAGGUCUUCUGUGAGUUAUGACAAUUCCAGAUCGGGGAGGCCUUCCUAAGCUGGUUCCUUCCUGGACCAACCCCCUUCCCCUCGCAUCGGCAGUAGUGACUUGAUGCUGAGGAUCCACCGAUGCACUUCUUUCGGCUGCUUCUGAGGUUAAGACCUUGGCUUUUCCCUUAGCAUCCAACAUGUUCGUUGGGAAAGGAUGUUGGUCAAUCUUCAUCGGCUUCUGGGUCUUGGAGUUGUCAAAUUUGAUUCUCCCAGAUUCUAUAGCCGAUUGCAGUUGCUGUCUGAACACCUUGCACUCGUUAUUGUCAUGAGAAGUUGCAUUGUGCCAUUUGCAAUAUUUCAUCCUUUUCAAUUCUUCAGCCGAUGGGAUCACGUGAUUAGGUGACAGUUUGAUCUGGCCUUCCUGGAGCAGAAAGUCGAAUAUCCUAUCGGCUUUAGCGGUGUCAAACGCAAAUUUCUCCGGUUCUUUAUGUCCAAAAGGACAAGACAUCGGCUUCUUGUUUUUCACCCACUCUGCCAAGCCGAUGACUGGUUCCUCAUCAGAAUCUGAGCUUGUUGCUUCAUCAACGAAUGACACCUUUUUGUUCCACGCUCUCUUGGGUUCAAACGGCUUGAUGUCUUGAUCAGAGAUUCUUUGCACCAGAUGACUUAAGCUUUCAAACUACUGAGAUGCAUAUUUGUCCCUGAUGUGUGGCAACAAACCCUGGAAAGCCAAAUCGGCUAGCUGCCGAUCGUCCAGAACCAGACUAUAGCACUUGUUCUUGACUUCCCGUAUCCUCUGUACAAAACCCUCAACCGAUUCAUCAUUACGCUGCCUUAAUUUGACCAAAUCGGUGAUCUUCUUCUCAUGGACUCCAAAAAAGAAGUAUUUGUGGAAUUGUUUUUCCAGAUCGGCCCAAGUAAUCACUGAGUUGGGGGGUAGUGAUAUAAACCAGGUAAAAGCUGAUCCAGACAAUGAUGAUGAAAAUAGACGAACCCUUAACUCGUCCCUAUUACCAGCUUCUCCGCAUUGAAUGAUGAACCUGUUGACGUGUUCCAUGGUCGACGUGUCAUCCUGCCCAGAAAACUUAGUAAAAUCCGGUACCUUGUACCGAUGUGGAAGCGGGAUCAAGUCGUAUGCAGGAGGAUACGGCGUCCGAUAAGAGUAAGUAUUGACUUUGGGUUUUAUCCCAAAUUGGUCUCUCAUUACUUCAGCAAUCUUAUCGGCCCAGUAUGCAUCGGCAUCUUGCCGAUGGGGUGGUUGCGGAUCAGGUGCCUGCUGGUAAACCUCCACGUGUCUGUUCGGUGCACGGUCUGCACGGAACAUUGGGUUGAUCAUCUGGCCUCCAACCUGUGGACCACCAAGCUGUUGCCCGCCAAUCUGCUAUCCACUGACCUGCUGCCCGAGAUUCAUUGACUGGUUAGGGAUCCCCUGAUUCUGGAACCCGGGAUAGAUCUGUCCUUGUUGGAACCCUGUAGCCUGGUGACUCUGUUGGGGCGUCUGCGGAAAGACUUGCUGCCCAAGCCAUCCAUUGUUAGCGUUCAUCGGCAUAGGCCCUGCCGAUGACUGGUAAUUGGGCAUCAUCAUUGAAUCGACAUACCCUGAUUGAGCCAUAGACCUCUGUUGCAUCAGCAUCAAGUCUGCUGAUGCGUUAGGCAUCUGGAACAUUGGAGCUUGAGAAUUCCCAGUGUAAGGUCUUGCAGUAGUAGUUGUAUUGUACUGGGGACUCUGGUUCAUUGACAUAUUGGGAGGUGCCGAUGCCAUAGGAGUCUUGCCUCUCAUAUCAAUCGUCUGCGAUGUACCCGGCGUUAACUCUGGAGGCAUGCCGUAACCCCACCAGUUGGGAGGAGGGGUUAACCCUGUCAUUGCCGAUGCUAACAGAUCUGUGGCAAGUUUAAUCUGCCUAUCUGAAGUCUGUGGAUUAGUUUUCAUCGGCAUAGAUUGUCCAUUGGUGACUCACGUGCUUGGCGGAACAGGAAUCUCCAUACCUGCUGCGGCCGUAGCAGCCGAUGGAGCUGUGACGACUGGUGACUUUGGCUGGUGAUAAGUGGGGCCUACAUAAUCUGGUGGCAAUUGUCCCUCCUUGAAAGUUCUUGCCACGGCAUUGAAAACCGUAUUAGACAGGACACCAGCUUGAUUGAUCAAAGCAUGGUUGAUAGCGCUGUCAACCAUCUCUUGAAGCUUGCCAGGAUUGGACUCAAAAGUAACCUGCCGAGGUGCCGGCAGUGCAUCCUUCUGAAUCACCUCACCGCUCCUGUUCAUGCUGAAGGACCUCAGGCAUUGCUGCUUGUAAUCUUCCAUGGCUUUAGCGAUAGCUUGCUUCUGCUCAUCCUUGAGAUUGGCUUCCGUCACGGGGAUGACGUUUUCUUGAUCAAACUCAGAAGUUGACAUAUCGAUCUUGAUCUUGAAUCGGUCCCACUGGGCGUGCCAAAAGAUGUGUUGGUGCAAAAGUUGAUUUGCAAACACAAAGGGCUAAUACCCGAUUUAAACGUUAAGGCGUGCCAGCCGAUUUGACCUUACUAUCGGCAAAGGUGGUAACUCGAAUACUUUAGUCCUGACAACAGCGAUGCGCCCGGAUGUCACGGCUAAGAGUUACUCAUGCGGAACUUGAGAACACGCCGAGCUUAAGUCGACGAAUUCCUAAGAACUCGUAAUGAAAAGGAAAAAGUAUGACGAAGUCGUCGAAAAAGUAGAUGCUGGAAUAUGAGUAAAAACGUGUGUUUGAUUAAUUGAUAGAUAGAUCAUUACAAGGCCCUAGGGUCUAUAUUUAUACCCUGCUCAAAGAGCUACAAUCAGAUACGACUAGAACUCGAAUUCCAAAUUACACAGAAUCCGUAUACAAAACGACUUAAGCAACUAAGGAAAACAUAAAACUAUCCUUCCGUGACGAACUCGAACAACUCCACAAACCGAUCGGUAGCCUCCAGGCUCUCCCUCCAAAUCAUCGGCAUACUCCCUUGUCAUCGGCAGAUCUCCUUGUCACAGAACCGACCAAAUUAUAAGAGUUUAAGUGCAGAAACGAUCGUCAAACAAACAAGUUUCUAAACUUGAGCCCAUAUAAUCCCGGUAGUCAAUCGAAAUCACGAAGGACUUCAAACCAACUCGCAACAAGCCAAGAUCGUAAUAGUUCAACAUAAACACAACGAAUGUUACAUAGUCAGUCAUUGCCGAUGAAGCGGCACCACAUCAGAGUCAUUAAGUUAUUACAACCCAAGUUUGAAGUAGCUGAAGCAAAAUAGUUACACACACUUGUUCAAAGUUCAGUACACAAGUUUUGUUACUGCCAGAGUCUAUGCCAUCCUUCCAAAAGCAUCAUAGGCGAGAAGAGUAGAGAACCGUGCCCAACGGUUAGUCCUCAUCCCCAGCGGGAUGGAGACAGGUCUUGCAGAAACCGUCAUAGAAGAUAUCAUAUGCAACAGGUGGGAAUAAACCCUGAGUACGAGGAUGUACUCAGCUAGACUUACCCGUCUAGUAAAACACAAAAGACACCAAGGAUCAUGCAAGGCUAAAUCUUAAUCUUAGGUGGAGUUUGUUGACUCACCUUUUGCCAAAAGCUUAACUUACAACUAAGUUAUUUUAAGAGCAUCAUAUUUAUUUAUCAUCAGCCUACCACUAGAUUAGCACCUGUACUACAACACAUCACUUGAUUAUUACAAACAAUAAUAACCAUAUCAAAUUCAUCAUAUGUUCUUCUUGCUAUCAUCAUUAUCAUGAACCAAAUUCAUUAGUGAAUGCUACGUUUGCCGCUGCUCUGUCAAGUUCUCACUAACCGGGAGAGACGGCGAUUCGAAUCGAAUUCCUAUCCAGCUGGAGGAUUAUUCCUAGCACUCACCCAGGCAUCCCCUGCCGGAGAGCCCACGGGUCACCUUUGGUACAACUCAGAAAUCGCGGUUCCGAUCAGCGCCGCACUCCCAGGGCUACCACUCUGCCAGGGAGGUCAGGAAUUUUAACUCACCUGCCUUUGGACUUACGCCAAUGGUCCCCCGCACACCGCACUUCCUCCGGUAGUGCGCACUUUAUACUUGACUGUCUUCCGGCCUGAGUCAUACUACUCGGCUUCGCGGUCGGAACGAGUUAUCCGGCCAACUAAGUGUUAGGCAUGCGUUCAACAUGACAAGAGGACGUACAACGAUCAGUCCUUAGCUGCCACAGACGGAGUUACUACAAACUUGCAAAACUCCGCCCGGCUUAAGUCACUUUAAUCAGGUUCCAUCCACGAUAGCACAUAUAGACCAUCGUGAUCCGACAUAACCCUAUAUCGCGCGGAUGACAGGAUAUCACCCGACUUCUACCGAUUAAAGCAUAUCUAAGCUGCUACUCGAUCCUAACUCUACAACCAGGGAGGGUGAGUUAUCUGGACAAGGAUAGAGUAGAAUGCAGCAACAGUUUCAUCACAACUCCUAGACUUAAUGCAUCAAUAGGUAUAACAUAUUAAGUAAACUUUCGAAAAUAGAAGGAGACUUAGAAUGCUCCGGGGCUUGCCUUUCACGAACGAUGCCGGCUCGUGAUUCGGGCACUCAACUUCUUCUUCGGGCUCCUCGAGUCCGGCUUGCUGGACCUCCACCUCCUGGCUGCCCUCCUGACCUUCAGGAUUCGCUUGGAGCUCGAAGGAAACUGCCACGUCCGGUGCACCUAUUGCAUGCUCGAACGAUAAGAUAAUGCACAUGCUAACGAUGAAUGCUUAAUGACACAAGCAACUCACUGGACACUCAUUUACGGACAAAAGUUAUACUAACUCGCAUAAUUGAACAAGUUAACAUAACAAAAAACCUUUCAAGACACUAAGGCAGCAAACACACAAACAGAGAGGCUCAGUAAAUAAAUCAUAACUAAAGAUAGGCAGGUCCAACAAACAUGAGUAAGGACAUUCUGGAAAGCUUAUGAAAUUGUCUACAAUUAAUCUUUAAACAUGACAGCAAGAUUCAUACAUGAGACUGGUCAUUUAAACAAAGUUCCAGGUUCUGUCCCAGAAAAACAGAGAACACCUAUUCCUGGAACCCAACUUGAAACAGCUAUAACUUUUAAACUACUUGGCCAAACGACCUCAAAUUUAAACCAUAGUUAGUUCAACAAGUUUGGAACAUCUUUGCUUUAGACAAGUUCCACAGAAAGUCAAGUUAUCAUUAAGUAAUAACCAAAUUGCUACCUUGCUGUCCAGAACAGCAUUUAACCCUAUAGUUAAUUAUUUAAUAACAUGAUCAAGACACAAACCAUGCCAACCACAUGGCCUAUGAGCACAAACAUAUUACAAGGUUACCAGAUCAUCAGAUGGAAACCCCAAAACAUUUAUUUAACAAGGCAUUUAUUAAUUAACUCUAAAUAAGAGCAUAAUUACAAGAUACUAGUUCAAAUGCUCAGAAAAAUCUACAAAAAUUACAGAAGCACAAGGACACCAUCAAAGUGUCACCAUAAAAAUUUCACAGCAAUUGCACAUACCAAAAUAAAGAUAUGUAUUUAACACGUAUCAAGGCAUUUAUUUCAUAAAUUUAGAAACAAUACUUAUAUGGUGUUAAACAACAGAUUUCAGAUUAUUUACAUCUUAGGAGUACCAUAAACAAACUUACCACCAAAGUAGAACAUCAGCAUAAGCACCAAUUAUUUUAUAUGAUUUAUUUAAAGAAACAAGCCAUAUCUCAAACACAAAUUACGUAUCCCAACUGCAGUGCUCUAAAAAUCAUGAAAUAAUUAUCAGAGCACUCUAAUGCCAUGCAAAGGCUACCAUAAAAUUUUCAAAGCAAACUAAGCAGUAUAACAAGAGAUAUGCAUUUUUCCAUAAAUAACAAGAUUAAAUCCUUAAUAAAUGAUUUCUCAGAAAACAUGAUUCAUUUUAUAUUUUUAUUAAAUACUAGCCAUCUCAAGAAACUCCACAAAAAUUUGUUUCACAAUUUAUGGAUCUUAGAAACCGGAGAUAUGAUUUUUGCAAGAAAGCCAAAAAUCAGGAUUUUGAAUAAAAGAAAAGGAGGGAAAGAGAGAGUCGCUGACAGUGGGUCCCAUCUGUCAGGCUCUUCUUCCUCGCGGCCGAGGCGACUUUCGCCGGCGAUUUCUCCGCGACGGCGAGGUCUCCGGCCAAGCCAAGGGCAUCAGCGUGAUCCCCAAACCCUAACGACUCGAUUGACCCCACUUUUCCCACGGCGGAGCCACCGGAAGAGGCUCGCCGUCGACAAUGGCGGCUCGGCGGAGGUGCUCGGCGUUACGCCGGAGCCCUCAGGCCGGUAGAGCGCGACCUAAGGCCUUCUACAGCACCAGCGGACUACGGCGAAGCUUCCUAGGUGCGCGGCUUCGCCUGGAUCCCCGUGGAACGCGCUGGCCACGAGAGCACCCAACUCCGGCGGAAGCACGGCGGCGCUGCGCACCGUGUCCGGCGACGGAGAACCCGGUAGAGCGUCCACCAGGUGGCGCAAAAGCUCGCUAAGGACCUAAGCUACCUCUAGGACCUAACCAAAGACGAUGAGAAGCCUCACAGCGCUCGGCAUUGAGUUCGCCGGAGAAGAAGGUCACGGCGAACCGAUUUGGGGGAAGAAGGGAAUGUCAGCUCACCGGUGGGUUUCUCGGCGAGUUAGAGGGUGGAGCUUGGAGAGCGGCUCACGGCGGAGCUUUGGGUGGAGUUUGGUGGACGGAGGCGCAGUGAGGAGCGCACACGAGCUCGCCGGAGUGAGCUCGCGGCAGAGAGCUCGCUGCGGGCGAGUUUCAGGCGAAGGAGGGCGAGGCAGAGCGAGUGGACGCGUCCACUUCGCUCGGGACGUCGCCGUGGAGGUCAUGCACGCGACGAGGGCUGACAAGCGGGGCCAGGAGCGGUGUGCAGUCGACAAAUGGCGACGGAGCUCUGCCGGCGGUCGGCCACGUCGACGAGCUCAGGCUCGAUUCAGAAGAAAGGGUGCUGGUCUAACAGAGCCACUUCACCGGCGAUUAUCUCCCAAACCAGAGCGAAUUAGAAGAUGGCGUAGUUGACAAACUUGGAGAACUAAGCGAGAUCUACAACUUUGUCAAAUGGAGCAAGAGCUAGAUCGGCUUGGAUUGAGAGUUAUGAAGUUUUCAAAAUCAAUCGAGCAAACUGGUUUCGUUCCAAGACUUAGAAAAUUUUCUAAGUGUUGAAAACAGCCCCAAAUCUGCCUUGUAGGUCACUUUUGAGCUAUUUGUGAUCAUUUUCAUGAGAUGGCCAUAAAACAACUUUUGUUCCUCAUAAAAUUUGCUACAACUUUGCUGUAGAAAGUUUUGACAUGCAAACAUUUUAUGAAAGACUUUUUAAAAUCCUAAGCAAAAGAGGUUUCUAGGGUCUAUUUUCAUAAGUAUGACUUAAAAGCAUAUUUUGGAAAAGUGAUCAACCUGAACAUUGUUCCCAAGAUUAAGUUAAGCAUAGAUAAACUAAUUACCAAGGCAUUAAGCACAAACACAAGCAUUGUUCACUCAAACAUAAGCAUAGGAAGCCUAUUUAAGCAAUUUAAAACACAUUUUUGCAUAGAAUGACAUGGCUCAAGAUAGAUGAUGAUCAUGAUAUGCUUUGAGUAAAUGAUGAUGCUCAUGCUAUGCACAUGCUUGAUGCAACCAUAACACUGGGGUGUUACACUCCUUGUCGUAGCCAUCGGCACAGACAUGUCACCACUUAUGGACUUGAUCACGUUCGUUCAUCCUUCCAUCGGCGACCAUCUCCAUCGGCAACUCUCCUUGCAGACCAAACACCACUGCCUUAUCCUGCCGAUCUAUACUUUCACCGAUUAUGGACACGUGCCCAAAAACGGUGUCAACAGGAUGUCGACUCAUUAUGCAUGAAAUACUUAAGACUGCUUCACUGGCAAUCACUACCACUUGAUGUUGGGACAACACUAGGUGCUUUGCUGAAGAUUCCUUUGGUAAACAUCUUGUCAAACAACUCAUAACUCAUACUAGGAGAUUAAGAAUAAUAAGGUCCAAUGAAAAAGACAUCUCUUUUUACAAAGAAGAUUACAAGCGGCUUGAAUGCAAAAUCUUAUAAGCUAAUAGGCAUAACUGACUUCAGAUUUCAUAGACCAUUAUUGACUAGCUCAAAUCCAUCUAGGUCCCUUAAUAUAACUUGCUUCACAUCAGAUGUUGAGAAUAUAUUGCCUCUGUAUAAGGUCCGCAUUUUAUUCAAAUUGCAUUGGUACAAUUAUUCCAUUACCCCUUUAAUCCUUCGAGUGAGGAGUGCCAUCAUAGACAAACCUAUCUCCUGAUGGGGUGGUUAGGGAUACUGAGUGUUGGGUCCAGUCAAACUUUCCAUGACAACGAUUAACCAUCCUCUAACAAGAACGUCAUCAAUCUCCAUCGAUUCCAAAACUACAAGAUUCACCUCAAAAUUUGCAUCUUUUAUGUCAAGACUAACAUUUGGGCACAUACGAGUUGCUUUUAUCUUUCCUCUUAGUGAUUUAACCAGUAUGGGAUUCUUCAUUUCCAUCUUAAGCAUCUUAUGAUCCGCAACACAUUAACUAGAGAUAAAAGAAUGUGAAGAACUUGAGUCAAACAAAACAGUGGCAGGAGUUGAGUUGACUAGAAUUGAUCCAAACACCACAUUUUGUGCUUCGCGAGCAGUACACAGAUCCACAAGGUUCAAUCUACCAUUAACAUAGUCACGAAUUGGGUACUUCCUUGGACAAUGCUUUUGGUAAUGUCCCUCUUCAUGACACUGGUAACAAACAUUGCUAACAGUCUGACUGUAGGUGCUACUGUGACGUUGAGUUCCUUGAAUUGAUCUGCCGAGAGUAGCUAAAGUGCUACUAACUUGUGGGUUCUGAGGGUUCACCUUCAACGGAGUCUCUUCACUAUUUCGCUUCUUAGCUUGAUUACUUUUUCGAGGAUGAAGUUCUAUGUAGGUGAUAGUCCAUUGUUGACACUUGCUAACACCACUUCAAUACUAGGUUAUCAUCCCUAGCAUGGCACUAGAGUGUACUAUGGUAUUUAUACGCACACAGAUAAAUCCGCAAGCGCACGGAUACCGUUAUAGCUUUUACCCGGUUAAAGGUUUUAUCGUAUCCACAGGGAAACGGGAGAACCAACUACGCUCUAGCCUAACCAAGAUAGAUAGAUAGGUGUAAAUAGGAAAGAUGGUAGAAUUGAAUAAGAACAAUAUUAAAGGUAAAAUGAUAAUGAGGGAAUAUAGAGUAGAGCAUUAUAAUAUAUGGGCGAUAAUAGGAGAAUAGAGAGGAUAACUAGGGUUGCUCUACUUCAAAGGGGUAUGUCUGUAUGUGGCAUACCAUAAGUAUAAAACAACACAGAGGAUGCUUAUACCUAAGGUCAAGGACUCCUACCAAUCCUGCUAACGGGAGGUGGACUAGAGAGGACUACGUAGCUGUCACCUACGCGGCCUACCACACGAUCCGGCUAAUAGGGGAUAUCCACAAGUAAUCUAGGCCUAAGCACGACGCUUACACCUAUACUACAACUCUCACCUAUAGUGUCCUAUAGAUUAAAGUACUCAAAAGAGUUGUGAACUAGAACAUACAUGGAUAGUAAUUGCAUAAUGAAAUAGAAGUAGAUUACCAGAGUCAUCCCAUGAGCAAGCUUGAUUAGAGCUUGAUCAUGGUGAAGUACAACCGGAGGAAGAACCGACAGGCCGGCCUCUCCUCCAAUCCUCCCUCGCUCUACAUCUUGCUACUAUCUAGAUCCACUCUAGUUUAGAGAUGAGAGGAGAGCUCUCAUAUACAAACCCUAGCUUUUGCUCUGUCUAUUAAUAAUGAAUAGGGGAUGCAAAGGUGCCUUCUCCAGGGGUCAGGGGGCCUACUUAUAUAGCCCUUCCAAAUGAACGUCGGCCGUCGGAGCAAACCGACCUUAGUCGCACGGUUUUCCUUAAUCCUUUAGGUUAGUGGAGCAUGAUCCGCGAGGCGGAGCUUGAUUGGCUCCUGUAGCAGGGCGGGCGCCCUAGGGGUAGGGCGGGCGCCCAGCCCUCGGGUCCGCUCUGCCUCCCGUUCGUUCCCGUGGCUUCUGGAGUCUUCUAGAUGAUAGAAAAUUGCCGCACAUGUUAAUAUCUCUAUGUAAACCCGACAUGUGGGCCUUUCCUCCAUGUUUCCUGAUAACCCCUCGUAGAAAUAGACAAACACCAAAACUCGUGGAAUUCUGUCAGAUAAAACCAUAAGUCUGGGUGUUGUUUGCAUUUGGAUCCUUUUCUUUGUUUAUUUGAUAAUUAAAUUUGGUACUUAAGGACCGUCAACAACUCCCCCAAGCUUACCUCUUGCUCGUCCAUGAGCAAGGAUAGACUCAGUGAUGGAUCAGAAGCUGCUGUAAUGCCUUUAAAACUUGACGGUACACAUGCUUUCAAAUGAGGUCUCAUCUCUGAGUUAGAGUAAACUAUUAAAACAUAAAACUUACUCAUUUUACCUUUCACCAUGGGGCUUGUAACCGUCACUUGUGUCUUGAGCAGUUAAAAGAUAGAACAGUCUAGUCAAGCGCCAUGUCUCUUAUUCUUGAUCAGCUAUAGCUCUGGAGUUUUUGUAGAUUUUCAAAUAGAACAAAAAGAUUCCUUUGUAUGACUCUCUCAAAUCUUUCUUUUGUGAUAUUUCUGGAUCCUUACCAAGGCAGUGAUGGUAUAUGUCUUCUCUCAAAGUAUGUAGUAUUUGUGGUAUAAUGCAUAGUGACAUUGCCUUCUCUCUCACCCUACUCUAAUAAGGCUUGAUAUCUAGAGCUCAUAGGUGGGAGAUAAAGUAUACAAACUUACAAGACAUUUAUUGCAUAGUCAAACCAUGGAUCUAGAGAAACAAGUCAAUAAGUCAAAUCAAGAUGUGCAUGUGUGGCGAAUGAAUGGUGUAUGGUGAUGAUGGUGAUAAUGGUUAAAACAAUGGUGAAAGUCUAAUUCUACUUUUGCUCUUUUGAGGAGAUACAUACCUUUCUUGCACUUUGAAGCUUUUUGAGGGGAAUGAGAUGCUCUAUAUUUAUUUUUUUCUUUUCUCUUAGGUGGGUAUCUUGUACCCCUAAUUCUACUGUCAGACACUUGUCCAUUUUUACCUCUUGUCUCACUUUUUUUCGAGGUUUCGGGCACUUGCCCUUUUUUAUUUCCUCGUAUUCAUAUUUUUUCAGAGCACUCAUCCUCCUAGAAUAAUAUAGCAAGUGGUAGUAACCAAGAUAACUCGAGCAUUUAUUUCACAGGGAAUAACAGGGAUAGGAAAAAGUUUUUGGCUAUUCUCUCCCGGAUAGGAGUAGAAUAAUUUUAGGUGAAUUUGAAGAUGGAAUUGAGUGGAUGUAUGUGGAUGCGUACUUCCGGAGUAGAAGUAGCAUGUAUGAGUGAACGUGCAAGUGAAUUUUGAUUUUAACUGUAUGACAAGCUCCUAAGGGUCUACACAGCUUGACCAUACUCAAAGCUCAUCAGCAGUAAAAAGUAAAUGUAUAGUCUAAUAAGCAUGUAUAUAUGGCUGUGGUAGGAUUUUAAACUCUCAUCAUACAUGAACUCAUCAUGCAACAUUUUAAAGAUUUUCAAAGAUAAAACUCUCUAGAAUUCUUGCAUCUCUAGGAACAGAUAAACAACAGCUCAAUCUUCCCAUAUCGUAUCCGUUAACGACUUAGACAUUAGAUCAAGUACUCUUCCCAUAAGUUCAGGUUUAGAGCAAAUCUUAAUUCAUAAUAGUCAUGCCUAAUCUUGAGAGAGAUUUCAAUUUUGAGAACUAGUCAUGGCAGAGCAACUAUUCAUCAUUUCCAUGUGAGAGCUUAUCACUAGGGUUCAUAGCAAACUUUAUUUAUUUAUUUAUUUAGCAAACUAAGAAAAGAUAUAUAUAUAAGCACAAAAUAUUUAUUUGGGUUUUUAUGAUUUUGCAUCUUUUAAUUAUUUGAGUAAAGUAUAAACGCGAGUAGAAACACUUAGCUGGAUAAAUAGGGGUGCUCUCCCCCAAGCUAGAUUUUGACGUAAUCUCUUCUUAUGUAGCUAGCAGGUAGUGGAGGUGUAUUUGAAUGUCGGCAGCACCCUGACAGCGAUUAGGUGUCCUCCGUCUGCUAGUCUUAUUUGAUCCUUGAAUUCUAUGGAGCUCAAACAGACAACAAAGCUUUGUGGAACUGGUUAAGUGUUAGCAUAAAAUCUCUUAGCCGUUAUCAUGUUGAGCUUCCUCUAAUAAAUAUUACUCUCUUUGGUAGGAUCAUAGAUUUAUUUUUAUAUUUUUAUUUUUAUAAGACAGGAAUAUUUUUAUUUUUACGCCACCACAGUGAAUGUACUUAUGGGUUUUAUGUCACGAGCAUACUCACAUGGGGCUUACUGUUUUUAACAUUUUUAAUUUCUUUUCAAGAUAGCAUGAUUAACUAACAAGAUAUUUGUUGAUGCAAAAUUGAUCUGCAAACACAAAGGGCUAAUACCCGAUUCAAACGUUAAGGCGUGCCAGCCGAUUUAACCUUGCUAUCGGCAAAGGUGAUAACUCGAAUACUUUAGUCCUGACAACAGCGAUGCGCCCGGAUGUCACGGCUAAGAGGUACUCACGCGGAACUCGAGAACACGCUGAGCUUAAGUCGACGAAUUCCUAAGAACUCGUAAUAGAAAGAAAAAAAAGUAUGACGAAGUCGUCGAAAAGUAGAUGCUGGAAUAUGAGUAAAAACGUAUGUUUGAUUGAUUUCUUGAUAGAUCUCCUGAUUACAAGGUCCUUGGGCUUAUAUUUAUACCCUGCUCAAAGAGCUACGACCAGACACGAUUAGAAUUCGAAUUCCAAAUUACACGGAACCCGUAUACAAAACGAUGCGAAUAACAUAAGGAAAUAAUAAAACCAUCCUUCGUGACAAACCGAAACUCCUCCACAUGACAACUGGCAGCUUCCGGACUCCUCCUUCGCGUCAUCGGCAAUCCCCUUGCCAUAGUCAUCGGCAGACCCUUUUACUUGGUCAUCGGCACCAUAUUACUGUCUGAGGACUUAGUCACAUUCAACCUUUCCCUCAUCGGCAACCAUCCUUACCAGCAACCCGCAUCGUACUGCCACCCUGUCCUGCCAUCCUGGACACGUGCCCAAAAAUGGUGUCAACACAUGCCCCCCAGUUUCGGAGUAUAAAACUAUUAAUGCUCCGAAAUUCUCUGCAGUAAUGAUGUCUCCUCCGCAAUUAAUGCUCCUAAUCUGGUAACCAUCAACCUCAACUUGGACACAUCUGAUCCUAAUCCUCCGCAGAUCCCUCGAAAUCUCCAACUUCCUAAACGGGCAUCUCUUUUAGUCGUACAUCGGCAACAAUACCGUUACAAAGAUCUGCCGAUGCUCUGCCCAGGAGAUUCGCAAAAAAUGGUUACUUCCCCUCUAUCCGCCCAUCGGCAGGACGACCGUUAUAGAAUAUCACCGAUGGACCGACCAGGAGAUCGCGCACAGUAAAAUAUCUUUAGAUAAUGACCGCUUCCUGUCAAAUCACCUGCACAAUCCCUGGAUUAUCGUGCGAACAGUUACCAUAUCCACUUGAGUACCCUCGGGUUUCUCGGAUGCGGCAAAGAAAUAAGUCAGAUUUGCCCUUGUCCAUCUUGCCCUAUAAAUAGUUCCUUCUUGGGUACUCCUCCCCCAUUACAUCAUUCUGCCAUCCAACUUCACUUUUCCAGCGGCGGCGCCAUUCUCAAUCCUCAAGAUCUCCGACAAGCAUUCUUCUUCAUCAACUCCGGCGUCUUCCAGCGUCCCCUUCACGACAAGAUGGCCGUUGGCUUCGUCGUCCCUGAGGUCAGACUUCCAUCUCAUCUGCUGUACCUUUUUCCUGCAUUCCUGUUCAUCUGCGAUUUACCUUACCGAAUAUUUUCCUUCUCCUUUUUCUUUGUAUCUUUAUUCCCCAAAACACUAGGAGUUAUCCAACAAAAUUGUCAUUCCUACCGAUCAACCACAUCUUCAAUGCCUCGGCCCUCUAGGGGAUCCAGAUCCAACCGAUCUUAUCAACGCAGAAACCAAUAGGAUUCCCUGUAGAGCUGAAAACUUUGCUCUAGAUCUAUGGAAGGACACCUUUCGCUCUUGGCCCAGCCCUACUGUAGGGUGGAAAGACUGGUUCUUGAGGGUCAGCAACUCUUAUGAAGUUCAAUGGGGUGAGAGGAAAUUAGCUCAAUGCAUUAGGCUGUCCAUUGCCGAUAUGCAUAGGAACGAGUCAUUGCUGAUAGCUGCAUCUUACUUUUGGUCAGACACUCUCAACGCUUUUGUUUUUGGCCACGGCCCUGCUUCUCCUACCCUUGCCGAUGUAGCCAUGCUUACUGGGUUAGACAUAUCUUCUGCCGAUAGCACCCACUUUUUUGAUACCGCCCCCAGUGCCAAAGUGGAGACUCGCGCUAUCGGCGGCUGGUCAGGGUACAUCCAGAAGUACCGCGGGAGAGGGCCUGUCACCAUAAAGGAACAAACCACCUUUCUGAACAUGUGGCUAGACAAGUUUGUAUUCUGUGGUCGAUCGGCAGGACCGACUUCUGUCUAUCUAUCGGCAGUAGAAAGACUGGCUAGCGGUGGUCAAUUUCCUCUCGGUCGUUAUUUGCUCGGCGCUGUUUAUCACCUUCUUCAUCAGGUAGUCCAGAAACUCCUGCUCGGCCAACCUAUCGGCAACUUGGGAGGUCCUUGGUGGUUUAUUAAUAUGUGGCUCAAUCUGCACCUGCACAAGUGCCUCGAUCUCAACUUGUUCUCUCAGCACUUCCCAAGAGAUAUAGCCGAAAACCAUGUGUUGGGUGAAGAGGAAUCGGCAACACGUGCCCCCCUGAACUUCGGCGAAGCUGUUAUAGUUUUACCCGGUUCAGGGAACACUCCGGAUCAGAUCGGCCGAUUCUUCGAGACGCUGUAUGAGGGUCUGGCCAGAGAUGAACGACCAUGGCUGGCUUAUGACGACCCAGAUAGCAUGCUCCCUCUGACCUUCAAUCCGUUCGACGAAGCUCUUGAUAGGGACAAUGAGGUGAUGAUGGCAAUCGUGACUCCCAGAGCCAUACCAGUGAACUUCUUCGGCAGCACGAAAACCUCUCCCCAAACCUAUGAAUUUUAUAAUCCAUCGGCAUUAGCUCGCCAGCUAGCUUUCGGCCAAUUGCCGAUCGCACUUCCUUAUGCCGAUGUAAUAAAGCCCAGAGAACCCAUCGCUAACCUCCUCGAAUGGACUCGAGUAGCCCAGCUACCACCAAAUGCCGAUACAGAUGUAGAUCUGUCAGAAUGGGUUCCAGCUGCCUUUAUCACUCAAGCAUACAAGCUAUGGUGGGCAGAAUGGAAGGAGAAUCUAUUCUGCAGAUCGGCCCUCUCAUACCGCGGCAUGAUCGACCCCGAAUACAAAGUCCCUGAUGACACUGUAAGUAUUUUAAACCGAUGUCUCAUUUUCCAAUACUAUUCCCAUCGGUAACUUACCCCUGUAUUCUUUUUGCAGAUUGACAACACCCCCCCAUCGGUUAGCAGGAGUGGCAAGCCGAUCGACUUAUUCCCAUCAGACCCGAUCUCCUCAAUCGGCCACAAUGCUCCCACUCUGGCUUCCAUCGUGCACCGGGGUGCGCGUCUCAAGAAAGUUACCACCAGGAAAACUCAGACAUCACCAACGGUAACUGCUUCCACUCUGGCGCAAGCUUUCAAGGCAAUCUGUUAAAACCCUUUUUUAUUUAUGCUGACUAUCUUUAUAUCGGUUAUCUGUGCUCAUAAACUCCUUAUCGUUGUUGCAGCAAACUGGUGCAUCGGCAAAAGCCAAACGCCAAGGUGCCGAUGCCCCCCAGUCUAGCCAGCCAAAGAGGAAAGGCGUCCAAGGUGCUAAGACUGGAACAAAGCGUCAGAAAGUGGCAACUCCUCCUCCUCCUCCGGUGUCUCCAAUCCCGGUGGAAUCUUCCCCUUCUCCUCCAGAAGUCCAGGCACAGCAAGCACCAUCUCCUCAAUCAAUACAGGAAGCACCACAGAUGGAAGAACCUCAGCAAGAAGAUCCUCAAACGGCAGGUACAUCAGCUGACGUAGGUGAACAAACAACUGGCCCGGCAGGUCCAGUUAUAUCAUCGGCGGUUUCCUCAAUUCAAACAACUGUUGUUCCUCCUUCGGGUAACAUAUCCCAACAAUACUCCUACCGAUAAACUUAUUUUCAUUUAUUCUUAUAAUCCUUCCUGUCUUCUUUCAGGCGAUAUCGUUCUAUCGGCAACAUUUGCCGAUCAACCUGCAGCUCCAUCGGCCUCUCUGAGUCAAAGGCAAGAAAUCGCCUUGAAGCAAGUAAGUCAUCCACUUUUCCAUCGGUAUCGUCUGCCGAAGUUUUGACCAUAAAAUUGACCUAUUUCAUUUUCAUUUUCAGGAACAAGAUUCUCCCAACAGCUUGUUCUCCUUCGCUAUUGAUAUCUUUGAAGAAGAAGGCGAGGAAGCAAGCUCCUCUCGGGCAGUUGGAAUUGUAUCGGCAGAAACCAGAGCUAAGCUGGAGGAGCUAUCGGCCAUACUUCAUCAAGACACAACUCAACUGGUCGACGAUUCUGACCCAGCCAAGGCCCUAUUCAAGACUCUUAGAGGCCAAAUUCCUGCCGAUGCCGAAGAAGCACUCUUCCACGCUGCACAUCUAGAAAGCCGCCAGCUACAGUACCAGAGAGCUACUCGACGCCUUGCCGAUAGAGCUGCUCAAAUCCAGCUCUCUGAGGAGAUGAUGAAAGAAAAACUCUUAGGCGAUGAGAAACAUAAGAACAUCAGCAUCUUAAAGUCCUCAGGUGAUGCACUGAAGCAGAAAAUGUCUGAUCUAUCGGCAAAAAGAGAAGCUCUGCUGGCUGAACUCAAGCAAGUAGAAGACGCUCUGUCCCAAGCCCAGCAAGAAGAGAGUCAACUGCCGGAGACCAUCAAGCAUCUUGAACAGGAACGAAACGUCCAUGGUCGUAAAGCGCUGCAACUGAAGAGGAAGCUGAAGCCGAUCGAAGGUUCUGCCGAUGACGAUAUCAAAGAGAUAGAGACAGCCAACCAGAUUCGGCUGCGCGCCAUAUCCGCAAUCCAAGCGCUGCUGAACAUCUGAAGCUUUCAUCGGCGACACACCUUUGUUUCUCCGCUUUUAGCUUUUAGUCUAGCCGAUAAGACUGUUAUCGGCAUCUUUUGAAACAUUAAGUCUGCCCUUGAACAUUUAGAUCCAGCCGAUAGGAGUGUUAUCGGCACUUAACUUUUUAUGCAUCGAUCCAUAUGCUGGGGUAGUACUUCUUCAAAUAUUUGCCAUUUAACACUCUGGGAAAUUCAACUCCUUCGAGAGUUUCUAGAAUAUAGGCAUUACCAGGAGCUGAGCGUUUUAUCCGAUAAGGACCUUCCCAAUUAGGAGACCACUUCCCAAACUUUGAACUUUUAGUCCCGACUGGCAAAAUCAACUUCCAUACCAAAUCCCCAUCGGCAAACUCCUUAGCCUUCACUUUUUUAUCAUACCAUCUGGCAACUCUCUUCUUAUUUUCUUCUAUACUCAUUAAAGCCUUUAACCGAUGCCCUGCUAAAUCAUCUAACUCAUCGGUCAUCAAAGUGGCAUAAUCAUCGGCAGCCAAUUGAUCUUGAAAAGAUAAUCGCCUAGAUCCAGCCUUAAUCUCCCAAGGCAAAACUGCAUCAUGUCCAUACACCAAUUGAUAAGGUGACACCUUGGUUGAUCCAUGACAAGCCAUCCGAUAAGACCACAGUGCUUCAUUUAACAAUGCAUGCCACCGCCUAGGAUUUUCUUCAAUCUUUCGUUUAAUAAGCUUGAUAAUUCCCUUGUUAGACGCUUCGGCCUGCCCAUUGGCUUGAGCAUAGUAAGGAGAAGAAUUCAACACUUUAAUUCCCAUACCGAUUGCGAAUUCAUCGAACUCCCCCGACGUGAACAUGGUGCCCUGAUCGGUAGUAAUCGUUUGGGGAAUCCCAAAUCGGUAAAUAAUAUGCUCCUUCACAAAAUCAAUCAUAUUGGCCGAUGUGACUUUCUUCAAAGGAAUAGCUUCGACCCACUUGGUGAAAUAGUCAGUGGCAACUAGAAUGAACUUAUGCCCUUUGCUAGAUGGUGGAUAAAUCUGGCCGAUUAGAUCGAUGGCCCACCCCCGGAACGGCCAAGGUUUUAUUAUAGGAUUCAUAGCCGAUGCGGGUGCUCUUUGGAUAUUACCGAACUUUUGACAACCUUGACAUCCCUUGAAAUAUUUAAAACAAUCUUCAAGUAUGGUUGGCCAAAAAUAUCCAUUCCUUCGAAUCAUCCACUUCAUCUUAAAGGCUGACUGAUGCGCUCCACACACUCCUUCAUGGAUUUCUCCCAUCAAACUUCUGGCUUCAUCAUCACCCAAGCAUCGGAGAAGAAUUCCGUCGAUAGUUCGAUAAUACAAUUCAUUUUCAAGGAGCACAUACUUGGUUGCUUGAAAUCGAACCCGUCUUUCAACCUUUUUGGAUGGAUCUUUUAGAUAAUCAAUAAUUUCUUCCCUCCAAUCACCGGCACUGACUACCGAUGUUGCAUUAAUCAUUGGCUGAUAUCCCGAGGCAUGCUGGGCUAACCGAUUAGCGUCUUCAUUAUGCAAUCGGGGAAUAUGCUCCAAUCGGAAGUUCUUGAAUUCCUUUAACAGUUGUAUACUUCUCUCGAAAUAGGUUAUGAGAACUUCACUCCGGCAUUCAUAGCUUCCGGCCAAUUGAUUUAUAACCAACAUGGAAUCUCCGAAUACUUCAACAGCAUCAGCACGAACUUCUCUUAACAACUCCAAUCCCCUGAUCAGAGCUUGAUACUCAGCCUGAUUAUUUGUUGAUGUAGCAACAAUCGGCAAGGAAAAUUCAUACUUCCUCCCCUUAGGAGAAACUAAUACAAUGCCGAUUCCUGCUCCCCGGUCACAGGUAGAUCCAUCAAAGAAGAGCGUCCAGGGUGCAAUUUCCAAGGUUUCCACUAGACCGCAAUGCUGAGUCACAAAAUCGGCCAUAACCUGCCCUUUGACCGCCUUAGCCGAUUCGUAACGCAAAUCGAACUCCGACAGCGCCAAAAUCCAUUUACCGAUCCUACCACUCAUAAUCGGCAUAGAUAGCAUGUAUCGGACCACGUCAUCUUUGCAAACAACAGCACAUUCGGCCGACAACAGGUAAUGUCUUAGCUUGAUACAUGAAAAAUAUAAGCAUAAGCACAGCUUCUCAAUGGCCGAAUACCUGGUUUCAGCAUCAAUUAACCUCCUACUCAAAUAAUAAAUUACCCUCUCUUUCCCUUCAAAUUCUUGAACUAAAGCUGAACCGAUAACCGAUCCAUCGGUAGAUAAAUAUAAUUUGAAGGGUUUCCCUUGUUGAGGUGGAACUAAAACUGGAGGGUUUACUAGAUACCUUUUGAUUUCAUCUAGAGCCAACUGCUGUUCUUUUCCCCAAACAAACUCCUGAUCGGCUUUCAAUUUAAGAAGAGGACUGAAAGCACGAAUUCUCCUAGAUAAAUUCGAUAUAAAUCUUCUGAUAAAAUUCACCUUGCCGAUCAAGGAUUGGAGCUCGGUUCUAUUGGUAGGGGCAACUAUUUUAUUGAUGGCGUCAAUAGAUCUUCGACUAAUUUCAAUACCCCUCUGAUGUACCAUGAAACCAAGAAACUGCCCUGCCGAUACGCCAAAUGCACACUUGUUGGGAUUCAUCUUCAAUCCAUGUUUCCUUGUGCACUCCAACACUUUUCGUAAAUCGGCAAGAUGCUUUGAGAAAUCUCCAGACUUAACCACCACAUCAUCAAUAUAAAUUUCCCCGAUCUUGCCGAUGAACUCAUGAAAUAUAAAAUUCAUAGCCCUUUGAUAAGUAGCACCAGCAUUCUUUAACCCAAAAGUCAUGACUAUCCACUCAAAUAGUCCAACAUGACCAGGACACCUGAACGCGGUUUUUGGAAUAUCCUCCUCUGCCAUGAAUAUUUGAUUGUAACCUGCAUUACCAUCCAUGAAGCUGAUGACCCGGUGGCCAGCCGCAGCAUCAACCAGUAGAUCGGCGACAGGCAUUGGGUAUCCGUCCAUUGGCGUAGCUUUAUUGAGAUUCCUGAAAUCAAUGCACACCCGCAGCUUCCCGUUCUUCUUGUAAACCGGAACAACAUUGGAAAUCCAUUCGGCAUACCGACACUGCCGAAUAAACUUAGCUUCAAUAAGUUUAGUGAUUUCGGCCUUAAUAUCAGGUAGAAUGUUAGGAUUACAUCGGCGGGCUGGUUGCUGAUGUGGCCGAAAUCCAGACUUGAUGGGUAACCGAUGUUCGACAAUUGAUCGGUCUAAACCAGGCAUCUCUGUAUAAUCCCAAGCAAAGCAAUCUUUAUACUCCUUUAACAAACUAGUCAAUUGUCGCUUACACUCAGGAUCUAAUUUAGCACUAAUAAAAGUAGGCCUAGGCUUAUCACCACUACCUAUAUCUACUUCUACCAAAUCAUCGGCCGAUGUGAACCCCUGGCCUAAUUUUCCAUCAUCGGCGAAUCUAUCCAUUAAAAACCGUCGUCAGAACCGACUGCUUGGAUCGGUGGAAUCUCAUAAUCGGCAACUUUGAGAAAAUCUUUCUCCCAAACUUCUCCUGAAAUGCACCUAGUCUUUUCAUAAGUAUCCGCCUCUGCCGAUGCGAUAACAUAAGAAGAAUCCCCUGGGACGAUCUCAAUCUUGUCACCUACCCACUGAACCAAGCACUGAUGCAUUGUAGAUGGGACACAACAAUUGGCAUGAAUCCAAUCUCUCCCCAAUAAUAAAUUGUAAGCACCUUUUCCGCUGAUCACGAAAAAGGUUGUCGGCAAGGUUUUGCUGCCGAUGGUCAACUCUGCACAUAUCGCCCCCUUGACUGGAGACACGUUUCCUUCAAAAUCUUUGAGCAUCAUAUCGGUCUUGGUCAAAUCUUGAUCCCCUUUUCCAAGCUUCCGAUAUACUGCAUACGGCAUAAUAUUAAUAGCAGCUCCACCAUCAACUAGGAUCUUGGUCAUUGGCUGCCCAUCGACCCUUCCUUUGAGGAACAAAGCUUUGAGAUGCUGCCUCUCGUCAUCGGCAGGUUUCUCAAAGAUAGCCGUCAUCGGGUCCAGAGCCAACUGAGCUAUCUGAUCAGAAAAUUCCAACUCAUCAUCACUGGCUGGUGCAAGAAACUCCAUCGGCAACAUGAAGACCAUGUUGACGCCUGCCGAUGGACCUUCCUUCUUAGUGUCUGACGGCUGCCGACUUCCAGAGUUCUCUCCUUUAUUUAGCUCUUCCUGCCUUUCACGUUGCAAUCUCCUUUUCUGUGUCUUGGUUAAUCCUUGAGGGCACCAUGGAGGAAGUGGCCUUUGCCUUGCCGUCGGGCGUUGGUUCUCUCUUGACUCCAUGCGAUGCGUGUUAGCAUCCCUGCAAAAUAUGAAUUCAUCGGGAACCCGCGCAUCAGCCAUUCUUUCAAGCUCCUCUUGGUUCCUGGGAAAAUACUGGACACGGUCACCGAGCCGAUCGUGAACGCUAAGCCUGCCCCCCAGCCGAUCAUGAACUGACGCCCUUCCUCUGAUCGGCCCAUUAAAUCGUCGUUCAUCAUCAUGAUAACGCCGAUCGUUCCUGUCGUACCGAUCAUAACCGUUGCAUUCAGGGCAGUCUCUGACAGUAGGAAGCUUGAUAUUUUCCUCCCAACAAUGGAUGAAGAAUGGGCAAUUCCAAUGACCCCUGUGCCGAUUCCAUCCUGUCGGCGUCUCUCUUCUUCCCGUUGAUAAUCUUCCUGCUGGCGCCGGUACCGAUCUUCCCGUUGUUGCCAUCUCUCUCGAGGCCUUCUAUGAGUUAUGACAAUACCAGAUCGAGGAAUUCUUCCUGAGCUAGCUCCUUCCUGGACCAAGCCCUUACUUCUUGCAUCGGCGGUAGUAACUUGAUGCUGAGGAUCUACCGAUGCAUUCUUCUCAGCUGUCUCCGACGUUAAGACCUUAGCCUUCCCCUUAGCAUCCAACAUGUUUGUCGGGAAAGGAUGUUGGUCUAUCUUCAUCGGCUUCUGGGCUUUGGAACUGUCAAACUUGAUUCUCCCUGACUCUAUGGCCGAUUGCAGCUGUUGUCUGAAUACUUUGCACUCGUUGGUGUCAUGUGAAGUUGCAUUAUGCCACUUGCAAUAUCUCAUCCUCUUCAACUCUUCUGCCGACGGGAUCACGUGGUUAGGUGACAAUUUGAUUUGACCUUCCUGAAGUAGAAAGUCAAAUAUCCUAUCGGCCUUGGCGGUGUCAAAUGCAAACUUCUCUGGUUCCUUCUGCCCAAAAGGACAAGACAUCGGCUUCUUGUUUUUUACCCAUUCUGCCAAACCGAUUACUGGUUCUUCAUCGGAAUCUGAGCUUGUUGCUUCAUCAACAAAUGAGACUUUCUUAUUCCAUGCCCUCUUAGGCUCGAAAGGCUUGAUGUCUUGAUCAGAUAUCCUCUGCACCAAGUGACUUAAACUUUCGAACUCCUGAGAAGCAUACUUAUCCCUGAUGUGUGGCAACAAACCCUGGAAAGCCAAAUCGGCUAGCUGCCGAUCAUCCAGAACCAGGCUAUAGCAUUUAUUUUUGACCUCUCGUAUCCUCUGCACAAAUCCCUCAACCGACUCAUCAUUACGUUGCCUCAACUUGACCAAGUCGGUGAUCUUCUUCUCAUGAACCCCCGAGAAGAAGUAUCUGUGGAAUUGCUUCUCUAGAUCGGCCCAAGUAAUUACUGAAUUGGGAGGCAAUGAUAUGAACCAAGUAAAGGCCGAUCCAGACAAUGAUGAUGAAAAUAGGCGAACCCUCAAUUCGUCCCUGUUACCAGCCUCUCCACAUUGAAUAAUGAACCUGUUGACAUGCUCCAUGGUUGACGUGUCAUCCUGUCUGGAAAACUUUGUAAAAUCCGGUACUUUGUACCGAUGUGGAAGCGGGAUCAAAUCAUACGCUGGAGGAUACGGUGUCCGAUAAGAAUAAGUGUUGACUUUGGGUUUUAUCCCAAAUUGUUCCUUCAUUACUUCGGCAAUCUUAUCGGCCCAAUACGCAUCGGCAUCUUGCCGAUGAGGCGGCUGCGGAUCUGGCAUUUGGUGGCGAACCUCCACGUGUCUGUUCAGGACGUGACCUGUAUGGAACAUCGUAUUGGUCACCUGUCCUCCAAUCUGCGGACUACCAAACUGCUGUCCACCGAUUGGCUGUCCUCCGAGUUGCUGUCCAAAAUUUAUUGGCUGGUUGGGAAUUCCCUGACCUUGGAACCCGGGAUAAACCUGCCCUUGUUGGAACCCUGUAGUCUGAUAACCCUGCUGGGGCGACUGUGGAAAGGCUUGCUGUCCAAGCCAUCCAUUAUUAGCGUUCAUCGGCAUAGGUGCUGCCGAUGAUUGGUAAUUGGGUACCGUCGUUGAAUUGACAUACCCUGACUGGGCCAUAGGCCUCUGUUGCACCAGCAUUGACUCUGCCGAUGCGUUAGGCAUCUGGAACAUUGGAUCUUGAGGAUUUCCAGUGUGAGGCCUUGCAGUAGUAGUUGUGGUAUACCGAGGACUCUGGUUCACCGGCACAUUGGAAGGUGCCGAUGUCAUAGGAGUUUUGCCCCUCAUGUCAGUUAUCUGUGAUGUUCCCGGCGUCAACUCUGGAGGCAUACCAUAACCCCACCAGUUAGGAGGAAGAGUUAACCCCGACAUUGCCGAUGCCAACAUAUCUGUUGUCAGUUUAUGCUGCCCAACUGAAAUUUGUGGGUUGGUUGCCAUCGGCAUAGAUAGUGCACCAGUAGUCCCCAAUGUACUCGGAGGAACGGCAGACUGUGCACUCGCACUUGUCAAGGCAGCCGAUGGAGCCGUGACCUCUGGUGCCAUGGGUUGAUGAUGGGAAGGGCCCACAUAUUCCGGCGGGAUUUGUCCUUCCUUGAAGGUUCUUGCCACGGCGUUGAAAACCGUAUUAGACAGUACACCAGCUUGGUUAAUCAACGCUCGAUUGAUGGCAUUAUCAACCAUGUCUUGAAGCUUGCCAGGAUUGGCGUCAAAGGUGACCUGCCGUGGUGCCGGCAGUGCAUCUUUCUGGACCACCUCGCCGCUCAUGUUUAUGCUGAAAGACUUCAGGCAUUGCUGCUUGAACUCUUCCAUAGCUUGGGCAAUAGCUUGCUUCUGCUCAUCCUUGAGGUUAGCUUCCGUCACGGGGAUGACGUUGUCUUGAUCGAGGUCAGAGAUCGACUUGUUGAUCUUGAUCUUGAAUCUGUCCCACCGAGCGUGCCAAAAGAUGUGUUGAUGCAAAAUUGAUCUGCAAACACAAAGGGCUAAUACCCGAUUCAAACGUUAAGGCGUGCCAGCCGAUUUGACCUUGCUAUCGGCAAAGGUGAUAACUCGAAUACUUUAGUCCUGACAACAGCGAUGCGCCCGGAUGUCACGGCUAAGAGGUACUCACGCGGAACUCGAGAACACGCCGAGCUUAAGUCGACGAAUUCCUAAGAACUCGUAAUAGAAAGAAAAAAAGUAUGACGAAGUCGUCGAAAAGUAGAUGCUGGAAUAUGAGUAAAAACGUAUGUUUGAUUGAUUUCUUGAUAGAUCUCCUGAUUACAAGGUCCUUGGGCUUAUAUUUAUACCCUGCUCAAAGAGCUACGACCAGACACGAUUAGAAUUCGAAUUCCAAAUUACACGGAACCCGUAUACAAAACGAUGCGAAUAACAUAAGGAAAUAAUAAAACCAUCCUUCGUGACAAACCGAAACUCCUCCACAUGACAACUGGCAGCUUCCGGACUCCUCCUUCGCGUCAUCGGCAAUCCCCUUGCCAUAGUCAUCGGCAGACCCUUUUACUUGGUCAUCGGCACCAUAUUACUGUCUGAGGACUUAGUCACAUUCAACCUUUCCCUCAUCGGCAACCAUCCUUACCAGCAACCCGCAUCGUACUGCCACCCUGUCCUGCCAUCCUGGACACGUGCCCAAAAAUGGUGUCAACAAUAUUUAAGGAAAGUAAAUAAUUUAAGGGAAAAGGGAAUGGAGAAAGGAUAAAUAUGGAUAACUACCUGUCGGUGUUUUCCCCCGGGGGGUCACACCAACGAGUAAACUUGUAUGCGUGCUCCCCUUUUCAGAUGGUGAUGCAAGAAAAUACACAAAGAUUUAUCCUGGUUCGGGCAAGAGAAGGCCCUACGUCCAGCAGGGGGGAAGAGUUUGUAUUAUCUUGCACCUAAGUGCUUGUACAGGGGUGAAUACAAGCGUGAGAUGGAUGGAGGUGGAGUGAGGUUGCUCUACUAUGUAUGUCUUGUGUUGUGUUGUGUUGCCUCUACCCGCUCCCGAGCCUCCCCUUUUAUAGUUCCAAGGAGGGGCUUAGGGUACAUUUAUAGGCGUCAGAGUAGGGGUCGAUAGAGGUAUGGCACGCUGACCUACUCGAGGCCUCUGUACCGGCGUGGUCUCAAGCCAUCUUGUCUUGGUACCUUGAUGAUGAUUACGCGUGCACCUAUAUCCCGCUCUGUGCACUGUCCUGGACUGGUUUAUCUGUUGCACGCUUGUACGUCGCGGCAGCAGCUGCGUCGGAGUGGUUGAGGUGCUGUCACUCGUCGCCCGACCGUUCCCCAAGAAGGAAACAUGCCUACUCAAGGGUCGGGUGCCAUGUAACGCCUCGCUAUCCAAAGCGCUGACCUUGGGCAUCUCGAGGGGGUCUUGAUUAGAUGUUCCGACCCACUCCCUACGUCCUACCACGUUCUGGCUUCUUUGGUGGGGAAAGCUGCAAAAAGAAUGACAGGACGGGUGCCUGUUCCCUAUCACGCUUCCCGUGACUGGCGGGUUAGGUGAGAACCCGGCAGGCGCAUUAAAUGCCUUGGUUCUUGUGCCCACGUCAGGCAGCGGGCAACGUCCUUGCGCUCGAGGUCUCCUAAUUUGUACGAGCCUAUUUUCGUGUUCGACGGUAGCCGGCGCUCGAGCCUUGAUCGAUUCGCAGGAUGCUCUUUCCGUGUUCGAGACCAUGGUCGUCGAGGAUCGCGCACACAACUGGGCAUCGAGUCAGAUGCCUCGACUUGUGUACGGACACUCUUGAUAUGCUCAUCAGUUAGGGCACCCCUUACUGAUAUCCUCGACAGUAGCCCCCGAGUCUCCAUUCGAGCGCUGGCGCUCGAGUGGAGGCUAUAUUUUGUGGUCGAGUUUCUAUGGGGGCACGCGAGCGACCCCGCGGGGGUAGCCCCCGAGCCCUUGGAGGAGUUUCUGACUCCUUCGAGGGUUAUAUUGCCUAAUUUGUGGAAACGCUCUCGAUAUCCAUCGUGGGAGGCUCUGAUCGAUUCGUUUUACGCAGGGGUCUCGACGUACUCCCGGUGGAGCGAGCGUCAUCUACCCUAGAUUGAGCUCUUAGCGUGUAAUCCAAGUGAGAACCUGUGCCCCUUUCGAGGGAGUCAGCUGCAGCCCGGAGGGGUUCUCAUAAAGCGGGGUCGAUAUGGUGGGAGAUGCUGGCCUCGUUCGAUAGAGACCAGCGGCUCGAUGCCUCCCUUCGGGUGGAUUCCUCUCGACCGUCUCCACCUUGCCUUGGACAUCCCCAGUGAAUUCUCGAGGCGGGCCUCGACUUUUGACCACUCGCUGGGCAUCCCUGACUCUGGUACUUGAGAUCGGCUGUCGAACCCAUUCGGUGGGUCAGCCUGCGACCUCUCGAGAUUUUUGUUGUAACAAAUGCGUACCUUAGCUUACGAGGGAAGGAAAAGGCCGUGGCGGUUCGCCUUUCUGCCCGUUGGGCGCGUCUUUUUAGGCGGGAGCCGUUGCAGCACUGUGCCGGCGUGGAAUUCGUAGCGUCCCGUCUGUGAGAGGGGUAAGGACCGUUAGGCGGCGCAUUUAUGGGAGGAGUUACCGUAUCCAUCGGAUCUGUAUGUUGAUGGGUUGCCGUCUAUAAAUGCCCCGUGGUUUUGUUGCCAUCGCUCCUUCCGCCUUCUGCCUCCAUUCUCGCUUCAGCUCCCUUGCGACACGCGCGCGCACCCUCGAGCGGUAGUAGAGUCGCCUUUCUCCCACCUAAAAAUGCCUGUGAGACUCAUCGCCGCCGAUGACUGGCGCCCGUCGUCGAUGACGGAGCGUCGGCUACUGGAGCUCGAGAGGGAGGGACUCCUGCGCCCCCGCACUUCGUCGUCGUGGCCGGAGUGGAUCGCACCGGCGGCGGACCACCGGGAUCCAAGGCCGCCCAAGGGCUACAUGGUCUCCUUCGCCAAGUUCCACCGCCACGGCUUGGGUUCUCCUCCGAGCCAUUUCAUGCGGGCGCUCUGCCACCACUACGGGGUGGAGCUCCAGCACUUCUCGCCAAACGCCGUCACCGCCGUGACGGUUUUUGCCACGGUGUGUGAGGGCUAUCUGGGGAUGAUGCCCCACUAGGACCUGUGGCUCCAUCUGUACUGGGGUGAGCUCUUCAACGCCCCCACUGGAACCACAGGUGUGAGGAAGCCUGUACGGGCCGGGUUCCUCAACUUGGUGCUGAAGAGUGGCAAAUCGGAGAGGCCACGCGAGUACAUCCCGGUGGGAUUGACAUCGAACCAUGCCGUAUGGGACUCCCAGUGGUUCUACUUACGGAAUGAUGACGACCUCCUCCCUGCCUACACCGGUCGCUUGAUCUCAUAGCGCUCGGACCACUGGACGUACGGCGUCGUCCAAGUCCACCAAUCGCGGCUCGACCCCCUCCUCGACGCGUUGAAGAAGCUACGCGAGGAAGGCCUGACAGCCGCUCUCGUCCUUUCGGCCGUGUAUCAUCGGAGGGUUCACCCUUUGAUGUCUCGGCCGUUGAGGAUGGACGAGAUGGGUCCCGGCGUUUCGUCCCGGGAUCUCGAGGCUUGCCGGAUGUCUAACGAGGCUCCGGCGGACGAUGAGGUUGCAGCCUGAGUCAGGGCGCCCGUUGCUGGCGACUUCCAGCCAGAACAUGUCGACGGCUUCCCUAUGAGGCCUGACAAGGGAUCGAUCGACCUGGUAAGUUCCUCUCUCGCUUAUGGUUUCGAUUCUGGAUUUUCUUCGAUCCUUCUUAAAACUUGUCUCCACUCGCACAGGGUUCAAUCGAUGUUCGGUCUUCGAGGCCUCCGGUAAAGGAGGACGAGGUCGACUGUGACAAGCGGCAAGAGUCCACUAAAAAGCAGAAGUCCGCAAUGGACUUAAAAAAGAAGAAGGAGAAGAAGAAGAAUCUCGAGCGCCAAGCGCUGGAGACGCGCCAAGCAAAGUCCACACAGAGGGGGUAGCCUGAGGAAGAGUCCCACGAUGAGGACGAUGGCGGUGAUGGUGACGAUGACAGCGACGACUCCGAGGGGAUGGCGUCCCGUCUUGACAGGAUCCUUGAGGGUCCGUCUCAGACCGACGUCGAUGCUCCGCGGACAGGAGCCCCAAAGGGAGGGCCAAGCGGGUCUCACGAGAGUCAACAGAGGGAGUCAUCCCCACGCCGCUCCCGCGCUGAUAGUCCCCCAGAGCCUGCGCCAAGCCUGGCUGUCCCUCACCCCCAACCUCCUCCCACGUCUAAGGCGGGCCACCGGGUUAAGUCCCUAGCGACGGGGCACUGACUCGUGGUCGCGCCGCGGCCUCGAGUAAGGGGGAAACGGAUCGCGAGAGCACCAAUCCAGGCGCUGGCCUGGCGGGAGACGCCGAGCCAAGACUGGCGCCGCUCGCGAGGGGCCCGGAGCUUCGACGCGGGGUGGCUAGAGGCCCGCCGGUCGAGGGACCGGUAGGCGGGUCGCUCUUCCUGUGGGGUAAGAUUUUUGACGUCGUGAUUCUUACCUUCCGGUAUCUUUGCAUUUUCUUGGGCCGUGGUCUUUAUUUAUGCUCGUUCUUCUUUCCUCAGGUUGAAGCGGACGCUCGAACAGGCCCAGCCCUCGAUGGCCAAGAGGCUUAAGGUGGGAGCGGCCUCCAAAGACUCAGGUUAGCGGUUCACUCUCGAUAUCGCGUUAGCUUUUUGUCAAUUAUCAUGGCGACUGACUUUUUGCCUUUGAGUGCUUACAGGCUCCUCCGACCCCCGGCCAUCGACUGGUGUCGAGGGCGCUCUGCCCCGUCCAUUGGUGGGGGAGUCUGCUCCACCUUCGCCGAAGCGGAUCGAGGCGCCUCGUCCACAAGUACAGCAGGGAGCCCCCGAGCCUCCCCAUUCUGGGGUCGAGGAGGAUCCUAUCAUAAUUAGUGACGGGUCCGGCGGCGACGGGCCUUCGAAGGACGCCCGCCCCAUGGACGAGGAGGUCGAGGCCUCUCCCACCAUGAAGCGGACGCCUUGGCCCAUCGGGCUCCAUUCUGUCGAGGAGUAGAGGAAGAAGGAGGAGGAGGAGCGUGAGCGGGAGACGCGGCAACAGCUACAGGAGGGGCUGUUGGAGCAGGACCGGUAGCAGGAGCUACGGGAGCUCCAGUAGCAGCAGCAGCAGAGGAGCCAGCAGUUUGGGGAACUGCUCGAGUCGCCACCCUGCAGCCUGCCCCAGUCAGUGUCGCCGACACCACAAGAGCCUGAAACUGGGGAGGAGGUUCUGCCUGUCUAUGGUCCACCGACCCCGCCGUGGCUUCGUCCGGGAGCGCCUGCCCCGAUCCCAGCUGAGUCAGGGCGAGCGGACGACGUGGUGGAGCUCGCCUGUAUGAUGUGCACCCCCGUCGACCCUCAGUCAGAGAUCAAGGGCACGAUCUAUGGCAUCGACGGGAUCGCUCCUGGAUUCCUCCGGGAGUGUCGGUCGUGGGAGGAUCGCAUUCACGCUGAGGAAGAUGAAGCUGGGACGUCGGGCGGUGGUGUGCCAGUGAAACCGGAACUUGGAAGACGGCGGAUGACGAUGGCUGGUUCCCCUCCCUCGUCGACCUGUGUUUGCGCCACGGGGGGUCGCUCGAGAACGUCGAAGAGCUCAUCCGGGGCGUCAAGGCGCGCGAUGAUCAGGAGAUGGAGAACUGGUGCCCUAACCGGAUCCGCAUUCGGGCCUCCACCGACCCGUCCGAGCCUAACAUCUUUAUGGACGAUCGAAAGGAGGCCGAGAUGUGGGAGCAUCUCAAGACCUUCGCCUCUGGAUGAAGCAUGUGGUGGGGCUCCUGUCCGACGUCGUCAACAAUGGGCCCGGACCGGCCUACUUUGUAAGUGAUUUUGGUCUUGCGUACUGGACGUUCUGGUUUUGUGUUCUUACUGUUCUAUUGCUGUUUCGCAGGAUCUAAAAGAAACCUCCCACAUCAAGUCAAGCUUUAUUCAUGCGACGAGGGGCGGCUGGGAGCAACUCCCUCUCCUCAAGGACCAACUCCUGGAGUCGUAGGAGAGACUCCUCAAGGCCUAUAAGGAGCUUUUGGCGCUCGAGGAGGAGAAGAAGGAGAGGGAGGCCGCCCUGGCUGAGGCUCAGGAGGCCUCGAGGAAGGCAAUGGAAGAGGCCGCGCUGCUGAGGGAGCAGACCAUGAUGGUCGAGGAGGCUGCGUCCAAGGCCCGAGAAGAGGCCUUGUCUUACAAGAACGCGACCGCUAACCUAGACAAGGAGAAGGACCUCCUCAGGACAGACCUUGCCUCCCUUCGAGAAUCCUUCCAAAAGAUGAAGGUGGAGUGCGUGAAUGGCGAGAUUACCCAGAGCGCCGUGGAGGAGGCCAAGAAGAAGGCUCUUGAGGAUCUCAAGGUGGAGCGGACUCGAUCUCGCAGCCUCUCUGACGACAUCGACCGUCUGAAGAGAGUGCUGCUGGAGAAAGAUGGAGCUAUUGCGCAGGCAGGCAAGGUGAUUGAGGACCUGCGCGUCACCAACACCGAGCUGGUGUGCUCCAACAAGGAGAUCGAGAGGGCCAACACCAACUUGGUCGACGAGAAUACGGCUCUGGAGGAGAGGAUUCAUGGUAUGUUUCCAUUCAGGAGUUUCCUUUCCGAGGUGUGGUUUGUGUUAUCUAAUUUCUUCGUGUCGGUCCUUGUAGGGCUUAAAGAUGAGCUGCUUGCCACUCAAGUCGAGGCCCGCUCCACCAAGGCUCAGCUCCAGGGGGAGGUCGCUUCGAACCAUCGGCUAUGGACGGCGAUAAGUGAUCUCUCAGCCUCUUGGGAGCUCGAACCCGCGGACGAGUCGAGGGAGGAGGCUCGAGGCGACGCACUGGUCGACCAGCUAUGCUAUCUAGGUGCUACGCUAAGGGACCGGGUGCGGGACGCCCUUCAUACCGGGGUAAAGCGGGCAAUGGCAGUUGUCUGCUUAGGCUUUUCCUACGCUAUGGAGGUGGUGUCCCACGGCUUCGUCACCAAUAUUUCCAAGACUGACGUAGAGAACGAGGAGAGGCUCCACGCCUUGAUUGACGACGCGGAGGCUCCUGGGAAAGGCUGGCAUGGCUGUUCGAGCCGGAAGUACUUCCUCCCGAGACUAGCUCAGGCGCGGACGAUGGUGGUGAGGGCUGAGAUGUAGAUUGAGGCCUACGAGCCUACUUUGGGUGCUAGGGCCCCUUGUAUAGUACUUAUUAUUCUGUCUUUAAGUGAUAUUGUGCUUUUUAAGUGGUUUAUAAGAUUUCUGAAUGUUUGUCUUUUCGCUCGAAGUUCCUUCGUUCUCUUUUCUGCCUAUGUCUGUAUUCCCCGUUUGAUCUUUGGUUAAGGUGACCUCGAUUGCCUCGAGGGUGAGAAAGUGAGUAGAGUUACCAUAGCCCGGGGGCGUAGGAGUUUUUAGGCUCAUUGUCUCUUGGCCCUUAAGGGGAUCGAGGUGCCUCUACUACUCGACCGUGCGAGGUUUACUGAUAGGAAAGAAAAAAUCACUUGGUUUUUUCGACACUUGGGGGCGCCCCCCUGCUAGCCCCCGAGGGGGUAUCGACUAUGAUGGGUCAUAGUUGGUACUCCCUUCUAACGUCGAGAUUUCGACCCAUGAAAAAAGUAAAUUACUCGUGGGAAAUAUCUUAUCCACUCAUGCAUUCAUUCAUAGGGUCUUGGUACAUAAUGUACAAGGGAACAUAAAGCUUUGAAAUUCUAGGGGUAGAAUCGACGUAGCUGUUCGAUGUUCCACGCGUUGGUGAAGACUGCCCCUUUUUCGUCCGCUAGCUUGUAUGUCCCCGGCUUCAGGACCAUGGCCACUACGUAUGGGCCUUCCCAGGGCGGAGUCAGCUUGUGGCGCCCUUGGUUGCCUUGCCACCAUCGUAGGACAAGAUCGCCCACAUUCAGAUCUCUCUUGCGCAUGUGCUUAUCGUGGUAGCGUCGAAGCUUCUGCUGGUAUCUGGCGAAGUUGAGGAGGGCCAUAUCUCGAGCUUCCUCGAGUUGGUCGACCGCAUUUUCUUGAGCCUCCUUAUUUGAUUGCUCGUUGUACGCUAUGAGUCGAGGGGACCCAUACUCGAGGUCCGUUGGGAGCACGGCCUCGGAGCCAUAGACCAUGAAGAAUGGGGUGUAUUUUUGUGGCCCUGCUCGGUGUCGUCCUCAAGCUCCAUAGGACCGAAGAGAGCUCUUCGACCCAUUUUUUGCCGAAUUUCUUCAAGCGGUUGUAGAUCCUCGAUUUGAGCCCCUACAAAAUCAUGCCGUUGGCAUGCUCGACCUGGCCGUUAGUUCGAGGGUGGGCUACUGCAGACCAGUUCACACGAAUGUGAUGCCGAUCGCAGAAGUCUAAGAACUUUUUGCCGGUGAACUGAGUGCGUUGUCGGUGAUGAUGACGUUGGGAAUCCCAAACCGGUUGAUGAUGUCGGUGAAGAAAAGGAAGGCCUGCUUGGAGCGGAUGUUAGUGAUGGGCCGAGCCUCGAUCCAUUUGGAGAUUUUGUCGAUGGCCACCAGCAAAUGGGUGUAUCCCCCUACUGCCUUUUGUAGGGGCCCUACCAGGUCGAGUCCCCAUACCGCGAACGGCCACGUGAUGGGGAUCAUCUGGAGAGCGUGGGCGGGGAGGUGCGUCUGCUUGGCGUAAAAUUGACACCCAUGGCAUGAGCUUACGAGCUUGAUGGCAUCGGCUACGGCCGUUGGCCAAUAGAAGCCUUGUCGGAAAGCGUUCCCUACGAGGGUCCGCGGAGCAGCGUGGUGGCCACAAGCCCCCGAGUGUAGAUCCUCGAGGAGCUUUCGGCCUUCCUCUAUGGUGCUGCAGCGCUGCAAGAUUCCUGUCAGGCUUCAUCAGUAUAGCUCAUUACCUUCGCCUUAGAUUACGUAUGACUUGGCCUGUCGAGCCGUACGGCGGGCCUCGGAUUGAUCUUCUGGUAGCUCGCAACGAAUCAGGCAGUCGAGGAACGACGUGCGCCAGUCGAACGGUCGACCGGGUCGCUGCUCUGCCUCCAUUACCUCUGUUGGCGCUAGCAGUGCCUCGAUGGUGUCAGUUUGUUGUGGGGCGGUGGUUUCAACGUCGGCCCUCGAGCCCAAGUCGACGGAUGGCUUGUGGAGAUCUCUCGAGAAUGCGUCGGGCGGGAUCGUGCCUCGAGUGGACGCGAUCUUAGUGAGUUCGUCGGCUGCCUCGUUGUAGCGUCGGGCGAUGUGGACGAGUUCGAGGCCGUGGAACUUAUCCUCGAGCCGACGUACCUCCUUGCAGUAUGCCUCCAUUUUUGGGUCAUGGCAGUUGGAGGCUUUCAUCACUUGGUCGAUGACGAGUUGGGAGUCGCCUCGAACGUCGAGGCGUCGAACUCCCAGCUCGAUGGUGAUCUUCAGCCCAUUGACAAGGGCCUCGUAUUCCAAAACAUUGUUAGAUGCCACAAAGUGUAUCCUAAAUGACAUACCUCAUAUGAACGCCCAGGGGCGAGAUGAAUAGUAGACCUGCCCCAGCUCCCGUCUUCAUUAGCGACCUGUCGAAAUACAUCGUCCAUAGUUCCGCUUGAACCUGAGCAGGGGGGAGCUGGGAGUCCGUCCAUUCCACGACGAAAUCCACCAGGGCUUGUGACUUGAUAGCUUUGCGGGGCGCAUAAGUGAGGGUCUCACUCAUGAGCUCGACCGACCCCUUGGCGAUUCUUCCUGUGGCCUCCCGACUCUGGAUGAUCUCACCCAAGGGGAAUGACGAGACCACCGUGAUAGGGUGGCGGAGGAAGUAAUGUUGCAGCUUGCGUUGGGCGAGGAUCACGGCGUAGAUUAGCUUUUGGAUCUGUGGGUACCAUGCCUUGGUCUCUGAGAGUACCUCGCUGACGAAAUAGACCGGCCUUUGGACUGGCAGCGCAUGCCCCUCCUCCUGCCUCUCAACCACUACUGCCGCACUGACGACCUGGGUCGUCGAGGUGACGUACAGAAGCAGAGGUUCUGCGGGUUGAGGUGGGACUAGGACCGGGGCGGAGGUCAGUGUUUUCUUCAAAUUAUCGAGGGCUUCCUCGAUUUUGGGGGUCCAAGAGAAACGCUCGGCUUUUUUCAGGAGCCGAUACAAUGGCAAUGCCUUUUCUCCUAACCUCGAGAUAAAACGACUCAGCGCCGCCAAACAUCCCGUGACCUUUUGCACUCCCUUGACGUCUUGGAUCGGCCCCAUUCUCGUGAUGGCCGCGACUUUCUCAGGAUUGGCCUCUAUGCCACGUUGGGAGACUAUGUAUCCCAGGAGCAUGCCUCGGGGUACACCAAAGACACAUUUCUCUGGGUUGAGCUUGAUCUUGCUGGCGCGUAAGCAACUGAAAGCGAUCUCGAGGUCCCGUAUCAGGUCUCCUCGUUGCUUUGACUUGACGAUGAUGUCGUUGACGUAGGUCUCGACCGUCGACCCUAUGUGUUUGCCAAACACGUGGAGCAUGCAACGCUGGUAUGUGGCUCCCGCGUUUCGAAGCCCGAACGGCAUGGUUACAUAACAAUACAUCCCAAAAGGCGUGAUGAAAGAUGUCGUGAGCUGGUCGGACUCUUUCAUUUUUAUUUGAUGGUAACCAGAAUAUGCAUCAAGGAAAGAAAGGGUUUCACAUCCUGUAGUAGAAUCAACAAUUUGAUCAAUACGUGGUAAUGGAAAAGGAACUUUCGGACAUGCUUUAUUUAAACUCGUAUAAUCGACACACCUCCUCAUUUUCCCAUUCUUUUUCUUAACUAGUAUAGGAUUUGCUAACCAGUCGGGAUGAUGAAGCUCCUUGAUGAAUCUAGCCGUCAAAAGCUUGUGGAUCUCCUCGCCAAUGAUCUUGCGUUGCUCCUCAUCGAAGCGACGCAACCGUUGUUUCACUAGCUUCGAACCGGCUCGAAUUUCCAAGGAGUGCUCGGCGACUUCCCUCAGUAUGCCUGGCAUGUCCGAGGGACUCUACGCAAACAUGUCGGCGUUUGCAUGGAGAAAGUCGACGAGCACGGCUUCCUAUUUGGGGUCGAGGUCGGUGCUGAUCGUCAGCGCCUUGCCGUCGGAGCCGUUGGGGUCGAGUGGGAUCUUCUUUGUCCCUUCUGCCGGCUUGAAGCUGCCUGCAUGACGCUUGGGCUCUAGAGCCUCUGUGGCCAGGGCUUCGAGCUUCGAGGCGAGCUCGGUGGAACUCUCGACAGCUUCCCCAUACUCGACGCAUUCGACAUCGCACUCGUACGCGUGCUCGUAGGAGGAGCUGACGGUGAUGACGCCCUUGGGCCCGGGCAUCUUCAGCUUCAAGUAUGUGUAGUUGGGGAUAGCCAUAAACUUGGCGUAUCCCGAGCGCCCGAUGAUGGCGUGGUACGUGCCCUGAAAUCCCACCACCUCAAAGGUAAGGGUCUCCUUUCUGAAAUUGGCCGUCGUGCCAAAGUAGACCGGCAAGUCGAUUCGACCUACCGGCAACACCUUCUUUCUAGGUAUGACGCCGUGGAAGCCGCCGGCGCUUGGUUGGAGCUGCGCCCUAUUGAUGCCGAGAAGGUCGAGGGUCUCGAGGUAGAUGAUGUUCAAGCUGCUACCGCCGUCCAUCAGCACCUUCGAGAGUCUUGUGUUGACGAUGAUGGGGUCGACGACGAGCGGGUAGACGCCAGGGGCGACUACCUUGUCGGGGUGGUCGUCUCGAUCGAAGGUGAUGGGGGUGCUUGACCAGCUGAGGUACUGGGGCACCGCCAUCCUUGCCGCAAAGACCUCGCGGCGCUCCCUGUUGAGCUGUCUUGCGGUUAGCUGCGUCGAGUGUCCACCGUAGAUCAUGUAGCAGUCAUGGACAACUGGGAAACCUUCGUCGUCUUUGUCGUCCCCCUUGUCGCCAUUUUUCUCUUUCUUCUGGUCGUCACGGGCAUCCUUCUUGAACCCCAGGCCGUCGAAGUGCUUCUUCAGCAUACGACAGUCCUCGAGCUUGUGGUUUGGCCCUCCCUUAUGGUAAGGGCAGGGCUCCUUUAGCAUUUUGUCGAAGAUAGCCCCCUCUGUGGGUCCUCGAGGCCUUUUGCGCUCCAUGGCGGCGACGAGAUCGUCGUCGAGGUCCUCCUGCUGGAACGGCCAUGUUUUCUUCUUCUUUUUGUUCUUCUUAGGCCCUCGACUGGGGUCCUCAUCAUCAUCGGCUGACGACAUGCCUUUCCUUCCUUCGCCGGUGAAGAAGGCGCCGACCGCUUCUUCCCCUGCUGCGUAGUUUGCCACUAUGUCCAUCAGCUCGUCGACGGUCUGAGGGCGAUUCUAGCCUAAUUCCCGCACCAAGUCUCGACUGGUGGUGCUAGAGACAAAGGCCAGGAUGACGUCGUGGUCGGGGAUGUGUGGCAUCUCGGUGCGCUGCUUCGAGAAGCGUCGAGCAUACUCUCGGAGAGUUUCUCCUGACUUCUGCUUGCAUUUGCUGAGGUCUCGCGAGUUGCCAGGCCGUAUGUAGGUUCCUUUGAAGUUACCCUCGAACACCUUGACCAAAUCGACCCAAUCGUGGAUCUGGUUGGCCGUGAGCUCCUCGAGCCAUCUGCGGGUGGUGUCGGAGAUGAAAAGUGGUAGGUGUCGGAUGAUGGCUCGAUCGUCCCCUCGUGCGCCUCCCAGCUGACAGGCUAGCCUGAAGUCUUCCACCCACAGCUCUGGCUUGGUCUCGUCAUUGUAUUUAGCGAUGCUAGUCGGGGGUCGAAACUGGCUGGGCAGCGGCGUGUUGCGGAUUGCUCUGCUGAACACCCAAGGGCCCGGUGGUUCCGGGGCCAUCCGGUCCUCGUCGCUGUCGUACCUCCCGCCGCGGUGGGCGCUGUAACCACGCUCUUCUACGUCCCCAUAUCGACGACGAUGAUUCUCGUAUAUGUUUUAUUUUUACGCCACCACAGGGAAUGUACUUAUGGGUUUUAUGCCACGAGCAUACUCACAUGGGGCUUACUGUUUUUAACAUUUUUAAUUUCUUUUCAAGAUAGCAUGAUUAACUAACAAGCUAUUUAAGGAAAGUAAAUAAUUUAAGGGAAAAGGGAAUGCAGAAAGGAUAAAUAUGGAUAACAACCUGUCGGUGUUUUCCCCCCGGGGGGUCACACCAACGAGUAAACUUGUAUGCGUGCUCCCCUUUCCAGAUGGUGAUGCAAGAAAAGACACAAAGAUUUAUCCUGGUUCGGGCAAGAGAAGGCCCUACGUCCAGCGGGGGGCGGGGGAAGAGUUUGUAUUAUCUUGCACCUAAGUGCUUGUACAGGGGUGAAUACAAGCGUGAGAUGGAUGGAGGUGGAGUGAGGUUGCUCUACUAUGUAUGUCUUGUGUUGUGUUGUGUUGUGUUGCCUCUACCCACUCCCGGCCCUCCCCUUUUAUAGUUCCAAGGAGAGGCUUAGGGUACAUGUAUAGGCGUCAGAGUAGGGGUCGAUAGAGGUAUGGCGCGCUGACCUACUCGAGGCCUCCGUACCGGCGUGGUCUCGAGCCAUCUUGUCUUGGUACCUUGAUGAUGAUUACGCGUGCCCCUAAAUCCCGCUCUGUGCGUCGUCCUAGACUGGUUUAUCUGUUGCACGCUUGUACGUCGCGGCAGCAGUUGCGUCGGGGUGGUUGAGGUGCUGUCACUCGUCGCCCGACCCUUCCACAAGAAGGAAACAUGCCUACUCGAGGGUUGGGUGCCAUGUAACGCCUCCCUAUCCAGAGCGCUGACCUUGGGCGUCUCGAGGGCAGUCUUGAUUAGACGUUGCGACCCACUCCCUGCGUCCUGCCACGUUCUGGCUUGUUUGGUGGGGAAAGCUGCAAAAAGAAUGACAAGACAGGUGCCUGUUCCCUAUCACGCUUCCCGUGACUGGCGGGUUAAGUGAGAACGCGGCAGGCGCAUUAAAUGCCCUGGUUCCCGUGCCCGCAUCAGGCGGCGUCCUUGCGCCCGAGGUCUCCUGAUUCGUACAAGGCUCUUUCCGUGUUCGACGGUAGCCGGCGCUCGAGCCUUGAUCGAUUCGCUGGACGCUCUUUCCGUGUUCAAUACCAUGGUCGUCGAGGAUCGCGCACACAACUGGGCGUCGAGUCGGAUGCCUCGACUUGUGUACAUACACUCUUGAUAUGCUCAUCAGUUAGGGCACCCCUUACUGAUAUCCUCGACACUACCGAUUUUACCUUUCGUCAUGGGUUCAAUGUUUUAAGUCUUCUAAACAAUACUUCUCACUGUGUUCAUUCUUUAGGUGCGUCAUUUGAUUCAGGUGUGGACCUUGACGUCUGCACCUCUUGAUAAGGUGUCACCCAUGUUCUUCGUUUGCCCAGUAGUUCAAAGUGCGAUGUUGGCAGCAUCCUGCUCAGUGUGUUUGUGCUCGUAGAUCUAGGUCCUUCACUUGGCAGAGUCUGGGAAUUGUAAAACUCCUCCAUGUUUUGCUCAAAGUGUACCUGCUCAUAGAGACAAGGCAGAGAUUAAGUGCAUGAGCCUAAUUGGUGGAAAACACCAAUAGAACCAAAAGUGUAUUUGUUCUUCUCUAACCUUAAGCAUACUGAGCAAGACAAAGUUGAUGGAUAUUAAGAUCAUGAGUGUAGCAUUUAAAACAUUUGUCACAUCAGAUCGCUCAACCUAAUGGAAAGAUAAUCUAUCUAUAUUUAUGUUUGUUUUUUUAUAUAUAUCUUCCAAAGAGUGUGCAACAUUUUAGCUCAUAUGAUUAGGAGUGUGGGAUCACAAAGGUGGAAGGACUAAACAUGUUGAAUCAAUUGGGUUGGUUAAUCUAGAGUUGUAAAUCAUACAUGUUUGUCUCUUUUAUUCAUGUGAACGCCAGAACCAAGG
rnacentral:lncRNA from 1 species